rnacentral:lncRNA from 1 species
AACAACAACAACUGCAAUAGUUUCUGCCAGUGCUCAGUCAACUAGCCAUGGUGAACCCUGCCGCCUACCUACAACAGCAACAACUGCUUUCAUCUAGCCCGCUCGCUAUGGCCAAUGCACCUACAUACCUGCAACAACAAUUGUUGCAACAUAUUGUACCAGCUCUGACUCAGCUAGCUAUGGCAAACCCUGCUGUCUACUUGCAACAGCUGCUUCCAUUCAACCAACUGACUGUGUCGAACUCUGCUACGUACCUACAACAUCGACAACACUUACUUAAUCCAUUGGCAGUGGCUAACCCAUUGGUCGUUGCCUUCCAACAGCAGCAACAAUUGCUGCCAUACAACCAGUUCUCUUUGAUGAACCAUGUCUUGUCGAGGCAGCAACCCAUCGUUGGAGGUGCCAUCUUUUAGAUUACAUAUGAGAUGUACUCGAUAAUGGUGCCCUCAUACCGGCAUGUGUUUCCUAGAAGUAAUCAAUAUAUUGAUUGAGAUUUAUCUCGAUAUAUUUCUGAACUAUGUCCAUCAUAUAAAUAAUUGAAAACAUCAAAUCGUAAUUAUAAACUCAUGCUUGGUCAAUACAUAGACAAUGCGAUAUUACUUCAACAUCCCAAUGAUGUCCUAGCCCAACCUCUUGAAUGUUACUGUUUUAACGCGUGAGGGUAUAUUUAUAAGAUAGACGUGACUAUUUGCGCUUUUUUUUAGUACAUACAUAUAUGGUAUGUUGAUUUGAUAUAGUGAUGGACACAUGCUUUGACCAUGAAUAUUUAAAUCAGUUGUACUUGCAUGAAGCAAAACAUAAUAUAAGUUUAGGAGUACACUUAUAACUGUGUCCAAUCAUGCUCACACAAAUUCAUACCACAUUAUAAUUUUUUGGUAAAUAUUCCACACAUGUAUUUUUUACAAGAACCCAAAUAUUGCAGACAAAUGCAGCAUUGUAGACAUGUAGAAUUAUUCGAAGCACGUGAACUUAACAACACCAAGGUCAUUAAGUCAACUGGACCCUAUGAGUAACAAUUUCGAUAUUGCAAACACCAAAUUAUAGAACUUAUUGGCUGAAAAUUUAUGAGCAAUGUGAACUUUAAAUUAUUAUACCAUAAAUAUAUCAAAUAAUUUUUUUUUGAGGAACGUAAAAAUUGCAUGGAAUGGGCUGCCCAACGUGCUAGCUCACUUCUAUGCUAGUUAGCAUUACCAAAGAUGGGAAUGUUGCUGAUGAACGCCAAACCCACUCAAAUAAUAUUUAUAGUUGGGUUGUUUAGUUGUAAAAGUGAAGACCCAAGAUAAAAGUACCAAUUGUCCAAUGACAUUCGAUUAUUUUGUUCGGGGAGCACUUGGUGCGUCAUUUGGACUCGUAUCUUAGUCCAAUAGAUUGCAUUUUCCUUCAAUGUGUAGAAUCCGACAAAGUGCAUGUUCUAAAAUUGUAAAUCUAACUAAAUUAGAAAGCUUGUUACUAAUUUGAUGGUUUAUUAGGUGUAGCUCAUAAAACUAGAACCAACAUAGCCUGCACUCACAUGUCAUAGAAAAUAGGACUAUCCAAGCACAAUUUGUGUGAGCAUCCAUGACACAAAUUAUAUAUAGUCUGAUAUAAUUAAUUCCUUCAAAAUAAAAAAGGAAAAAAUAAAGUGGUUUUUGAUACUGCAGGAUAUCUCCUUUAGCUAAUGAGGAGUACUAAAAAGUUGUUGCACUUUUGGGUGGCGAGAAUUCCUCAAUCAUAACUUUGACAUAAUUUUAAUCCAGAUCACAUAUAUAGCAUCAUAUCUUAAUUAUUAAAUUAUUAUGGUUCCAUCAUCGUAUUAUUAAUUCAAUAUGAUAUAACCAUCAAAUCUUAAUUAUUAAAUUAAUCUGGAGCGUACAUUAGAUUAUCAAACCAAAUCAACCCGACAUAACCAUCGAAUGUUCCGCUAUGCACCUUAAGCACAUGGUCUGGGGCUUAAUCAUCCGGAAUAACCAUCCGAUCUUCUAGUAAGCAUAGUAAGCGUAUGGUUCACGACUUCGUUAUCCGGAAUAACCAUCAGAUUUUCCAGUAUGCACUGAAAGCAAAUGAUCCGGGGUUUUGGUAGGUGAAACAUUGUUAGGUGAAUGCGGAUGCUGGCUGCUGUUGCACGUGUGAACUGCUGUGUGGAAGCUGCUGGGUCCUCCUCUAUUGUGUGUGGUUUGUGGCGGGCUUCGAAUGCUCUCAUGGCUUCGGUGCUUGGAACUGCUCGUACGUCCGGUCCUGCGUGCAUCUCUCUCUCCUGGCUGGAGGCGUGGUGGUGUGGCGGCUUGUCUGUGUUUUUCUUUUUACGGCGGCUUCUCGUGUUGGCUAGUGUUGGCGUCAGGGGCCCGGUCAGCUAUGCUCCCUCAGUUUUAUAGGCAGUGCACCACAGCAGGCAGAGCAGAGAUAAAGAUUCCAACUGCAUCCAUCUACAAACAAGGCUCUCGGCAGAAGGGAUAAAAGCAUGGAGCGCAAUUGUCGCUGCCCUGCUGCAGCCUUGACUCUCGUCAAUUGGAUGACCAAAAGAUGCCACCGUCUAAGCUCUUUUCUAUGUGCAGCUGCCUGUUUGUCACCAACACAAAAUAGUAGGUGCCUGUUUGACACCAAUUAUCCUCUACCACAAAGAACUACAAUAGUGAUGGAGGAUCCGAUCCGGCACAGAUCCACUAUAAUGCAUAUUGGGUGAUGCAUGCCUAAUGGUGGUUGUUUAGUGUUAGUUUGGGCAUGUUGGAACUAAGCAAUUGACGAUGCCAUACACUAGAAGUGAAGAAUGUUGUUAGCGUUAGGAGUUGAGGUGUCAAUGGGGACCAAUACCCGUUAAGCCAUGGAGAAUUUCUCUAUUAGAUUUAGGGUAUGGGAAAAAUUUUAUUUCCAUUUGCUGAUGUUAGGUAUACAUCUAUUUGAAUCAACAGUUACAGUUCAACAGAAACUCCUUCCGCUCUAGUUUGUUUCAUGUCCUAACUUUUUCCUAAACUAGUUUUUCCUAAAUUGACAUACUCUCUACAAAAUCUAUCCAAAUUUUGAAGAUCAAAUCUGUUCCAUUGAAUUAUUCAUGACAUAUAUCUUGGUAUUGCUUUUUGUCAUCAGAAUAUAUUUCGAACUCAGUAAAAGUUAUACACGAUUUUUUAGACAAUACUAAAGCAAGUUGUAAUCAAGAACACUUGAGGUGUGCGCCAAUUGCCACAUUUAGAUAUAAUCAUUCUAAUUUUGGUCAUCCUAUGUGUGUGCAUUCAUCUAUGCAUUCUAGGAUUUCAAUUAGUCUCAAUCUUGUAGUAUUUUUUCCUUCAUUGUCAAAUCACUUCUCAUCUAACUACUAUGCUUGUUUAACCAUUAGAACAUAAGUACAACAAUAUCCAUUUAGAAAGUUUUUGAUAGCAAACUUUACAUAUUCAUAUCAUGUUAAGGUUGUCACAUGUGUAAAGGUGAAGCGAUCAUGCAUGUCAUUCCACAUAGAUUAAAAAAAAUCCUAUAUAAAAAUGACAAUUUUUCUUGUAGGUAGUGGAAAGUAUCUUUCCAGCAAAGACUAUAUAUAUAAUCCGAUAAAGCCGAUAACUAAAUGUCAAAAUCGAGUAGAUGCCAUAUCAUCUAUACCUUAUCUGUUGUUUGGAAAAAAGACAAAAUCCAAAAAAAUAUAUAUGAGAUCUCACUUGUAUAAAUAGCUCCCAAAUCAGUAGUUAAUCCAUCACCUAUAAUAUUUUGAGCAUUCAGAAACACACCUAGGGAAGCGCACUAGCAACGACCUAACAACAAUGGCUACCAAGAUAUUAUCCCUCCUUGCGCUUCUUGCCCUUUUUGUGAGCGCAACAAAUGUGUUCAUUAUUCCACAAUGCUCACUUGCUCCUAGUGCCAUUAUUCCAAAGUUCCUCCCACCAGUUACUUCAAUGGGCUUCGAACACCCAGCUGUGCAAGCCUACAGGCUACAACAAGCGCUUGCGGCGAGCGUCUUACAACAACCAAUUGCCCAAUUACAACAACAAUCCUUGGCACAUCUAACAAUACAAACCAUCGCAACGCAACAGCAACAACAGUUCCUACCAGCACUGAGCCACCUAGCCAUGGUGAACCCUGCCGCCUACUUGCAACAACAACUGCUUGCAUCCAACGCACUUGCUCUGGCAAACGUAGUUGCAAACCAGCAACAACAAUAGCUGCAACUAUUUCUGCCAGCGCUCAGUCAACUAGCCAUGGUGAACCCUGCCGCCUACCUACAACAGCAACAACUGCUUUCAUCUAGCCCGCUUGCUGUGGCCAAUGCACCUACAUACCUACAACAACAAUUGUUGCAACAUAUUGUACCAGCUCUGACUCAGCUAGUUGUGGCAAACCCUGCUGCCUACUUGCAACAGCUGCUUCCAUUCAACCAACUGACUGUGUCGAACUCUGCUGCGUACCUACAACAGCGACAACAGUUACUUAAUCCACUUGCAGUGGCUAACCCAUUGGUCGCUGCCUUCCUACAUGUCACACCCGGUUUUAAAAAGGCAAACCGAAUGCGAACCAUGUACGUGCCAGGAUCAGUUAUUCACGUACACAGCAGUUACAUAAUAUGGACAUCAUCACACAGUGCUCAAAAUAGUAUUAAUAAGGGAAAUAGUAGAUUACAUCAUACGUCUGAGACGUCCAUAUAGUUCUUACAAUAAAUCAAAGUGCGGAAAAGAAACGUAGAUAACGCGGCCUUCACAGGCAGCCGACUGGGGGUUGCCGCUAACCCACACCUAGAACUCGUCGUAAUCUUGGAACUCCUGGAAGUCUCCUUCCACAGCUUCAUCUUCGCCUGAGCAGUGGUUGCAAUGCUGACAACCUGGGGGGGGGGGGGUUUGGUGUGUAGAGCAAGGGUGAGUACACAUCAACAUACUCAGCAAGUAUCCUGUUUGGCUGUAGUGGACUAGCUUUAUGUGGGGAUAAGUCAAGCAGUUGCUUUUAGUUGGUCAGGUUAUUACUUACUAGUAGAAAGCCAAGUUUUAGCAUUAACCCAAGUUAUUAACCCAAUGUAUCCUUUCCAAACGGAAAGAAUACCACUUACCAGCACCAUAACCAUAACCAGAACCAUCAAUCUCAUAACCACCUGUACCACAAUGUCUCUGAUCAAGUACCACUAAUCAUUGGAGCUCCCUUGGCCGCUCAUAACCGCGAGCACGGCUGAUAUAUCAGUUUCAUAACACUCUGCAGAGGUUGUGCACUUUACCCACAAGCCGUGAUUCCCAUUCUGCCCGGAGAUCAUGACUCUCCAUUGAUCACUACCAAGGUGAUCCAGCAGGGCAUCACUACGAAGCCUUUACAAAGAUUCCCCGGGACUGCAGCCACCCGUUAGGUUUCCUAAAUGCACCGCACUCCUCCCCAAGGGGCGAACCCAAACUUGGCAGAGCGAGCCGCAUACACCGAGCCCCAUUGACGGCACGACGGCUAAGUGAACUACACCCCGGAUCCUCUAAUUAUUCAGCUAAGGGCACCCCAUUCCACCCUCAUGGUUGCACUGUUUUCCCGGGCGGUCAUCCAUAGAACAGGUCCUUACGGAGAGGCACUCGAGAAACCGCUCGAGUCCCCUUGAAAACCACAAGUAUAAUCAUAAAGAAGAACGGGAAAACAGCGUAUCAUAGAUAAUCACAUCAUGUUCAUUGAUUAGAGUUGAGCAAUAGCAUCAGACUAAGUAGUAAUAAUCCGACCCAAAUAGGUAAACAAGGACAUGGAUAACAAAAGCUAGUCAAUCCUUAGGUAUAAAUGUGUAAUGCGGGAGGUGAAUUAAAGAAUGAAUAGGACAUAGAUAGGUCAAAGGACACUUGCCUCCACCAAACGACUGCUGCUCAGGGGCUUCUCCUGCGAAUUCCUCGGGCUCUUCGACUGGAUCGUUCUCUAUGCGAGCGCAAACAUACAUACAUACAUCCACAUAUUUAAUACAAAAGAACAGUACACCAUACAAGAUAACAAAUAAAGCGAAUAUGCAUCAAGUAUGACAUUCGAUAACGCAUUUGUUAUGGUCAGAAAGAAACGGGAAAGGUCUCGCAGGGGGGGUUAAAUCUUAUGCACUAACGAUCAAUUACAAUUGGUUUUUAACAAAAUAAUUCUGCUACAUAUACACUAAUGGAAACCUAAUCACUUUUAGUUGAUCAACAUUGCACAGGGUAAACAAUUAACUACGUGCGUCAAUAGCAUAACGGAAUUUUAAAUUAAACUUCCUAUUUUCCCAUAGCAUGAACAGUGAUUAGCCUACUUAAAAUACAGUAAUUAUGAUCACAGAAAGUAAAUAAAAUAAAAUAAAAAAAAAUAAAAAAAAAAACAGAGGGGGGGGCGGUUGAACCGGCCCUAGGGCGGUUGAACCGGCCCUAGGCGGGGCGCGGGCGCGGGCGGCGCAGGGGGCGGCCGAACCGGGGGGCGGGGGGCGGCGCAGGGGGCGGCCGAGCCGGGGGGCGGGGCGGCCGAACCGGCGGGGCAGGGGGGCGGGUAGGGGGCGGCCGAGCCGGGGGGCGGGGCGGCCGAACCGGCGGGCAGGGAGGCGGCCGAACCGGCCAUGGGGAGAGGGGAUGGGGGAGGGAGGAGAGGGGGAGGGGGAAGCUCACCGGCGACGGGGACGGGGCGGCCGAGCGGGGCGGCCGAACGGCGACGGGGAGGGGCGGCGGCCUAGGCAGGGGCGGCGGCUAGGGCAGGGGGCGGGUAGGGGGCGGCGGCUUGGGUGGGGAGGGAGAAAAUGAGGGGGGAGAGGGAGAGGGUUAGGGGAUAAGGGAAAGAGGGGGGGGGCGGCUGGGCCUACUAGGCCCAAGAGGGGGGCGCCAGGGGGCGGCUGGGCCGGCCGGGGUCGGCCCACGGCGCGGGAGAGAGAGAAAAAAAAGGAGAGAGAAAGAGAGAGAGAAAAGAGAAAGAAAAGAGAAAGAAAACAUUUUCGAAAUCCGAUCUUUCUACAUGAAUGCAUUUGCACUUUCAAAGCAAUCAAAAGAAAUGCAAGGUUCGGCAUGGUGCAUCAAACAACAUAAAGUAUUUAGGGUUUUUAUACAUACGGGAAUUCCAAACCGAAUCCCGCUAGAACUUUGGAAAAGGUCAAGGUUUAGCGAGGGAAAAAGAAAAAGAAAAGGUAACGCCCGAAUUUUGGCGAGUAAAGAAAAGAAAAAAAAUUCAACUGCAAAAAUUCGGGGCGUUACAAACCUAUCCCCCUUAAAAGAAUCUCGCCCUCGAGAUUCAGGGCUGGCUAGCAAAGAGCUCCGGGUACUUGGCCUUCAGAUCAUCUUCACGCUCCCAGGUUGCUUCUUCCUCAGAGUGGUGACUCCAUCUGACUUUGCACAUUCUGACGGUCUUCCUUCGGGUGACUCUGUCUGCAAUCUCAAGGAUCUGAGCUGGCUUCUCAACGUAGGUCAAGUCCUCCUGGACUUCCAGACCUUCCACUGGCAACUGCUCUUCCGGCACACGCAAGCACUUCUUCAACUGAGACACAUGAAAGACAUCAUGCACAGCAGACAAAUUCUCUGGCAGACUGAGCUGAUAGGCCACUUCUCCACGUCUUGCAAGAAUCUGAUACGGACCAAUGUAGCGGGGUGCUAGCUUGCCUUUCACUCCGAAUCUUCUGACUCCUCUGAUCGGUGACACUUUCAGAUAGACAAAGUCUCCGACUUCGAAACUCAGCUCUCUUCUUCUUGUGUCUGCAUAGCUUCGCUGCCUUGAUUGCGCUAUCUUCAGAUUCUCUCGGACCAUCUUGACGUUCUCUUCGGCUUCGAGCAAAAUGUCUGGCCCAAACACUUGCUUUUCCCCAGGCUGAUCCCAUUGCAACGGAGUUCUGCAACUCCUUCCAUACAGCGCUUGAAAUGGUGACAUCUUCAAACUGGCCUGGUAACUGUUGUUAUAGGAAAACUCCGCAUAAGGCAAUCGCUUGUCCCAUCCGGACUGAUCUUGCAACGCACAUGCUCUCAACAUAUCUUCAAGAAUUUGAUUGGUUCUUUCGGUCUGGCCAUCUGUCUGCGGGUGGUAAGCUGAACUGAAAUUCAGAUGCGUGCCCAAGGCUUCAUGCAACUGCUGCCAGAAAUGAGAGGUGAACUGCGUUCCUCUGUCUGACACUAUCUUCUUUGGCACACCAUGAAGACAAACGAUCCGAGACAUAUACAAUUCUGCCAAUACUGCACUGUUGUAGUUGGUCUUGACAGGUAUGAAGUGGGCUGACUUGGUCAAGCGGUCCACUACUACCCAAAUGGAAUCGUAGCCGGCUCGAGUGCGAGGCAAUCCGACUAUGAAAUCCAUACCAAUUUCAUCCCAUUUCCACUGAGGGAUCUGCAACGGUUGCAACAAUCCAGCUGGUCUCUGGUGUUCUGCCUUAAUUCUUCGACAACUAUCGCACAUAGCCACAUGCUCUGCGAUUUCCCUUUUCAUUCCGUACCACCAGAAUUUCUUCUUCAGAUCCUGAUACAUCUUCUCACUGCCAGGGUGAAUCGAAUAGGCUGUCUCAUGAGCUUCCUUGAGAAUCAACUCCCGAAUAGACUGGACAUUGGGAACACACAAGCGGUCUUUGAACCAUACCACACCUUCUGCAUCUUCUCGAAAGUCUUUGCCUCUGCCAUCUAGAAUCAAUCGCCGAAUCUCACUGAUCUUCUCAUCAUUUUUCUGCGCUUCUUUGAUUUCGCGCUCCAAGGUAGGUUCCAAUUCAACUGUGACUCCUCGAGAAUUGUUUAGAAAUCCGAGACUCAACCUGUCAAACUCCUUGGCCAACUCAUAAGGCAUCGGACGAGCGACCAUCAGAUUGACUUGACUCUUUCUGCUCAAAGCAUCUGCCACUACGUUUGCUUUGCCUGGAUGGUAAUGAAUCUCCAACUCAUAGUCUUUGAUCAAUUCUAACCAUCUUCGUUGCCUCAUGUUCAAUUCUGAUUGAGUGAAUAUGUACUUCAGACUCUUGUGGUCUGUGUAAACAUCGCAUUUCUGUCCAUACAGAUAGUGCCUCCAUGUCUUCAGUGCGUGAACCACUGCUGCCAACUCUAGAUCAUGGAUGGGGUAGUUCUUCUCAUGAACCUUCAGCUGUCGGGACGAGUAAGCCACAACUCUUCCCUCUUGCAUCAACACACAUCCCAAACCUGUGUAACAAGCAUCACAAUACACCGAGAAGGGCUUGUGCACAUCAGGCAAGACUAGGACAGGCGCUGUUGUCAACUUCUCUUUCAGCGCUUCAAAGGCCUCUUGGCAUUUCUGGGUCCACUUGAACUCAACCUUGUUGCCUAGCAACGCUGUCAUUGGCUUCGCAAUCUUCGAAAACCCUUUAAUGAAUCGCCGAUAAUAUCCGGCCAUUCCAAUGAAGCUCUUGAUUCCUCUAGCAUCUGUUGGUGCUUUCCAGUUCAGAAUGUCUGCCACUUUCUUCGGAUCCACAGUCAAUCCUUCUUUGUUGAUUAUGUGACCCAAGAACAGGACUUCACUGAUCCAGAACUCACACUUGCUCAACUUUGCAUACAACUGGUGCUCUCGCAAUCUCUGCAACACCAUCCUCAAAUGAUCUGCAUGCUCUUCUUCACUUUGAGAAUAAACCAGAAUGUCAUCAAUGAAUACCACCACGAACUUAUCAAGAUAAUCCAUGAAUACACUGUUCAUCAAGUUCAUAAAGAAUGCUGGCGCAUUGGUCAAACCAAAAGACAUCACUGUGAACUCAUAUAAACCAUACUUGGUAAUGAAUGCCGUCUUCGGAAUGUCCGAAGGUCGGAUCCUGAGCUGAUGAUAACCUGACCUCAGAUCGAUCUUGGAGAACACACUGGCUCCUCUCAACUGGUCGAACAGAUCUUCUAUUCUGGGCAAAGGAUACUUGUUCUUGAUCGUGACCUCAUUCAAAGCUCGAUAGUCGAUACACAUCCUCUUGGUACCAUCUUUCUUCUCCACAAACAAGACAGGGGCGGCCCAAGGCGAGGUGCUUGGCCGGAUGUAACCUUUUUCUGACAGCUCAUCAAUCUGCUUCUUAAGCUCAUCCAACUCUGGUCCAGAUAUUCUGUAAGCUCUCUUGAAGAUAGGGGCGGUUCCAGGAAGAAGCUCUAUGGCAAAUUCAACUUUCCGCUCUGGUGGCAUACCCGGUAAAUCCUUUGGAAACACAUCUGGGAAUUCGGACACAACCUUGAUACUCUCAAUCGGGUCUGCUUCACUGCUAUCGACAGUCAUCUGAUAACAACUUCCUUUCUUUGGCUCAGGCGGGACUAACUCAGUCACCACUUCCUCUCCUAGUGGGGACACUAACUUGAUUGUCCUUUUAUCACAACUGAUAACUGCCUGAUACUUAUCUAGCCAAUUCAUCCCUAGGAUGACAUCUAUUCCCUGAGUACCCAUUACUAUAAGGUUGGCGGGAAACGCUAUCCCCCUUAUUUUCACACUUAUAUUCAAACAAAUGCUAUCGGCUCGAAUUCUACCACCGGCUGAAUCAAUUUGAAUGGGGGUUGACAUGGUAGUUAUUGGAAGUUUAUGUGCUUCUACCCAUGAUGCAGUAAUGAAAGAAUGUGUUGCUCCAGUAUCAAAUAACACUUCUGCAAUAUGGGAGUCGACUGGGAACAUACCUACUGUCAUGCCGGGGGUCUCCUGAACUGCUUCAGCUUCCAAGUGGUUCAAUCUUCCAUGAUUAUAGCGCUGCUGAGAGCGAUUGCCUGCUCCAGGCUGAGACACAUUCUGCUUUGCUGGGGCAUUGGGGCCUGACUGCUGCUGGGCUGCCUUCUUUGGACAUUGCAUCACCCAAUGGCCUUGCUCUCCACAGUGGAAACAUGCCCUGUUUCCAACCUGAGCUGGUGCUGCCUGACUGUUCUGCUGAUUUGCUGGGGCAGGAAGACGAGGUGCUUGCUGAUUCUGCCUUUGAAACUGACCUCCUGACUGAUUGCUCUGACGGUUCUGGUACUGAUUCUGAGGGUACUGCCUUUGGAACUGCUGAUACUGCUGACGCUGCUGAUGCUGCUGAGGUGGACGCUGGUUCUGCCUGAACUGCUGAGGUUGAUUGCCUGAAAAGCGAGGGCGACUGCUGCUUCCAGACUGCGGUCCACUGAUCUUGCGCUUACGAUCUUCCAUCUCCUUGCGCUUCCUUUCUGUCAUGAUUGCUCUGUCAAUCAGGUGCUGGAAUGUCGGGAAGGUGUGAUUCAUCAGCUGAUACUGCAGAGGGUCAACCAAGCCUCUCAGGAAACGGUACUGUCGCUUGGCGUCGGUGUUGACAUCUUCAGGAGCAUAGCGAGACAAUUGCAGAAACUUGUCCCGGUACUCACUGACAGACAAUGGCCCUUGCUUAAGGGCCAGGAACUCCUCCUUCUUCACUGUCAUCAGACCUGCAGGCACAUGGUACUGACGAAAGCUACCCCUGAAUUCUUCCCAGGUGAUGGUGUCGGGGUUGGCAUGGGUGGCGAGGUAAGACUCCCACCAUGACUGGGCUGCUCCUCUCAACAGACGGGGACCAUACAGAACUUUCUCCCUGUCAUCGCACUGAGCGGUAUGCAACUCCCGCUCCACAGUGCGCAGCCAAUCUUCAGCAUCCAUGGGGUCAGAAGAGUGAGCGAACGUUGGUGGAUGACCUCUCAUGAAUUCAGCACGCUUAUCUCUAGGCAUCUGAGGCAUCUGAGGCUGGGGUGGUGCUUGCUGCUGUUGCUGCUGCUGCUGCUGCUGAAUGGCGGCCAAAGUCUGACCGAUGGCUUGAACUGCCUGAGUCUGCAUCAGAAACAUCUGCUCAAUCGACAUCGGGGGCGGGGGCGGCAGGUGCUGCUGCUGGGGCACCUCAUCCUGCGGAGCGGCUCGCUCCUGCUGAGCACGCCUUCCUCCUCUACGCCUGUUCUCUGACAUCUGCAGAACGCAACCACACAUCAGAACUGAUCUGGCAAAUCUUGCAGCAUAAGGAAAGAGAAUAGAAUUCUUCAACAGCACUGGGCAGGUGAGCAUCUUCACUGAUCUCCAACACAGACCACACAUCUUCUCAGAUAAAGAGGAAAGGAGAAUAAUGGGUUUCCCAACUAUAUAACUAACUUUAUUGACAUAGUAUGUAAACCAAAAUGCAGGGGAUACCCACACUCUGGUGACAAUCAUUACAAAGAUCCAAACCAAACAUAGUUCAUCAUGACAAGCAUAAAUGCACAGGAUAUAGCAAACUACCCUGUCUAACUAAAACUAACUAAGACCGAGACUAACGCUAAGACUGAAGCUUCUAUGUAUAUAUUUAUUUCGUAUUAAUUACAAGAUCCAGCUCUAACGAUCUAUGGUUCUAGAGUUAUCUUGGUCUUGCAGGCGGGAUUGCCAUAAGACUGGUGUCCACGCUGAGGUGAGCGGUACGGGUGCUGAGUCCCAACGGGAGCGGGGGAACCACCAUCCAGAAAACGACGUUCCGCGCGCUCAGCCCGCAGCAGGGCGAUCUCAGCACGAGCCCUACUCAGCUCGUCUAAUGCAUGGUCCAGCUCCGUGUUUAGCACGGCGGCUAGGUUGACUGUGCUGCUCAACCUAGGAUUGCCCUCACCGACAGGUGAGACAAUCACGCCUCCUGUGCUGCCAGAUGAACGGCGGGGGUAAUACUUCAGGUCAAGACCGUCAGCUGCCCCACCGAAAACCGAGCAGUAGUGCGAAAGCGCACGCCGUGCAGCAUCUUGCAUGGCUGCCUCAGCUGAGUCCCGCUCAGAGAUAGAAUAGUACUCUGAACAGGCCUCUGCACCCUGGAGACUGUCCUCCGGGCAGCGCACCAAGCAAGUCGCCUCCCAGCGGUCCGGGUAGACCCCGCGACUAUGCUGGUAGACCACACAGCGAUACUCGACGGACCAAGUAUGCCGGUCAAAUGCCCGACGUAGCAGGGUGUCGAGCGCAUCAUGGAAGUGACACCCGCGAGCAGCGUCGCGAGUGAUGGGUCGAGCAACCCAUCCUUCCGGCUCAGGAUUAGCAGAGAAGUCGGUGUCGUGGCUCGAGCUGUCGUCGCCAUCUCCGUCGUCUGGGUCUCCUCCAGCAGCUACUCCAGAAGCUGGGGCGCCCAGUGGUGGUGCAGGGGGCGGCUCCAGAGAAAGCACAGGGGAGCAGCUCCUCACAGACUCUAUCUCCUGGUGGAGCGAGAGGGAAGAGCUCCGCUGCUCCUGUCGUCGACGCUCCUGCUCCUCACGCAGGCGGUGGUGUAGUCUCUCCAAGUGGCUGGACUGUCCGGCCACGGGACGGCGAAGCGGACGCUCAGCAAGGCGGGAGGGUAAGAAGGGGAUGACUGACUUUCGUGCAGUGUGUCUAAGUCGAGCCAUCUACAAAAGACAUCGCAAGCAAAAGGGUGAGAACAGAAUUAAUAUGACCAGCAAGUAAUAAGUAAAUGAAGGAUCAGAAUAAAACAUAAUUUUCAGCAAGGUAUAAUAUGUAGUAGAACAUAGGUUUGGUCAGUAGGACCAACUUUUGAAGGGAUAUCAAAGUCAAGGAAGAGACAGAGGUCUAUAGUCCUUAGAACGACCAUUCUACUCUAGGUUAGCGGUCCUACAGUCAGCACGGCUCUGAUACCACUUAUGUCACACCCGGUUUUAAAAAGGCAAACCGAAUGCGAACCAUGUACGUGCCAGGAUCAGUUAUUCACGUACACAGCAGUUACAUAAUAUGGACAUCAUCACACAGUGCUCAAAAUAGUAUUAAUAAGGGAAAUAGUAGAUUACAUCAUACGUCUGAGACGUCCAUAUAGUUCUUACAAUAAAUCAAAGUGCGGAAAAGAAACGUAGAUAACGCGGCCUUCACAGGCAGCCGACUGGGGGUUGCCGCUAACCCACACCUAGAACUCGUCGUAAUCUUGGAACUCCUGGAAGUCUCCUUCCACAGCUUCAUCUUCGCCUGAGCAGUGGUUGCAAUGCUGACAACCUGGGGGGGGGGUUUGGUGUGUAGAGCAAGGGUGAGUACACAUCAACAUACUCAGCAAGUAUCCUGUUUGGCUGUAGUGGACUAGCUUUAUGUGGGGAUAAGUCAAGCAGUUGCUUUUAGUUGGUCAGGUUAUUACUUACUAGUAGAAAGCCAAGUUUUAGCAUUAACCCAAGUUAUUAACCCAAUGUAUCCUUUCCAAACGGAAAGAAUACCACUUACCAGCACCAUAACCAUAACCAGAACCAUCAAUCUCAUAACCACCUGUACCACAAUGUCUCUGAUCAAGUACCACUAAUCAUUGGAGCUCCCUUGGCCGCUCAUAACCGCGAGCACGGCUGAUAUAUCAGUUUCAUAACACUCUGCAGAGGUUGUGCACUUUACCCACAAGCCGUGAUUCCCAUUCUGCCCGGAGAUCAUGACUCUCCAUUGAUCACUACCAAGGUGAUCCAGCAGGGCAUCACUACGAAGCCUUUACAAAGAUUCCCCGGGACUGCAGCCACCCGUUAGGUUUCCUAAAUGCACCGCACUCCUCCCCAAGGGGCGAACCCAAACUUGGCAGAGCGAGCCGCAUACACCGAGCCCCAUUGACGGCACGACGGCUAAGUGAACUACACCCCGGAUCCUCUAAUUAUUCAGCUAAGGGCACCCCAUUCCACCCUCAUGGUUGCACUGUUUUCCCGGGCGGUCAUCCAUAGAACAGGUCCUUACGGAGAGGCACUCGAGAAACCGCUCGAGUCCCCUUGAAAACCACAAGUAUAAUCAUAAAGAAGAACGGGAAAACAGCGUAUCAUAGAUAAUCACAUCAUGUUCAUUGAUUAGAGUUGAGCAAUAGCAUCAGACUAAGUAGUAAUAAUCCGACCCAAAUAGGUAAACAAGGACAUGGAUAACAAAAGCUAGUCAAUCCUUAGGUAUAAAUGUGUAAUGCGGGAGGUGAAUUAAAGAAUGAAUAGGACAUAGAUAGGUCAAAGGACACUUGCCUCCACCAAACGACUGCUGCUCAGGGGCUUCUCCUGCGAAUUCCUCGGGCUCUUCGACUGGAUCGUUCUCUAUGCGAGCGCAAACAUACAUACAUACAUCCACAUAUUUAAUACAAAAGAACAGUACACCAUACAAGAUAACAAAUAAAGCGAAUAUGCAUCAAGUAUGACAUUCGAUAACGCAUUUGUUAUGGUCAGAAAGAAACGGGAAAGGUCUCGCAGGGGGGGUUAAAUCUUAUGCACUAACGAUCAAUUACAAUUGGUUUUUAACAAAAUAAUUCUGCUACAUAUACACUAAUGGAAACCUAAUCACUUUUAGUUGAUCAACAUUGCACAGGGUAAACAAUUAACUACGUGCGUCAAUAGCAUAACAGAAUUUUAAAUUAAACUUCCUAUUUUCCCAUAGCAUGAACAGUGAUUAGCCUACUUAAAAUACAGUAAUUAUGAUCACAGAAAGUAAAUAAAAUAAAAUAAAAAAAAAUAAAAAAAAAACAGAGGGGGGGGCGGUUGAACCGGCCCUAGGGCGGUUGAACCGGCCCUAGGCGGGGCGCGGGCGCGGGCGGCGCAGGGGGCGGCCGAACCGGGGGCGGGGGCGGCGCAGGGGGCGGCCGAGCCGGGGGGCGGGGCGGCCGAACCGGCGGGGCAGGGGGGCGGGUAGGGGGCGGCCGAGCCGGGGGGCGGGGCGGCCGAACCGGCGGGCAGGGAGGCGGCCGAACCGGCCAUGGGGAGAGGGGAUGGGGGAGGGAGGAGAGGGGGAGGGGGAAGCUCACCGGCGACGGGGACGGGGCGGCCGAGCGGGGCGGCCGAACGGCGACGGGGAGGGGCGGCGGCCUAGGCAGGGGCGGCGGCUAGGGCAGGGGGCGGGUAGGGGGCGGCGGCUUGGGUGGGGAGGGAGAAAAUGAGGGGGGAGAGGGAGAGGGUUAGGGGAUAAGGGAAAGAGGGGGGGGGCGGCUGGGCCUACUAGGCCCAAGAGGGGGGCGCCAGGGGGCGGCUGGGCCGGCCGGGGUCGGCCCACGGCGCGGGAGAGAGAGAAAAAAAAGGAGAGAGAAAGAGAGAGAGAAAAGAGAAAGAAAAGAGAAAGAAAACAUUUUCGAAAUCCGAUCUUUCUACAUGAAUGCAUUUGCACUUUCAAAGCAAUCAAAAGAAAUGCAAGGUUCGGCAUGGUGCAUCAAACAACAUAAAGUAUUUAGGGUUUUUAUACAUACGGGAAUUCCAAACCGAAUCCCGCUAGAACUUUGGAAAAGGUCAAGGUUUAGCGAGGGAAAAAGAAAAAGAAAAGGUAACGCCCGAAUUUUGGCGAGUAAAGAAAAGAAAAAAAAUUCAACUGCAAAAAUUCGGGGCGUUACACUACAGCAGCAACAAUUGUUGCCAUACAACCAGUUCUCUUUGAUGAACCCUGUCUUGUCGAGGCAGCAACCCAUCGUUGGAGGUGCCAUCUUUUAGAUAACAUAUGAGAUGUACUCGAUAAUGGUGCCCUCAUACCGGCAUGUGUUUCCUAGAAAUAACCAAUAUAUUGAUUGAGAUUUAUCUCGAUAUAUUUCUGAACUAUGUCCAUCAUAUAAAUAAUUGAAAACAUCAAAUCGUAAUUAUAAACUCAUGCUUGGCCAAUACAUAGACAAUGCGAUAUUACUUCAACAUCCCAAUGAUGUCCUAGCCCAACCUCUUGAAUGUUAGUGUUUUAAUGUGUGAGGGUAUAUUUAUAAGAUAGACGUGACUAUUUGCGCUUUUUCAGUACAUACACAUAUGGUAUGUUGAUUUGAUAUAGUGAUGGACACAUGCUUUGACCAUGAAUAUUCAAAUCAGUUGUACUUGCACGAAGCAAAACAUAAUAUAAGUUUAGGAGUACACUUAUAACUGUAUCCAAUCAUGCUCACACAAAUUCAUACCACAUUAUAAUUUUUUGGUAAAUAUUCCACACAUGUACUUUUUACAAGAACCCAAAUUUUGCAAACAAAUGUAGCAUUGUAGACAUGUAGAAUUCUUUGAAGCACGUGAACUUAACAACAUCAAGGUCAUUAAAUCAACUAGACCCUAUGAGUAACAAUUUCGAUAUUGCAAACACCAAAUUAUAGAACUUAUUGGCUGAAAAAUUAUGAGCAAUGUGAACUUUAAAUUAUUAUACCAUAAAUAUAUCAAAGAAUUUUUUUAGGAACGUAAAAAUUGCAUGGAAUGGGCUGCCCAACGUGCUAGCUCACUUCUAUGCUAGGCAGCAUUACCAAAGAUGGGAAUGUUGCUGAUGAACGCCAAACCCACUCAAAUAAUAUUUAUAUUUGGGUUGUUUAGUUGUAAAAGUGAAGACCCAAGAUAAAAGUACCAAUUGUCCAAUGACAUUCGAUUAUUUUGUUCGGGGAGCACUUGGUGCGUCAUUUGUACUCGUAUCUUAGUCCAAUAGAUUGUAUUUUCCUUCAAUGUGUAGAAUCCGACAAAGUGCAUGUUCUAAAAUUGUAAAUCUAACUAAAUUAGAAAGCUUGUUACUAAUUUGAUGGUUUAUUAGGUGUAGCUCAUAAAACUAGAACCAACAUAGCCUGCACUCACAUGUCAUAGAAAAUAGGAGUAUCCAAGCACAAUUUGUGUGAGCAUCCAUGACACAAAUUAUAUAUAGAGUGAUAUAAUUAAUUCCUUCAAAAUAAAAAAAGGAAAAAAUAAAGUGUUUUUUGAUACUGCAGGAUAUCUCUUUUAGCUAAUGAGGAGUACUAAAAAGUUGUUGCACUUUUGGGUGGCGAGAAUUCCUCAAUCAUAACUUUGACAUAAUUUUAAUCCAGAUCACAUAUAUAGCAUCAUAUCUUAAUUAUUAAAUUAAUAUGGUUCCAUCAUCGUAUUAUUAAUUCAAUCUGAUAUAACCAUCAAAUCUUAAUUAUUAAAUUAAUCUGGAGCAUACAUUAGAUUAUCAAACCAAAUCAACCCGACAUAACCAUCGAAUGUUUCGCUAUGCGCCUUAAGCGCAUGGUCUCAGGCUUAAUCAUCCGGAAUAACCAUUCGAUCUUCUGGUAAGCAUAGUAAGCGUAUGGUUCAUGGCUUCGUCAUCCGGAAUAACCAUCAUAUUUUCCGGUAUGCACUGAAAGCAAAUGAUCCGGGGUUUUGGUAGGUGAAACGUUGUUAGGUGAAUGCGGAUCCUGGCUGCUGUUGCACGUGUGAACUGCUGUGUGGAAGCUGCUGGGUCCUCCUCUAUUUUGCGUGGUUUGUGGCAGGCUUGGAAUUCUCUCAUGGCUUCGGUGCUUGGAACUGCUCGUACGUCCGGUCCUGCGUGCAUCUCUCUCUCUCUCCUGGCUGGAGGUGUGGUGGUCUGGCGGCUUGUCUGUGUUUUUCUUUUUACGACGGCUUCUCGUGUUGGCUAGGGUUGGCGUCAGGGGCCCGGUCAGCUAUGCUCCCUCUGCUUUUAUAGGCAGUGCACCACAGCAGGCAGAGCAGAGAUAAAGAUUCCAACUGCAUCCAUCUACAAACAAGGCUCUCGGUGGAAGGGAUAAAAGCAUGCAUCGCAAUUGCCGCUGCCCUGCUUUAGCCUUGAGUCUCGUCAAUUGGAUGACCAAAAGAUGUCACCGUCUAAGCUCUUUUCUUUGUGCAGCUGCCUGUUUGUCACCAACACAAAAUUGUAGGUGCAUGUUUGACACCAAUUAUCCUCUACCACAAAGAACUACAAUAGUGAUGGAGGAUCUGAUCCGGCACUGAUCCACUAUAAUGCAUAGUGGGUGAUGCAUGUCUAAUGGUGGUUGUUUAGUGUUAGUUUGGGCAUGUUGGAACUAAGCAAUUGUCGAUGCCAUACACUAGAUGUGAAGAAUGUUGUUAGCGUUAGGAGUAGAGGUGUCAAUGGGGACCGAUACCCGUUAAGCCAUGGAGAAUUUCUCUAUUAGAUUUAGGGUAUGGGAAAUUUUUUAUUUCCAUUUGCUGAAGUUAGGUAUACAUCUAUUUGAAUCAAUAGUUACAGUUCAACAGAAACUCCUUCCGCUCUAGUUUGUUUCAUGUCCUACCUUUUUCCUAAACUAGUGUUUCCUAAAUUGACAUACUCUCUAGAAAAUCUAUCCAAAUUUUGAAGAUCAAAUAUGUUCCAUUGAAUUAUUCAUGACAUAUAUCUUGGUAUUGCUUUUUGUCAUCAGAAUAUAUUUUGAACUCAGUAAAAGUUAUACACGAUUUUUUUAGACAAUACUAAAGCAAGUUGUAUCAAGAACACUGGAGGUGUGCGCCAAUUGCCACAUUUAGAUAUAAUCAUUCUAAUUUUGGUCAUCCUAUGUGUGUGCAUUCAUCUAUGCAUUCUAGGAUUUCAAUUAGUCUCAAUCUUGUAGUAUUUGUUCCUUCAUUGUCAAAUCACUUCUCAUCUAACUACUAUGCUUGUUUAACCAUCAGAACAUAACUACAACAAUAUCCAUUUAUAAAGGUUUUGAUAGCAAACUUUACAUAUUCAUAUCAUGUUAAGGUUGUCACAUGUGUAAAGGUGAAGAGAUCAUGCAUGUCAUUCCACGUAGAUGAAAAGAAUUCCUAUAUAAAAUGACACCUUUUCUUGUAGGUAGUGGAAAGUAUCUUUCCAGCAAAGACCAUAUAAUCCGAUAAAGUUGAUAACUAAAUGUCAAAAUAGAGUAGAUGCCAUAUCAUAUAUACCUUAUCUGUUGUUUGGAAAAAAAAGACUAAAUCCCAAAAAUAUAUAUGAGAUCUCACUUGUAUAAAUAGCUCCCAAAUUAGUAGUUAACCAUCACCCAUAAUAUUUUGAACAUUCAGAAACACACCUAGCGAAGCGCACUAGCAACGACCUAACAACAAUGGCUACCAAGAUAUUAUCCCUCCUUGCGCUUCUUGCCCUUUUUGUGAGCGCAACAAAUGCGUUCAUUAUUCCACAAUAUUAGUUAUACUCUUAAUGUCACGAUGUAUAUGUUUGAUUAAAUUGUUUAAUAGAUAUAAUCAAAGAUAAAUAACUUGCAUGGCUCCGUAGGAUAUUAUGUGUAUCUUGUUCAUGAUCACUAAUGGUCCUCAUAGGCACCAUUUGAUUUGCUGCUCCCAUUGUCUCAAUUUCCAUUGUAUUGUCAUCGUUGACCCCCGACGCUCGAAAUUCUGCAGGUGGUGUUACAAUAUGUCUCCGUGGACUCGUAGCACAGUUUGGAGAUUUAAGUCUUAGGGUGAGCGCUGUUGGUAGACCACUGUAUGUGUCUGCACGACGGCCACCAUAUUUGACUUUUUAUUUUAUAAACCGAUGUAUUUAUACAAAUAUUAAUGUACCUGAUGCAGCUCUGUGCAUGAUGCAGAAGAAACAUCACCAGUUUCUUCUUCUCCACCGUCAACCAUGGGUCAACAAUGCAGCGACGCCGCCAGUUCCCUUUCUUAUAUGCACCGCUCUGUCUAGUCUCGGGUAGCCAUGUUUACGCUAUUUUUUGUGGUCAUUUACGGUCUAUAAAGUUUGUUCCUGCAUGCAUGGAGAUAUUAUCGGAGACGUGACAACUACCCGAUAGAUUUUAUCUCGGUUUGUUGAAACAAUUUUGUAUUUACUCAACUAAAUGAAACCAGUUACGCAAUUUUCUGUAUAUAUUUAUGCCUGAGUUUCUGCUUACGUGCAUGCCAUGCAAUAUUCUCGGGAACUACCAAUUAUGGUUUGUGAUUUUAUCGCGUAUUCCGUUUAUGCUAAUAUUCAAACACGUUUACAUUUUGUUUGUUAAUGUUUAUGCUUUGGUUCGACCAACCAGAAAACCGCACAGAGAAACUUGGGCGCUGCCCGGAUCGAACAAAUUGGCUGGGGCUUCCCGAUACUAAUGGAAGCCCUAGGCUUCCAUUAGUUCGUCCAUAUAUAUAUAUAUAUAUAUAUAUAUAUAUAUAUAUAUAUAUAUAUAUAUAUAUAUAUAUAUAUAUAUAUAUAUAUAUAUAUAGUUUAUCUAUUUGGAGCCCUGGGCUUCCAAAAAAACAAGGAAGCCCUGAUCCAAAAAGUCUAUUCCGGUUCAGUGCAACCACAACCGGCCAACCCAACCACAAUCCCCCACGCUUGCGCGUACAUUUCAUUUUUUCCAUCAAUUCAGCCGAAACCGCCACCUUAAAUUAGGAUAUAUUAUUUUCCCCCAAAACAAACCCUAACCGGUCGGCCCAAUUCUCACGCGCUCGCCACAGAUCUAGCCCUGCCUACAGCGCUCUCGCUGCUGCACGUCCCGUUCACGUCGUCGUCCGCCCCUGGCCCUUGCCUCACCGACUCGUGGCCGUCGGCAGCUCCACGUGGGACACGGCCACGCCUGACGCCUCCACCUCCACGACUCAGCUGACGGCUCCUCUCCAUGGGACGGUGCAUGACGACGCCAUGGCGGUUCACCGGCUCCAACCUUCCCCCUCCGGCCUACAGUCCUCCACCGUCCGGUCGCCAGUGGUCCUCCAUGGGCCAUGGCUGACGGGUGCACGCACCGGUAUUCAUCCCUUGCUGCUCUAUUCCCAAUGCUCUAGCUCGUGUACUAGUUGUGCAGCCUGUCGCCUAGCCCUGCUCCGGCGUGAAGUCCUGAUGCUUCUAGUUGUUUUUGUCUUAAAUAAAGAUGCUAGUAUGCAUGUGGCUAUGUGAGGUCUAUUGCAUCCGAUUUAGUGCUGCACAUUUAAGUAAUCUUGAUGAUUGAUUCAAGCAAUUUUUUACUUGGCCUUUAUAUUCUAGAUUAUUGUAACCGGUUGAAACUAAGAGAUACAUGAUGAUUUUCUAAAUCAUAAAUAUAUUUAUAUUGCAUAAUCUUCUACCUAAGGCCUUAGUGCCUAUCCUUAACAAAUAUUUUUUUAUACUUGAUUCUACUGUGUAGGUAUGACAGGUCGUUCAACGAGCACCUCAUUAUCCAGAGUCUCACAAUUUAAAUUGUUUGAUUUCUAAAGUCCAAUUAUAUUUCUAGUCAGCAAUCACAUAUUAACUACACAAGCAAAGUGCAGAGAUAUAUUAUGUUCCUUUUUGAAACAAGUUAUUUCUUACAAUACCAUUUUCAUUGUGUUCUUUUCAUUGUAUUUUUCCUUCAUCUAUCAUGUCACGUUGUGGUUGUGGACCUGGCUAGCUUCAAUCAUGCUUUUCCUUUUUCAGUUUCGCCUUUUCCAGUGGUAAUACUUGACAGAGAAAUCCUGAACCAAGCGCAAACCUUCUGCAAGACCUGGUAACUUAUUUUAGGGGCUAGAAAUAGGCGACGACAGUUCAGGCCUUGUUUUUUACACCAAUCCAACCCUGGAUUAGCAAUGAUUUUUAUGCAGCUCUUGUUUGUUACGACUACUCAUGGCACCAUUUAUGCAUACAUCUGAACUAUUUAUGCUGUUGAUAUGUUUCUAGUGUGGCAAUGAUUUUUUUACAUAUAGAUGCUUACCAAAAGUUCAAAAUCUUUCCGGUCGGUAGCAGUAGAAGCAGCACACCCAAUUUGUCAUACACUCUGUAAUUUUUAUUUCCUAAAUAUGUCUUUUUAUGCUAAUUUGAAUACGCUAUUACGCCCAAUUACUAGAUCGCGCGUAUGCUCCAUUUUGUAAACACGUAGACCACCAAAUUGUACAUUUUUUAUGUUCUUUUUAUGCUUUUAUUCUGAGUUGAAUUGGUCCUCACAUGAUCAUGCAUCAAUACCCAAUGGUUCAGACUCAUCUAAUGCUUCUGCUUCCUUACAUGAACAUGCAUUAGCACAUCAGUCAUCUAGCGCUACUUACUAUAACAAGCACACAUUAUCCACCGAUAUGAUUCUUAUUCCUGCUAAUUUUAAUGUGUUAUUAUGCUCAAUUAUCAGAUCUCGUGUACGCUCCGCAUUGUAAACACGUAGACCAAUUCUCCUACAUUGUUUUUGUUCUUCCUUUUAUGCUUUUACGAUGAUUUGAAUUGGUCCUUUUCAGAACAAUGCACCCCCAGUACGUAGUCCACUCUAGAGCAGUAUACGACAGAUACGCCCAGUACCUCCAGUAAGUAUAUGCUCUUUAUUUUUGUGAUCUACUGCCCAAGUAUCCAGAAGGCAAACUAGAUUUUGAUGUCUGCAUAUUAAAAUUGCCGAUAUCAAAUAAAUCGUCCAUGAGUUGUCCUAGAGUUUCUAGUGUGAAGGAUAUGCAUUGAAUCAGUUUUAUAUGUUUUCGGAAUGAUGGACAAGGUACAACAUGAUAGGAGAAUUUUUUUACACCCUAGUUAUCUUGUUUUAAUUCACCCUUUUUGCGCUCCAAUUAUUUUGGUGAAUCUUAGCAUAGAACUUGACCUUAUAUUAUUUUGUAUGUUUGGUUUGCAUGGGAUAUAUUUAUGAACAUUGAUAUCGUUUUUAUGCUUACUGACAGAAUGCAUAUGGCCUGAAAAUGGAGAAUUGAGGUAUAAAAUAUCGGCUCUUCACUGUCAUAUGCAUUCAUUAGCUUUUUGGUGAUUGGCUCAAUUUAAUGGUUGGUGCACUCAUGCAAUUUUGAACUAAAACAACAACUUGUUUGCACUAUCCAUGCAUAUUGAUAUUGCUAUUGUAGCAACUGCUAUAAAUAACUGUGGCACCAUUUAUGCAUACACUCCACUAUAUAUGUGUUUUGAUUUGUUAUGAUCAGAAAUUCCAUUAUUAACGACUGAAUUUUGGUGUGCUGAUGCUAUAACCUGUGACAUCCAGCUAUUUUCUUGAUUUGUUACAUCUUUUUGUCAAUCUUAAUCUUAUUUUAUUUGAUUUAUUGCAUCAUCCAUUUGAAUAUAGACAUAAAAACCAAGAGCUAAAAUGAAUACUAUUUCCAGUUCUAGGCGGCAUUAUAAAUUCUAUUUUUUUCUUAUAAUGAUGUGAAUCUUGAUGGUUUAAUACUAUUGUUUUAGGACAAUUAUUAUGGUUUCAUACUAUUUCCAGUUCUUUAGUCAUGGAUUUUUUUUCAGAAGUUGAUGAACUCUACCUUCGCAGGAUCUAGUUCCUUGAAUCUUACUGUCUUUUGAGUUUGAGCAUAUACUGAUGUGGAGAGGAAGUGAUUGGAAAUCAUCUCUUCCUCCAUUAGAAAAUAGUUAUGAAGUGACAAAGGUGCAAGAAAGUUUUAGUGGCAAAGAAUCUAAUGAAAAGGUUACACAUUCAGGAAAUGUUCUGAUCCAGAUUUAGUUGGUCAGUGUUGCAACAUCUCACAAGAACUGGAACUUGGAUGAAGGUCAAGAAAAAUUUAAAGAUUCCACUGACAGUGAUAUGGUACUGAAUUCUGCAAAGGAUGUUCCUGCAUUGUUCCAUUCUACAGGUAUAUCUAGAACUGAACCCUCAGCAGACAUUGCAUUGGAAUAUUCCCCAUUAAAUCCAGUAUGUGAUAUUAUGGAUCCAUCCCUGAACUGCCGAAGUAUCCCAACAAACAAAUGUGAAAGUAGAGCUCUGGUAGAGAAGUCAGAACAUUGUCCGAAUGAUUAUAAUUUGGAAAUGAAGGGGAAAAGAAACGAUGGUACAAAAUGUACAGUUGUUCUAAAUAGCGGUUCUAAAGUAGAGGGAUUGUUAUGUCUUUUGGAGCAAGCCAUUCACAGUGGCAGGGCACUUGUUCUGAGUGAAGAUGAACUUGCUGAUUCAGAUCUGGUCUAUGAAAAGUCUGUUGCUUUUAGAAAGUCAAUUCUGCGAAGACUGGUUUUUGAGAAUACUCGAAGGAAGUCCAGUGCCAGGAGAAAUGUGCCAGACAAUCAUGCAAGAACUAAAACACAUAUUAUAGCAAAUAAAAUGUUGAGCAGUCCUGUUGAAAAUAAAUUUAUCGUUAAUGGAGGAUCUGCAAUGCAGACAAUUGACCAUGGACAAGAGUGUCUUUCUGGUGUUGUUCAUCAAGGUACCUUAAGAGUAGAUGAACUAGCAAAGUUACUAGCUUGAGAGGUGAUUGCUCUUUUAUCAACCACAUAGACCAGUAUCAACAUCCUUUGAAACAUAUGCAAGAUUUGCAUGAACUCUGAAUUUGGUUAAAACAAGUCUCAGGUCUGUUGCGUCGUGGCGAGUCCUUUUUAACCUUGAAAUAUUGAACUAUAAUCAUGUGCGAUGUACAAACAACCUUCCGAAUACAUAUUCUCUGAUUUGUCUGUUGUCACCAUAAUUGGCCACUGAUAAAUAACCCUUCUGUUUUAUGUGACAAAAAAUGGUCCACACGAUGCGUUUUACGUUCAAAAACUUCUACGCGACAUGCACGGAAACUAACGCUAAACAUGCGUGAUUUAAACGUCGUAAUUCGUUACGAAACAGAUCAACGAUUUAUGCUAAAAUUCACACCCAUUUACGCUAUUUUGGAUCAUAUUUUACGCAAAAAUCCGCCCGAGCCAGAACCCGCGCAUGAUCCGACGCGCGCGAUUUUUACGCCGUAAUUUUUGGGCCACAUUCGUCGUUAUGAAACUAAGUUACGAUUUACGCUAAAAUUUUUACCCAUUUACGUUGUUUUGGUUAACGUUUUACGCAAAAAUCCAUCCAAGCCAGAACCCGCGCAUGAUCGGACGCGCGCAAUUUUUACGCCGUAAUUUUUGGGCCCUAUUCGUCGUUACAAAACAGAUCUAUGAUUUACGCUAAAAUUCAUAACCAUUUACGCUGUUUUGGUUCACGUUUUACGCAAAAAUUCGCCCAAUCCAGAUUCCGCGCACGAUCGGAAGCGCGCGAUUUUUACACCGUAAUAUUUGGGCCCAUUCGUUGUUAUGAAAUAGAUCUACGAUUUACGCUAAAAUUCGUACUCAUUUACGCUGGUUUGGUUCACGUUUUACGCUAAAAUCUGCCUGAGACAGAACCGUGCACGAUCGGAUGCACGCCUACCUGCGCGUAGGUAUACCUGGCUGGGGCUUCUCGGUACUAAUGGAAGCCCUGGGCUUCCAUUAGCUCGUGUAUAUAUAUAUAUAUAUAUAUAUAUAUAUAUAUAUAUAUAUAUAUAUAUAUAUAUAUAUAUAUAUAUAUAUAUAUAUAUAUAUAUAUAUAUAUAUAUAUAUAUAUAUAUAUAUAUCAAACUUCAUUAGAUUUGUAUAUUUAUCACCUAAAUUGCAAAUGUAUAGUGUCGUUCCUUCUAUGUAUGGACUAAAUGGUGAAUUACAUACUUCUUUAACAUAUUUAAUUGAGGUUUUCUUGGCCCUGUUCAAAUGUUUUUAAACAGCCUACAAUACAGCGUUGACCUUUGUUUACCAUUUAAAUGCUGUUCAAACAGGUUAGAUAUAACGGUGGUUGCGACUGAAUGCCGAGGCAUGCAUUUCUACAAGGUGGUUUAUUAACUAGGGUCCACUCCUUCAUAUGUACCCACAUAUAUACAAGGUGGUUUUUUAACGAUAGGAAUAACUACACCUGGGAGUAGGAAAAAUGCACCAUAUAUAUAUGUCAAACUUCAACUAUAUAUUAGAACCAUUUGAGACUUUCUGAUUGGUGUCCUUCGCAAAUAUAACCUCAUGGUAUGGCUUAUAUGACAGAACAUCCAUUAGAUGUGUGUGAAAGAGAGGACGCUACACCUGCUGAGUGAGGAUGCUGAUUGAAUUGCUGCUGCAUAUAUAUUGGUUUCGAUGAAUUGCCAUAAGCGGAUAUGUGGCCCAUGCACUCCUGUUGCACCAUUCAUGUGUCCAUCUGAUAAACCAUAUGCAGAUGAGUUGUCCAGCAUGUCUGAAUGUAUUCCAGAAUUAUUGUGGCCUAUGCUGAAUCUGAUUGCAAUUUUGGUUGCUAGAAAAUUGGAUCUGGAUCCGGAGCUGAAUCCUGGAGUUGGGAUCCUGUUGAUUACUGAAUCUGGAGCUGCACAUUCUGUUGAUUACUGAAUCCUGGAGUUGGGAUCAUGUCUCAUGUGAGCUGAACCAACUGAACCCGGCCCAUCGUAGAUUGUACGUUAUUUGUGGUAGAUUUUGUGGAAUGCCAGAAUUUAAAUGCUGGUAGCCAUUGGACCUGUGUGGAGGAAUUAAGAGUGGGUUACUAUAAAAACAAAAUGUUAUUCUUUUACAAUUUUUUGUUAAUACACAUGGCUCUGUUCCUGAUGCAGCAUUUCCUAUAUAUAGACUUGAUGAAACAUUUCCUGAUGAAGCUUUCUUUUUCUUAACAGGUCAGUGGAGGUGACGUUUAGUACGAAAUGAGGACACAUGUCACUUAUCUGCUGCGAAUACUGCCGUCGGACAAAAAAACUUAUAACUUUUUGUGCAAUCAGCAAUUACUAAUAUGCUGCUCGCGAUGAAUGAUGUGUGUAUGCUACUUUUGGACCUGUGGUAUCUAAGGCUGCCAACCAUAAUGUUUUGGCAAACACAAAUCCGUGUGGCUAAACAAAAAUCUUGAUGCAUGUUGUAUGAUCCAGCUAACAUCAAUGCCGCUUUAUUGUAAAUGUUUAUGUUUUUACUAUAUGACUUACUAUAUGUGUUGAUUAUAUUGCAAAUAUUUUUAUCUCCUCCCAUUCUCGGCGCCUCCUGUUCUAGUUUGUACAUAAUGAAGGGUAGACUCACAGCAUAGCUGGUGCAAGGGAAAAAAUGUUGCAUAAAAUAUGUCAUUUCCAUUUUUUGAGGAAACAUGUCAACAUUGACAUUUGCUGAAGUUAGGUAUACAUCUAUUUGAAUCAACAGUUACAGUUCAACAUAUACUCCUUCCGCUCUAGCUUGUUGCGUGUCCUACUUUUUUUCUAAAUCACUUUUCUCUAAAUUGACAUACUCCCUAGAAAAUCUAUCCAAAUUUUGAAGAUCAAAUUUGUUCCAUUGAAUUAUUCAUGACAUCUAUCUUGGUAUUGCUUUUUAAUAAUCAGAAUAUAUUUUGAUCUCAACAAAAGUUAUACACGAUUCUUUUUAGACAAUACUAAAGCAAAUUGUAAUCAAGAACACUUGAGGUUCGCACCAAUUGCCACAUUUAGAUAUAAGCAUUCUAAUUUUGGUCAUCCUAUGUGUGUGCAUUCAUCUAAGCAUUCUAGGAUUUCAAUUAGUCUAUAUCUUGUAGUAUUUGUUCCUUCAUUGUCAAUUCACUUCUCAUCUAACUACUAUGAUUGUUUAACCAGUAGAACAUAACUACGACAAUAUCCAUUUAUAAAGACUUUGAUAGCAAACUUUACAUAUUCAUAUCAUGUUAAGGUUGUCACAUGUGUAAAGGUGAAGAGAUCAUGCAUGUCAUUCCACGUAGAUGAAAAAAUUCCUAUAUAAAAAUGACACCUUUUCUUGUAGGUAGUGGAAAGUACCUUUCCAGCAAAGAUCAUAUAUAUAAUCCGAUAAAGCUGAAAACUAAAUGUCGAAAUCGAGUAGAUGCCAUAUCAUCUAUACCUUAUCUCUUGUUUGGAAAAAAGACAAAACCAAAAAAUAUUUAUGAGGUCUCACUUGUAUAAAUAGCUCCCAAAUCAGUAGUUAAUCCAUCACCUAUAAUAUUUUGAGCAUUCAGAAACACACCAAGCGAAGCACAUUAGCAACAACCUAACAACAAUGGCUACCAAGAUAUUAUCCCUCCUUGCGCUUCUUGCGCUUUUUGCGAGCGCAACAAAUGCGUUCAUUAUUCCACAAUGCUCACUUGCUCCAAGUUCCAUUAUUACACAGUUCCUCCCACCAGUUACUUCAAUGGGCUUCGAACACCCAGCUGUGCAAGCCUAUAGGCUACAACAAGCAAUUGCGGCGAGCGUCUUACAACAACCAAUUUCCCAGUUGCAACAACAAUCCUUGGCACAUCUAACAAUACAAACCAUCGCAACGCAACAGCAACAACAAUUCCUACCAGCACUGAGCCACCUAGCCAUGGUGAACCCUGCCGCCUACUUGCAACAGCAGUUGCUUGCAUCAAACCCACUUGCUCUGGCAAACGUAGUUGCAAACCAGCCACAACAACAGCUGCAACAGUUUCUGCCAGCGCUCAGUCAACUAGCCAUGGUGAACCCUGCCGCCUACCUACAACAGCAACAACUGCUUUCAUCUAGCCCGCUCGCUGUGGCCAAUGCACCUACAUACCUGCAACAACAAUUGUUGCAACAGAUUGUACCAGCUCUGACUCAGCUAGUUGUGGCAAACCCUGCUGCCUACUUGCAACAGCUGCUUCCAUUCAACCAACUGACUAUGUCGAACUCUGCUGCGUACCUACAACAGCGACAACAGUUACUUAAUCCACUAGCAGUGGCUAACCCAUUGGUCGCUGCCUUCCUACAGCAGCAACAAUUGCUGCCAUACAACCAGUUCUCUUUGAUAAACCCUGUCUUGUCGAGGCAGCAACCCAUCGUUGGAGGUGCCAUCUUUUAGAUUACAUAUGAGAUGUACUCGAUAAUGGUGCCCUCAUUCCGGCAUGUGUUUCCUAGAAAUAAUCAAUAUAUUGAUUGAGAUUUAUCUCAAUAUAUUUCUGAACUAUGUUCAUCAUAUAAAUAAUUGAAAACAUCAAAUCGUAAUUAUAAACUCAUGCUUGGUCAAUACAUAGACAAUGCGAUAUUACUUCAACAUCCCAAUGAUGUCCUAGCCCAACCUCUUGAAUGUUACUGUUUUAAUGUGUGAGGGUAUAUUUAUAAGAUAGACGUGACUACUCGCGCUUUUUUUAGUACAUACAUAUAUGGUAUGUUGAUUUGAUUAGUGAUGGACACAUGCUUUGACCAUGAAUAUUCAAAUGAGGUGUAUUUGCACGAAGCAAAACAUAAUAUAAGUUUAGGAGUAGACUUAUAACUGUGUCCAAACAUGCUCACACAAAUUCAUACCACAUUAUAAUUUUUUGGUAAAUAUUCCACACGUAUUUUUUACAAGAACCCAAAUUUUGCAGAUAAAUGCAGCAUUGUAGACAUGUAUAAUUCUUUGAAGCCCCUGAACUUAACAGCACCAAGGUCAUUAAAUCAACUGGACCCUAUGAGUAACAAUUUCAAUAUUGCAAACACCAAAUUAUAGAACUUAUUGGCUGAAAAAUUAUGAGCAAUGUGAAGUUUAAAUUAUUAUACCAUAAAUAUAUCAAAGAAUUUUUUUUGAGGAACGUAAAAAUUGCAUGGAAUGGGCUGCCCAACGUGCUAGCUCACUUCUAUGCUAGGUAUCAUUACCAAAGAUGGGAAUGUUGCUAAUGAACGCCAAACCCACUCAUAUAAUAUUUAUAUUUGGGUUGUUUAGUUGUAAAAGUGAAGACCCAAGAUAAAAGUACCAAUUGUUCAAUGACAUUCGAUUAUUUUGUUCGGGGAGCACUUGGUGCGUCAUUUGGACUCAUAUCUUAGUCCAAUAGAUUGCAUUUUCCUUCAAUGUGUAGAAUCCGACAAAGUGCAUGUUCUAAAAUUGUAAAUCUAACUAAAUUAGAAAGCUUGUUACUAAUUUGAUGGUUUAUUAGGUGUACCUCAUAAAACUAGAACCAACAUAGCCUGCACUCACGUGUCAUAGAAAAUAGGAGUAUCCAAGCACAAUUUAUGUGAGCAUCCAUCACACAAAUUAUAUAUAGACUGAUAUAAUUAAUUCCUUCAAAAAUAAAAAAGGAAAAAAUAAAGUGUUUUUUUGAUAUUGCAGGAUAUCUCCUUUAACUAAUGAGGAGUACUAAAAAGAUGUUGCACUUUUGGGUGGCGAGAAUUCCUCAAUCAUAACUUUGACAUAAUUUUAAUCCGGAUCACAUAUAUCAUCAUAUCUUAAUUAUUAAAUUAAUAUGUGUCGGAGAGGGAAUUCUCCGGCCGGGUGGCGGAAUGCACCCGCCCUAAAUCCUAAGAUGAGGAAGGGGCUUAAGUGUUUUGCCUGUCUUGCUAAGCGAUCACCGAGCACACGAACACGCGAGGAUUUAGAGUGGUUCGGGCCGCCAGAGCGUAAUACCCUACUCCACUGUGUGUUGGAUUGCUGUGGAAGCUUGAGAGCUGAGAGUCUGAGUCCUUUGUCUGUGUUGCGUGCCCUCCCUUUUAUAGCUCAAGGGGGGCAUGUACAAGGACACUGAACCCCGACAUGUGGGCCUAGGGACAUAACAGAUGGAAUACUCGGAGCAACUAAUAUCAGUCACCUUGUGCAAUCAUCCUGUGCCCCGAUAUCCGCCGCUAGAGUAGCAUUGGCGUGCAGCAGAAGGUUCCCCGGCAUCGUACAAGUCAUGAUGGCCAUCGCACGCGCGCUGCGGUAUGGGCGUACUGCCCACUGUCUGAUUGGACAGGCACGUCGCCUGUAGAGUGGUCUGGUCGUCGCCUGUCAUCAGAGUGGACGGGGCACAUUAAAUGCCGAGACGGCACAUCGCCUGUCAGCAGGGCGGACAGGCGGCGCGUCCUCUCCGCAAUAAAUGUAGAGAUCACGUGGCUCAAAGGCCUUACGUCAGGCUCCACCCGCCGGCUUACGUCACGAGCAAUAGGCCGCGUGGCAGCAUUAGGUCCUCGCCUGAGCGGGGAGCGGAAGUACACCAGGCAAGACCCUGACAAGUGUCUACGCCGGACCCCUGUACGUCCUUGACUUAGGCCAGGGUAUUCUUCAUCCCGGGAUCUUGCUGUGGGUGGCUUGGACCUCACUUAGAGGGGUCCAGGUCCCAUCCAAGGGAACAUGGAGGUCCUGGGUCGUACCCGGAGGUCCGAGUCAUGUAUGCUGGGGUCCGACACUUUCCCAUGGGGGUCCGGAUUCACUGACGAUAUCACGGUAUGUGUUACCUUCUCUGGUCACUUGGCGGCCCCGGAGUCGCCCACGUGGUGGGGUCGGGCGUUGUUUACCGUGCGUCUAGAGAUAGACGUGCGGGUACCGCGCCUUCAUACUAUAGUAAGGGGUACUCCUGUUCCAGGGUAUCGACAAUAUGGUUCCAUCAUCGUAUUAUUAAUUCAAUCUAAUAUAACCAUCAGAUCUUAAUUAUUAAAUUAAUCUGGAGUGUACAUUAGAUUAUCAAACCAAAUCAACCCGACAUAACCAUCAAAUGUUCCGCUAUGCACCUUAAGCGCAUGGUCUAGGGAUUAAUCAUCCGGAAUAACCAUCCGAUCUUCUAGUAAGCAUAGUAAGUGUAUGGUUCACGACUUCAUCAUCCAGAAUAACCAUCAGAUUUUCCGGUGUGCACUGAAAGCAAAUGAUCCGCGGUUUUGGUAGGUGAAACGUUGUUAGGUGAAUGCGGAUGUUGGCUGUUGUUGCACGUGCGAACUGUUGUGUGGAAGCUGCUGGGUCCUCCUCUAUUGUGCGUGGCUUGUGGCGGGCUUGGACUACUCUCAUGGCUUCGGCGCUUGGAACUGCUCGUCUGUCCGGUCCUGCGUGCAUCUCUCUCUCCUGGCUGGAGGUGUGGUGGCCUGGCGGCUUCUCUGUGUUUUUCUUUUUAUGAUGACUUCUCGUGUUGGCUAGGGUUGGCGUUAGGGGCUCGGUCAGUUAUGCUCCCUCAGCUUUUAUAGGCAGCGCACCAUAGCAGGCAGAGCAGAGAUAAAGAUUCCAAUUGCAUCCAUCUACAAACAAGGCUCUCGGCGGAAGGGAUAAAAGCAUGCAUCGCAAUUACUGCUGCUCUGCUGCAACCUUGGCUCUCGUCAAUUGGAUGACCAAAAGAUGCCAACGUCUAAGAUCUUUUCUUUGUGCAGCUGCCUGUUUGUCACCAACACAAAAUUGUAGGUGCCUGUUUGUCACCAAUUAUCCUCUACCACAAAGAACUACAAUAGUGAUGGAGGAUCCGAUCCAGCACAGAUCCACUAUAAUGCAUAGUGGGUGAUGCAUGCCUAAUGGUGGUUGUUUAGUGUUAGUUUGGGCAUGUUGGAACUAAGCAAUUGUCGAUGCCAUACACUAGAAGUGAAGAAUGUUGUUAGCGUUAGGAGUAGAGGUGUCAAUGGGGACCGAUACCCGUUAAGCCAUGGAGAAUUUCUCUAUUAGAUUUAGGGUAUGGGAAGAUUUUAAUUUCCAUUUGCUGAAGUUAGGUAUACAUCUAUUUGAAUCAACAGUUACAGUUCAACAGAAACUCCUUCCGCUAUAGUUUGUUGCAUGUCCUACCUUUUUCCUAAACUAUUUUCCCUAAAUUGACAUACUCUCUAGAAAAUCUAUCCAAAUUUUGAAGAUCAAAUCUGUUCCAUUGAACUAUUCAUGACAUAUAUCUUGGUAUUGCUUUUUGUCAUCAGAAUAUAUUUUGAACUCAGUAAAAGUUAUACACGAUUUUUUUAGACAAUACUAAAGCAAGUUGUAAUCAAGAACACUUGAGGUGUGCGCCAAUUGCCACAUUUAGAUAUAAUCAUUAUAAUUUUGGUCAUCCUAUAUGUGUGCAUUCAUCUAUGCAUUCUAGGAUUUCAAUUAGUCUCAAUCUUGUAGUAUUUGUUCCUUCAUUGUCAAAUCACUUCUCAUCUAACUACUAUGCUUUUUUAACCAUCAGAACGUAACUCCAACAGUAUCCAUUUAUAAAGGUUUUGAUAGCAAACUUUACAUAUUCAUAUCAUGUUAAGGUUGUCACAUGUGUAAAGGUGAAGAGAUCAUGCAUGUCAUUCCACGUAGAUGAAAAGAAUUCCUAUAUAAAAUGACACCUUUUCUUGUAGGUAGUGGAAAGUAUCUUUCCAGCAAAGACCAUAUAAUCCAAUAAAGUUGAUAACUAAAUGUCGAAAUAGAGUAGAUGCCAUAUCAUUUAUACCUUAUCUGUUGUUUGGAAAAAAAGACUAAAUCCAAAAUAUAUAUGACAUCUCACUUGUAUAAAUAGCUCCCAAAUCAGCAGUUAACCAUCACCCAUAAUAUUUUGAACAUUUAGAAACACACACCUAGCGAAGCGCACUAGCAACGACCUAACAACAAUGGCUACCAAGAUAUUAGCCCUUCUUGCGCUUCUUGCCCUUUUUGUGAGCGCAACAAAUGCGUUCAUUAUUUCACAAUGCUCACUUGCUCCUAGUGCCAUUAUUCCACAAUUCCUCCCACCAGUUACUUCAAUGGGCUUCGAACACCCAGCUGUGCAUGCCUACAGGCUACAACAAGCGCUUGCGGCGAGCGUCUUACAACAACCAAUUGCCCAAUUACAGCAACAAUCCUUGGCACAUCUAACAAUACAAACCAUCGCAACGCAACAGCAACAACAGUUCCUACCAGCACUGAGCCACCUAGCCAUGGUGAACCCUGCCGCCUACUUGCAACAGCAACUGCUUGCAUCCAACCCACUUGCUCUGGCAAACGUAGUUGCACACCAGCAACAACAACAGCUGCAACAGUUUCUGCCAGCGCUCAGUCAACUAGCCAUGGUGAACCCUGCCGCCUACCUACAACAGCAACAACUGCUUUCAUCUACCCCGCUCGUUCUGGCCAAUGCACCUACAUACCUGCAACAACAAUUGUUGCAAUAGAAUCUACCAGCUCUGACUCAGCUAGCUAUGGCAAACCCUGCUGCCUACUUGCAACAGCUGCUUCCAUUCAACCAACUGAUUGUGUCGAACUCUGUUGCGUACCUACAACAACGACAAUAGUUACUUAAUCCACUAGCAGUGGCUACCCCAUUGGUCGCUGCCUUCCUACAGCAGCAACAAUUGCUGCCAUACAACCAGUUCUCUUUGAUGAACCCUGUCUUGUCGAGGCAGCAACCCAUCGUUGGAGGUGCCAUCUUUUAGAUUACAUAUGAGAUGUACUUGAUAAUGGCGCCCUCAUACCGGCAUGUGUUUCCUAGAAAUAAUCAAUAUAUUCAUUGAGAUUUAUCUCGAUAUAUUUCUGAACUAUGUUCAUUAUAUAAAUAAUUGAAAACAUCAAAUCAUAAUUAUAAACUCAUGCUUGGUCAAUACAUAGACAAUGCGAUAUUACUUCAACAUCCCAAUGAUGUCCUAGCCCAACCUCUUGAAUGUUACUGUUUUAAUGCGUGAGGGUAUAUUUAUAAGAUACACGUCACUAUUUGCGCUUUUUUUAGUACAUACAUAUUUUGUAUGUUGAUAUGAUAUAGUUAUGGACACAUGCUUUGACCAUGAAUAUUCAAAUCAGUUGUACUUGCACGAAGCAAAACAUAAUAUAAUUUAGGAGUACACUUAUAACUGUGUCCAAACAUGCUCACACAAAUUCAUACCACAUUAUAUUUUUUGGUAAAUAUUCCACACAUGUAUUUUUUACAAGAACCCAAAUUUUGCAGACAAAUGCAGCAUUAUAGACAUGUAGAAUUAUUUGAAGCCCGUGAACGUAACAACACCAAGGUCAUUAAAUCAACUGGACCCUAUGAGUAACAAUUUCGAUAUUGCAAACACCAAAUUAUAGAACUUAUUGGCUGAAAAAUUAUGAGCAAUGUGAAGUUUUAAUUAUUAUGCCAUAAAUAUAUCAAAUUAUUUUUUUGAGGAACGUAAAAAUUGCAUGGAAUGGGCUGCAUAACGUGCUAGCUCACUUCUAUGCUAGGUAGCAUUACCAAAGAUUGGAAUGUUGCUGAUGAACACCAAACCCACUCAAAUAAUAUUUAUAUUUGGGUUGUUUAGUUGUAAAAGUGAAGACCCAAGAUAAAAGUACCAAUUGUCCAAUGACAUUCGAUUAUUUUGUUCGGGGAGCACUUGGUGCGUCAUUUGGACUCGUAUCUUAGUCCAAUAGAUUGCAUUUUCCUUCAAUGUGUAGAAUCCGACAAAGUGCAUGUUCUAAAAUUGUAAAUCUAACUAAAUUAGAAAGCUUGUUACUAAUUUGAUGGUUAAUUAGGUGUAGCUCAUAAAACUAGAACCAACAUAGUUUGCACUCACAUGUUAUAGAAAAUAGGAGUAUCCAAGCACAAUUUGUGUGAGCAUCCAUGACACAAAUUAUAUAUAGACUGAUAUAAUUAAUUCCUUCAAAAAUAAAAAAAGGAAAAAAUAAAGUGUUUUUUGAUAAUGCAGGAUAUCUCCUUUAGCUAAUGAGGAGUACUAAAAAGAUGUUGCACUUUUGGGUGGCCAGAAUUCCUCAAUCAUAACUUUGACAUAAUUUUAAUCUGGAUCAUAUAUAUAGCAUCAUAUCUUAAUUAUUAAAUUAAUAUGGUUCCAUCAUCGUAUUAUUAAUUCAAUCCGAUAUAACCAUCAGAUCUUAAUUAUUAAAUUAAUCUGGAGCGUACAUUAGAUUAUCAAACCAAAUCAACCCGACAUAACCAUCGAAUGUUCCGCUAUGCACCUUAAGCGCAUGGUAUGGGGCUUAAUCAUCCGGAAUAACCAUCCAAUCUUCUGGUAAGCAUAGUAAGCGUAUGGUUCACGGCUUCGUCAUCCGGAAUAACCAUCAGAUUUUCUGGUGUGUACUGAAAGCAAAUGAUCCAGGGUUUUGGUACGUGAAACAUUGUUAGGUGAAUGCAGAUGCUGGCUACUGUUGCACAUGCGAACUGCUGUGUGGAAGCUGUUGGGUCCUCCUCUAUUAUGCGUGGCUUGUGGCGGGCUUGGACUGCUCUCAUGGCCUCACCAGCUGCAACGACCAGAGCGGUACCCCUUACUAAAGUAUGAAGACACGGAGCCUGUACGACGUUCUCUAGCCACACGGUGAACAACACCCAACCCCACCACAUGGGCGGCUUAGGGGGCACCACGUGGCGAGAAAAGAUGAUACAUCGCAGGAUGUAUCAGUUGGACCGGACCACCGCAAGAAAGCAUCGGACCCCUGUACGCAAAACCCGGAUCCCCGAUUAUGGUCCGGGACUCCCAAGCAAGCAUGUCGGGUCCCUUGGAUGGGGUCCAGAUCCCUCCGAGUAAGGUCCGGGCCACAACGAGGUCCCAUAACAGGGGAGACCCUGGCAUAAGCAAGGGUCCGAUACUGACACGUGUCCAGGCCUUAUCCUGUGCGCUUGCGCUCCCCGCUCAGGCGGAGACCCGAUGCUGCCACGUGGCUUGUUGCCCAUGACAUAAGCCAGCGGGCGGAGCCUGACGUAAGGCCUCUAGGCCGCGCGGUCUCUGCAUUUAUUGAGGAGAGGACGCGCCGCCUGUCCACCCUGCUGACAGGCAAAGUGCCCCCUCAGCAUUUAAUGCGUCCUGUCCACUCCGCAGGCAGGAGGCGCCAGGGCCAUCUUGCAGACGGUGCACCUGUCCAGUCCAUUGUCAAACAGUGCGCCCGUGCUGCGCGGCGCACUAUGCUCAUCAUCCCUUAUACGAGAAGCUUCCCCUGCACGCCGAUGCUACGCAGAUCUCGGAUGUCAGGGUGCAAGAAGAUUGCUCCAGCAACAAACAUUAGUAGCUCCAAGUACUACAUCCGUUAUGUUCCUGUGCCCACAUGUAGGGGCUCAGUGCUCUUGUACAUGCCCCCCUUAGCUAUAAAAGGGGAGGCAUGCAACGUUACGGAGGGGCUCUCUUGGACAAAAAACUGAGACUCUCAGCUCUCAAGCCUCCACAGCAAUCCAACACACACUGGAGUAGGGUAUUACACUCCGGCGGCCCGAACCACUCUAAAUCCUCACGUGUUCGUGUGCUCGGUGAUCGCUUAGCAAGACAGGUAAAACGCUUAAGCCCCUUCCUCAUCUUAGGAUUUAGGGCGGGUGCAUUCCACCACCCAGCCAGAGAAUUCCCUCUCCGACAUUUGGCACGCCAGGUAGGGGCCUAGGCAUUAGGUUUUUGCUUGUUUCUGUCACACCCUGGUUUCGGGUCACCAAGACCCGGGCGCGAACAUAAUCACCAGGUGUGCUGGGACCAAGUCUCACACAUAUGAUGAAUCAUGGCACAGGAUCGAAUGUCACAUCUUUACUACAUAACAGGAGUUUUAUACAAAAUAAAUAAUUACAUUAUAAGGAGACAACGGUCCAGCAACCCAAAGUUGACUGGCAGGCGACGGCCUAGACCUCUCACGAACUCGUCACAGCAUCCUCCAAGCGCCUCAUCCUGCGGUACCUGUUCUUGACCUGUGGGGGGGUGUGAGACAGCAAGAGUGAGCUCACAUACGUUCAUCGCUCAACAAGUUGUGGGGAAUAAUGUGCAUGAACUCGCCAAAGGUGGGAGCUCAUGUGAAGUGUAAGGCUUACCAAAGAGGAUGGUUAGAGCUGAGCAUUGCUUUUAAAGUUGGUCAAAAUUUUAUUAGCAGUUACUAAGUAUAAGUAAAUACCAACCCAAUUAAGUAGUAGAACAACAGUAACAACAUCACCUGCGAUGCAAUGCAUAUGACAAAUUGAAUUUAGUUCCAUAAAUUAAUCAUGUGAGUGUCCGAGCUGCUCAUGACCGUGAGCACGGCUAGUAUACCAGUUUUACACUCUGCAGAGGUUGCGCAUCUUUACCCACAAGUCAUGUUACCCAUCUGCCAAGAGACGGCCAAUCCCAUACACCUCUACCGAGGAGGCGAGGCAGGGUAAUACUACGAGGCCUUUACAAAGUUCCACUAGCUUCAGAAAACCCGCUACAGUUUAUAGGAAGCUCCAGUGCAGGAGUCCCUCGACUGACCACCAUCGCAGCAAAAUCAACCAAGGACCUCCCUACACUGACCACUCCCCUACCGCCCUUGCCCCUUUCAGGUAAGGUAAUCAUCCACUAGCUUUCCUAGUUAAUCAGCCAAGGGCGUCCAUAAUCCCUUGUGGUAGCACUGUUUUCCCGGGUGGUUCUCCAUGUUCCCAUUAACAUAAUGAUCUUAUCAUGAACAGUAAAUAAUAAACAAAUAAUAAAAGUAUAAUCAUGAAUAGUGUAUCUCCAUACCCAAAACCACAAUAAGCAAUAGCAAGUACUACCCAAGAAUUCAGUGGUAAACAAGGUAUAAAGAUAGUCAAAAUCUAGGGUAACCUAUUGGGUCCCAUCAAAAUUAACCUAUGCAGAUCAUUAUGAUUAAUAAGAACAUGACUGGGUAAAAAGAAGUGAUCAAGGGCACAACUUGCCUGGGACUUGAGAUUCCAGGUACCAACUUGCUCUUCAGGUGACACGUGUCCUCACUGCUAAACGUAGCAAUACAGACAAACAUGUAUAUGAAAAAUUAACAUCACACCAAACAUAAAAAUAAACUGCGUAAUAAUGAUCUACGCGUCGCUACGAGAUCGCAGAAAUAAGAAACACUAAAUUCAGAGCUACGAUUAUUGAGUUAUGAGUUUCCAAAAUUAUUUUAGUGUUUAGAAUAGAUUAAUCCAAAUGAACAAUUUUAAUUCAUGUUUCAUGGCUAAACAGUGUUACUAGUUGAUAGAAAAUAUUGAAACAAAAUUAAUGCAACUGGAACGGGUUAAAAAGGAGUUAAAAUGGAUUUAAUAUGAAUCAAGCAAGUUUCUUGGAUUAUUUUUAUAACAAAGAUCAUUAAUAAAACUAUUUCAUAAACUUUCUGGGAUGGGGCCACUAUUUCUCAUAAGCACAGGGUUAAAUACGCAAAUAAAAGGACCCGGUUAGAAUUAUUUUUGAACCAGCAUGGAUGGCGGGUUAGUUUCUAGUAAGCGCAGGGGCUUAUUAGCAAAAGGGGCGGGCCGAAGGGGUAUCACCCAGUAUCAGCCGUAGGAUAUGAUAUAUGUGGCUCGGAUUAGAUUAGAGCUUCAUCAAAACAGUAUGCGCUAUAGACCGUCGAUCCCGAGACCGACGGUUAGGAUUUUCAUGACGCCACAUCUCACACCAACCGCUCGAUUAGAUCAGACGGUACAGAUAUUCCUGGCCACAGCCUUAUCCACCACCCAAUCGUAGCCGCACGCCAACAAUCCAACGGUUCCAGUGCUUCACAUACCACUGUCUUCACCGGCAGCGGCGCCAGAGCGCAUGCCACGGCGGCGGACAACACCGGAGAGCACCCAAACCUCGCUGAGGGCCCCAAACGAUAUUUCGAGCAGCGUACACAUUCCAGGGAAAGCUACGAAUCUAAAGGGAGAGUUCUCACCAGGAUUUGAGGUCGUGACGUGCCCGGUCGCUGAUGUCGAGCGGAUCCAAGGUGGAGCCCAAUUCCGGUGAGCAAUCACAGGUACACCGGCCAACUCCCCCAUCCGGACAAGUUACCAACUCGUGCGAGUAGCACCUGGUGAUCUGCCCCGGCCAGGGAUUCAACUCACGACGGUGUUUCACAGGUUCCGCGCGCGGCGGCACUUACCCAAGCCCCACGGCGACAACGCUCGAGCUUCAAUGGAGCAGGAGAGAGUUGCGGCGAGGUCCGCAUUUAUACGCAUGGGAAGGUGUCCGUCUCCCAACUACCACGCGAGAUCGCCGGAGGAUCCCAUUACCCGGUCGGCGAAGACCACGGAGGGGAUUUGUGCGGCGGACGCGGGGCUUCGUUGCGAUCCUAGGAGAUUGAUUCGACAAAUGGGACCCACCAGUCGGUGGCUUGGUGACAAGCGCGCGUGGCAAAAGAGACUGGUUCGCGGGCCCCGCAUUUCAGAGACUGAGCGUGGCGGGGAAAAUUGGCAGGAAGGCCGAGGGUGCGCGCUUUAGUGGGCCGAGGGAGGCCGGAGCUGGGCCGAGCCAGGGAGGAAAUCAGACCAUGUGCGUUUUCUACUUUUGUUUUAUUUUUCUUUUAUAAUUUUUGUUUUGUUUCCAAAUCAAAAAUUCAAACUAAAUUCGAAUUCUGGUCUUAAUUUUCAGGUUUCAAACAUCAAACCAAAUUCUAAUUCUUCUAUUACUUGCACUGAAAUUAUUUAUUUAUUAUUCUUAUUUAUUAUUCUCCCUAUUGUUUAAAUAUGGAAGAAAGGAAUGGCUUUAUUAAAAUUUCCUUUCUCCCCUUUGUUUUAUAAUUUUUUUGAGGUCAAUUUAAAUUAUGAUUCCUUGAUUCAAAUAAGAUGCAUCACAGAAAUAACAUCAGCAUGAGGUACACAUUUCUUUAUUUAUUUAUUUGUUCUUUACAUAAUUUAAUGCCAUUAGUUGAGUAUGUAGAGAAAAAAAUAAAAAUAAAAAUCAAGGGAUCCCCAAAACACCCACUUAUUUGUUUAUCUAUUCAUUUUAUUAUUAUUUUGGAAAUAUAUUCAUUUUGGGAGUAGUAACUUCCAAAUUAUGAAUAUCUUUAAGGAAAGGUGUUUUGAUUUAAAACCUUUGGGGAAUUUUUCCUUAUUUUCACAAAAUUGAUCUUUAGGGUGUUACAGUUUCCUCGCUCAGCAUGAUGGUGCAAAUCGUGGAGCACCGCGCCAAGACUUCAACGGAUUUCCUGGUGAAGAAAGAAGCUGUUUCUUCCACGCCACAGGUUCCCAACCGCCCAGUGUCGGGCACUGCUGCUGUGCACGCUGCACGGCAGCAUACGGCUGCACAGACAUCCCGGACUCCGUCGAGGGCGGCUCCGGGAGCAUUGUUAGCAGCCAGGGAAUUGCUGCGUCACCCUCCAAGCUCCACGGCCUCACCGGGGGCCAUGAAGCAGUGGCAGGAUGACGUCAACCGACAGCUCGACAUGGCACAUUCUACCUCGACCAGGUCGAGGCCACAGUCAUCCCAUCGCCAAUAUGAGGCGUCGACGUCUAUGCGCUCACCCUCAGUGAGGGGUGCACAGACCAACGACCUCUGGGUAGAGCUCAACCACAGGCGUGCGGGAGAGGACGCCCGGGUCUCUUUAGAGAGGGCGUGCGAGCGCCGACAAAACAUCGAGGGUCGCAACCUCGAUCAAGACUUCGCUGAGGUAGUACCACAGGCCCCAAUGGGCACCCGGUCCCAAGCGGGUGUCCCCUUGGCCGGCGUAGGUUGCGCCGCUCUCGUGGAUCAUCUCCGCGCGGCAUCAUGGCCAUCAAAGUUUCGGCCACACCUGCCGGAAAAGUACGAUGGUACGUCAAACCCGUCGGAAUUCCUGCAGGUGUACGUCACCGCUAUCACAGCAGCAGGUGGAAACACCGCAAUGAUGGCGACAUAUUUUCAUGUCGCCUUAUCUGGACCUGCUCGGACUUGGCUCAUGAACCUCUCCCCAGGGUCAAUCUACUCCUGGGAAGAACUCUACGCUCGGUUCGUUGCGAACUUCGCCAGCGCUUACCAGCAACACGGUGUGGAGGCCCACCUCCACGCAGUGAGGCAGGAGCCCAGGGAGACUCUCCGGAUGUUCAUCUCCCGCUUCACCAAGGUGCAAGGUACUAUACCUCGCAUUUCCGAUGCUUCCAUCAUCACGGCCUUCCGCCAGGGAGUACGUGAUGAGAAAAUGUUGGAGAAGUUGGCCACGCAUGACGUGGAGAUUGUCCCCACACUCCUCGCUCUGGCCGACAAAUGCGCCAGAGCCGCCGAGGGUCGUGCAUGGCACUUGGCCCCACAGACUGGGGCUACCCAAUCGGGUGGCUCGGGUGCCAUCCCCCGGGACGGUAAGAAGAAAGAGAAGAAGGACCGCGACCACCAGAAGCCGCGGUCCACUGCGCUGGUCGUUGCAGUUGGGACUGGGGGCCGAGGCGACCGCAACAAACGCCCACGACCACAGAGGGGUAACAGCGGCUCAUGCCCUGUGCACCCCAACGGUCGCCACAACACCGUGGAGUGUCGCGAGAUCAUCGACCUCGCAAAACGCGUCAGCGAGCGGCACGAGUAGUCUUCUAAAGACGGCUCCCCACCUCGUCGCCGACCUGGCAAGGAAAGGGUCGACGACGGCGAGGUGGCCACGGCUGAACGGGACCUCGGGUAUCAGUCACUCGAGGGGGACCUGAAGGAUGUCUUCGUCGGAGACUCCCACUCCGGUGGUGACAACUAGAUGGACCCCCAGAUGGACCCCGUGCUCCCCGGUCUACGGGGCCGAAGCCUGCCUUCCUCCGGAAACCCUUCUGGACUCCCCACGGGUCCAGGCUUCUGACAAGUCCAUACAGAAAUGGCUACAGCACGAGGACGAGGACUCCCUCAUCAAACGCAGAUGGGAACCCAGGGUCGAGACCUAGUCCUACGGCAAGUACCAAACCAAGAAGGGCUCCGAAACUCUCCCCCAGCUGGGAAGGACCCUUCAAGGUGACGGGAAUACGCUGACCCGGGGGUGACUAUCUUGUUAUGACUGAAGGAGUGCCUCUUCCUGGUCACUGGAGCAUCUCUGUAAGUUCUAUCCAUAGGAGCAAGUCUGAGGGUCGAGUUUUUCUCCCUUUUGUAACUAGGUAACGCAUACGUGUACGCCAACCCGGUGAGGUCCGCCCUCAUAAGCCCGGCCUGUUGGUCUGCACCCAUGCAUGACAAGUUAUAAAGAAAAGAUUUACCCCCUCAGAUGUGCCUCUAUGAUAGUUUUAUCCUACUGCUCCAUGGUCUUACCUUGUAGUUUUCCGGAUCUUGUUUUAUCUAACCCACCCAAAUAGUUCCCUUUCCAUCGAACAUAAUGACAUCCGAAUUGAACAGCCAGGCUUGCAGUUUAGGACCUCUCUGCGAAAGAAGGAGGGCCCGAUAGCCUGUGGGCUGGUUCUAAAGAAUGGGAGCCCAUUCCAUGGGGUGGUCCGGAGCCUGUGUGGCCGAUUAGCCUGGUCCCGUACCCGAAAGCCUGCACACUCCACCACUCCGUGACGGGUACCCUAGUAUUUGGAGCUAUAAGUCCUAUGGGUCCGGCAACCUGGGGUCCGAAACUAGAGAAUGGACACUUGUCUCCUAGGGUGGUUCGGAGCCCGUGUAGUCGCUCAGCCUGGUUCCGUACCAUGGGCCCGCAUGAUCCACCACUCUGCGAUGGGUGUCCUAGUACCUAGAACCACCAUCCAGGGGGUCCGGACGCACAACUUGGCCUCCCAGACUAGACCCUGCAAGUCCCGAGCAUGUAUCAAAGAAUGGCUAGUGUCAGAUGGCAGGUCCUGUGGGUGUACUACUAAUGCUCCCUAGUCGAAGCUGUGUGCAGGCCCAGGUCCCAGUCGAGGCUACCUCCUGGGGGCCAUUGCCAAAUCUUUCUUAGGUAUGCUGGUCUGCAACCUCGACAAAUCGAGCCUACAUCCUAGGGGGGCAGGUACCAAGGAGGAAUUGGUUACACCACACACAAUAGGGACAAGUGGUACACAGAUAAGUGCUAAUACUGCUUGAUAAAUAGUACUCGAAAGUACCUUAGGAAAAGCAAAAGUAUUACAUCCGCUUUCAAGCGGAGUCCUAGCUCCAUCUCUACUCUGCAGGAAUGGACUACUCUGCACCAGCAGGGUCGCGUUGGAAGCUAGCUCUGGGCAGCCUCACCAACGGCGGCGACCACCUCUACUCCAAGCGGCUCGCCAGCGGAGGCGGCCACCUCUGCACCAACGGCUCGCCAGCGGCGGUGGCCACCUUUGCACCGGUGGCUUGCCGGCGACGGUGGCCACCUCAGCGCGUGCGAAGAGGUCCUCGCCCCCGUCCUCCUACGGGGGUGAGGACAAGACCAUCCAAGAACGCGGCCACCACCUCCACAGCGUAUGACAUCUUGUACAACCCCCCAGGCAGCGUCGGAGCAGUGCGGCCAGCGGCGCAGGGGACACCACGGAUGCGGUGGACCUGCGCACGACGCGACCGUCGCCCGUGCGGUGGACGGAAAGCCAUGCCCCGCUUGGCGGUGGGAGGCAGCGUUGGAGGCGGCACCAAAACCAUCAAAGCCAAAGAGAUGGAGCCGCAGCACGGCUCGCUUCCCACCCCAAAGAGUUGGGGGUGCGUGGGAUGGAGCCGUGGCUCAACCCGCUGUCCACCUUCACGAGGCUGGUGAUCAUCCUUCCCUCCGAAUGCUAGAGGAAGAAGCGGGAAGGAGCGUCGCCUCCACGGACAUCCCGCGGAGGUAGGCGACGAUGGCUGCCUGAAGGAUGAAGCAGGACACCACAGGUAGAGGCUGGGGGCUAAGCCCCUCCAGCAGCUGCACGAAGAAAGAUGGGAUCGGCAGAGCCAACCCGCUGGGGAGUUUGGAAACAAAGAACACAAACUCUUUGACAGCAAGGUCGCCGAGAGGAGAGACACCAGCACAAGUCCUCCCGGCAAAUGCCAGCACACCCCAUCCGAGCGGGUUGCGCGCCAAGUUGAGUGCCACCUCGGGCUGGAAGCGCUCGCAAGGGUCUAGCAAGGCCAUGGUGACUACGGCAACGCGAAGCAGAGACCUUGAAGGAAAAGGGGCACGGAGAGCUCGGAGGCGAAGGGACGCCGUGAGAGGGAGAGAAGCAAGGCAUGGCUGCUAUUCGAGGGAUGAACCCCUCUUUAAAGGCAGGCUCCCCUGCUCCCGCCUCGAAGCGCCGUGAGAAGCCUCCCCCAAUGCACACCGAGGUAUCCAUCCCAUGACACGGGGGCCCAGUCCCACAAGUCAUAUAGCUGGCGCGCUGGCCUUCGAGUGCGAAGAAGGCGAACCGCCGCACAGGAAGCGUGCUACCGCCCCGCGGUAGUACGCCUCCUUCAUCUUCACUACGACCAACGGUCAGGAAGGCGAACCACAGCACAAGGAGCAUGCUACCGCCCCGCGGUAGUGCGCCCCCUCGUCUUUGCUGCAACCUGCGGUCCAACCUCUGGCAUGGGGGCCCAGGCCCACAUGUCACGCACCCGGCGUGCUGGUUUCUGGGUGCAGAGAAGUCGCACCGCCACUCGCACCAAUACCGCGUCUCCUCAGGGCCGUCGCAGAAGACUGAGAAGAUAAAUUUUCAAAACCAAUGCAGCAACUCGAGGCACCCCGUGCAUGGCCCAACAAAGACAUUAAGUGCGGAGGUCACGGGUCAGCCAGCCGCAGGGACAGGCAUGGCAGUCGGCGUGACCAUGGGCGGACCGGCAGUAAUUGCAUCAACGGGCGCGCAGGGGCAGCGAGCCAAUCACCAAUAAAACUUUGGCCCCACCUGCAGGCCCGUAUCCUCCCCUGAGGCGGGCCCAGGGGCCACUGUCGGUACCCUGAAUCAGGAGUACCCCUUACUGAAGUAUGAAGACACGGAGCCCGUACGAUGUUCUCUAGUCGCACGAUGAACAAUACCCGACCCCACCACGUGGGCGGCUCGGGGGCACCACGUGGUGAGAAAAGAUGAUACAUCCCAGGAUGUAUAAGUUGGACCGGACCACCGCAAGAAAGCACCGAACCCCUGUACGCACAACCCGGACCCUCGAUUACGUCCCGGGACUCCCAAGCAAGCAUGUCGGAUCCCUUGGAUGGGGUCCAGAUCCCUCUGAGUAAGGUUCGGGCCACAACGAGGUCCCAGAACAGGGGAGACCCUGGCAUAAGCAAGGGUCUGGUACUGACACGUGUCCAGGCCUUAUCCUGUGCGCUUGCGCUCCCUGCUCAAGCGGAGACCCGAUGCUGCCACGUGGCUUGUUGUCCGUGACAUAAGCCAGCGGGUGGAGCCUGACGUAAGGCCUCUAGGCCGCGCGGUCUCUGCAUUUAUUGCGGAGAGGACGCACCGCCUGUCCACCCUGCUGACAGGCGAUGUGCCCCCUCAGCAUUUAAUGCAUCCUGUCCACUCCGCUGGCAGGCGGCGCUAGGGUCAUCUUGCAGACAGCGCACCUGUCCAGUCCAUUGUCAAACAGUGCGCCCAUGCUGUGCGGCGCACUGUGCUCAUCAUCCCUUAUACGAUAAGCUUCUCCUGCAUGCCGAUGCUACACAGAUCUCGGAUGUCAGGGCGCAAGAAGAUUGCUCCAACAGCAAACAUUAGUAGCUCCAAGUACUACAUCCGUUAUGUUCCUGGGCCCACAUGUCGGGGCUCAGUACCCUUGUACAUGCCCCCUUAGCUAUAAAAGGGGAGGCAUGCAACUUUACGGAGGGGCUCUCUUAGACAAAAAACUGAGACUCUCACCUCUCAAGCCUCCACAGCAAUCCAACACACAGUGGAGUAGGGUAUUACGCUCCGACGGCCCGAACCACUCUAAAUCCUCGCGUGUUCGUGUGCUCGGUGUUCGUGUCCUACCUUUUUCAUAAACUAGUUUUCCCUAAAUUGACAUACUAUAUACAAAAUCUAUCCAAAUUUUGAAGAUCAAAUUUGUUCCAUUUAAUUAUUCAUGACUUAUAUCUUGGUAUUGCUUUUUUGUCAUCAGAAUAUAUUUUGAACACAGUAAAAGUUAUACACGAUUUUUUUAGACAAUACUAAAGUAAGUUGUAAUCAAGAACACUUGACGUGUGAACCAAUUGCCACUUUUAGAUAUAAUCAUUGUAAUUUUGGUCAUCCUAUGUGUGUGCAUUCAUCUAUGCAUUCUAGGAUUUCAAUUAGUCUCAAUCUUGUAGUAUUUGUUCCUUGAUUGUCAAAUCACUUCUCAUCUAACUACUAUGCUUGUUUAACCAUCAGAACAUAACUACAACAAAAUCCAUUUAUAAAGGUUUUGAUAGCAAACUUUACAUAUUCAUAUCAUGUUAAGGUUGUCACAUGUUUAAAGGUGAAGAGAUCAUGCAUGUCAUUCCACGUAGAUGAAAAGAAUUCCUAUAUAAAAUGACACAUUUUCUUGUAGGUAGUGGAAAGUAUCUUUCCAGCAAAGACUAUAAUCCGAUAAAGUUGAUAACUAAAUGUCGAAAAAGAGUAGAUGCCAUAUCAUCUAUACCUUAUCUGUUGUUUGGAAAAAAAGACUAACUACAAAAAAUAUAUAUGAGAUCUCACUUGUAUAAAUAGCUCCCAAAUCAGUAGUUAACCAUCACCCAUAAUAUUUUGAACAUUCAGAAACACACCUAGCGAAGCGCACUAGCAACGACAUAACAACAAUGGCUACUAAGAUAUUAUCCCUCCUUGCGCUUCUUGCCCUUUUUGUUAGCGCAACAAAUGCGUUCAUUAUUCCACAAUGCUCACUUGCUCCUAGUGCCAUUAUUCCACAGUUCCUCCCACCAGUUAGUUCAAUGGGCUUCGAACAUCCAGCUGUGCAAGCCUACAGGCUACAACAAGCGCUUGCGGCGAGCGUCUUACAACAACCAAUUGCCCAAUUACAACAACAAUCCUUGGCACAUCUAACAAUACAAACCAUCGCAAUGCAACAGCAACAGCAACAACAGUUCCUACUAGCACUGAGCCACCUAGCCAUGGUGAACCCUGGCGCCGACUUGUAACAACAACUGCUUGCAUCCAACCCACUUGCUCUGGCAAACGCAGUUGCAAACCAGCAACAACAACAGCUGCAACAGUUUCUGCCAGCGCUCAGUCAACUAGCCAUGGUGAACCCUGCCGCCGACCUACAACAGCAACAACUGCUUUCAUCUAGCUCGCUCGCUGUGGCCAAUGCACCUACAUACCUGCAACAACAAUUGUUGCAACAGAUUGUACCAGCUCUGACUCAGCUAGCUGUGGCAAACCCUGCUGCCUACUUGCAACAGCUGCUUCCAUUCAACCAACUGACUGUGUCGAACUCUGCUGCGUACCUACAACAGCGACAGCAGUUACUUAAUCCACUGGCAGUGGCUAACCCAUUGGUCGUUGCCGUCCUACAGCAGCAACAUUUGCUGCCAUACAACCAGUUCUCUUUGAUGAACCCUGUCUUGUCGAGGCAGCAACCCAUCGUUGGAGGUGCCAUCUUUUAGAUUACAUAUGAGAUGUACUCGAUAAUGGUGCCCUCAUACCGGCAUGUGUUUUCUAGAAAUAAUCAAUAUAUUGAUUGAGAUUUAUCUCGAUAUAUUUCUCAACUAUGUUCAUCAUAUAAAUAAUUGAAAACAUCAAAUCGUAAUUAUAAACUCAUCCUUGGUCAAUACAUAGACAAUACGAUAUUACUUCAACAUCCCAAUGAUGUCAUAGCCCAACCUCUUGAAUGUUACUGUUUUAAUGUGUGAGGGUAUAUUUAUAAGAUUGACGUGACUAUUUGUGCUUUUUUUGAGUACAUACAUAUAUGGUAUGUUGAUUUGAUAUAGUGAUGGACACAUGCUUUGACCAUGAAUAUUCAAAUCAGUUGUACUUGCACGAAGCAAAACAUAAUAUAAGUUUAGGAGUAGACUUAUAACUAUGUCCAAACAUGCUCACACAAAUUCAUACCACAUUAUAAUUUUUUGGUAAAUAUUCCACACAUGUAUGUUUUAUAAGAACCCAAAUUUUGCAGACAAAUGCUGAAUUGUAGACAUGUAGAAUUCUUUGAAGCUCGUGAACUUAACAACACCAAGGUCAUUAAAUCAACUCGACCCUAUGAGUAACAAUUUCGAUAUUGCAAACACCAAAUUAUAGAACUUAUUGGCUGAAAAAUUAUGAGCAAUGUGAAGUUUAAAUUAUUAUACCAUAAAUAUAUCAAAGAAUUUUUUUGAGGAACGUAAAAAUUGCAUGGAAUGGGCUGCCCAACGUGCUAGCUCACUUCUAUGCUAGGUAGCAUUACCAAAGAUGGGAAUGUUGCUGAUGAACGCAAAACCCACUCAAAUCAUAUAUAUAUUUGGGAUGUUUAGUUGUAAAAGUGAAGACCUAAGAUAAAAGUACCAAUUGUCCAAUGACAUUCAAUUAUUUUGUUCGGGGAGCACUUUGUGUGUCAUUUGGACUCGUAUCUUAGUCCAAUAGAUUGCAUUUUCCUUCAAUGUGUAGAAUCCGACAAAGUGCUUGUUCCAAAAUUGUAAAUCUAACUAAAUUAUAAAGCUUGUUACUAAUUUGAUGGUUUAUUAGGUGUAGCUCAUAAAACUAGAACCAACAUAGCCUGCACUCACAUGUCAUAGAAAAUAGGAGUAUCCAAGCACAAUUUGUGUGAGCAUACAUGACACAAAUUAUAUAUAGACUGAUAUAAUUAAUUCCUUGAAAAAAGAAAAAGGAAACAAUAAAAUGUUUUUUGAUAUUGCAGGAUAUCUCCUUUAGCUAAUGAGGAGUACUAAAAAGAUGUUGCACUUUUGGGUGGCGAGAAUUCGUCAAUCAUAACUUUGACAUAAUUUUAAUCCGGAUCACAUAUAUAUCAUCAUAUAUUAAUUAUUAAAUUAAUAUGGUUCCAUCAUCGUAUUAUUAAUUCAAUCCGAUAUAACCAUCAGAUCUUAAUUAUUAAAUUAAUCUGGAGCGUACAUUAUAUUAUCAAACCAAAUCAACCCGACAUAACCAUCUAAUGUUCCGCUAUGCACAAUAAGCGCAUGGUCUGGGGCUUAAUCAUCCGGAAUAACCAUCCGAUCUUCUGGUAAGCAUAGUAAGCGUAUGGUUCACGACUUUGUCAUUCGGAAUAACCAUUAGAUUUUCCGGUAUGCACUGAAAGCAAAUGAUCCGGGGUUUUGGUAGGUGUAACGUUGUUAGGUGAAUGCGUAUGUUGGCUGCUGUUGCACGUGCGAACUGCUGUGUGGAAGCUGCUGGGUCCUCCUCUAUUAUGUGUGGCUUGUGGCGGGCUUGGACUGCUCUCAUGGCUUCGUCACUUGGAACUGCUCGUCCGUCCGGUCCUGCGUGCAUCUCUCUCUCCUAGCUGGAGGCGUGGUGGCCUGGUGGUUUCUCUGUGUUUUUCUUUUUACGACGGCUUCUCUUGUUGGCUAGGGUUGGCAUCAGGGGCCCGGUCAGCUAUGCUCCCUCAGCUUUUAUAGGCAGCGAACCACCGCAGGCAGAGCAGAGAUAAAGAUUCCAACUGCAUCCAUCUACAAACAAGGAUCUCGACGGAAGAGAUAAAAGCAUGCAGCACAAUUGCCGCUGCCCUACUGCAGCCUUGACUCUCGUCAAUUGGAUGACCAAAAGAUGCCACCGUCUAAGCUCUUUUCUUUGUGCAGCUGCCUGUUUGUCACCAACACAAAAUUUGUAGGUGCAUGUUUGUCACCAAUUAUCCUCUACCACAAAGAACUACAAUAGUGGUGGAGGAUCCGAUCCGGCACAGAUCCACUAUAAUGCAUAGUUGGUGAUGCAUGCCUAAUGGUGGUUGUUUAGUGUUAGUUUGGGCAUGUUGGAACUAAGCAAUUGUCGAUGCCAUACACUAGAAGUGAAGAAUGUUGUUAGCGUUAGGAGUAGAGGUGUCAAUGGGGACCGAUGCCCGUUAAGCCAUGGAGAAUUUCUCUAUUAGAUUUAGGGUAUGGGAAGAUUUUAAUUUCCAUUUGCUGAAUUUAGGUAUACAUCUAUUUGAAUCAACAGUUACAGUUCAACAAAAACUCUUUCCGCUCUAGUUUGUUUCGUGUCCUACCUUUUUCCUAAACUAGUUUUCCCUAAAUUGACAUACUCUCUAGAAAAUAUAUCCAAAUUUUGAAGAUCAAAUAUGUUCCAUUGAAUUAUUCAUGACAUAUAUCUUGGUAUUGCUUUUUUGUCAUCAGAAUAUAUUUUGAACUCAGUAAAAGUUAUACACGAUUUUUUUAGACAAUACUAAAGCAAGUUGUAAUCAAGAACAUUUGAGGUGUGCGCCAAUUUCCACAUUUAGAUAUAAUCAUUCUAAUUUUGGUCAUCCUAUGUAUGUGCAUUCAUCUAUGCAUUCUAGGAUUUCAAUUAGUCUCAAUCUUGUAGUAUUUGUUCCUUCAUUGUCAAAUCACUUCUCAUCUAACUACUAUGCUUGUUUAACCAUCAGAACAUAACUACAACAAUAUCCAUUUAUAAAGGUUUUGAUAGCAAACUUUACAUAUUCAUAUCAUGUUAAGGUUGUCACAUGUGUAAAGGUGAAGAGAUCAUGCAUGUCAUUCCACGUAGAUGAAAAGAAUUCCUAUAUAAAAUGACACCUUUUCUUGUAGGUAGUGGAAAGUAUCUUUCCAGCAAAGACCAUAUAAUCCGAUAAAGUUGAUAACUAAAUGUCGAAAUAGAGUAGAUGCCAUAUCAUCUAUACCUUAUCUGUUGUUUGGAAAAAGACUAAAUCCAAAAAUAUAUAUAUAAGAUCUCACUUGUAUAAAUAGCUCCCAAAUUAGUAGUUAACCAUCACCCAUAAUAUUUUGAGCAUUCAGAAACACACCUAGCGAAGCGCACUAGCAACGACCUAACAACAAUGGCUUCCAAGACAUUAUCCCUCCUUGCGCUUCUUGCCCUUUUUGUGAGUGCAACAAAUGCGUUCAUUAUUCCACAAUGCUCACUUGCUCCGAGUGCCAUUAUUCCACAGUUCCUCCCUCCAGUUACUUCAAUGGGCUUCGAACACCCAGCUGUGCAAGCCUAUAGGCUACAACAAGCGCUUGCGGCGAGCGUCUUAGAACAACCAAUUGCCCAAUUACAACAACAAUCCUUAGCACAUCUAACCAUACAAACCAUCGCAACGCAGCAGCAACAAGCACUGAGCCACCUAGCCGUGGUGAACCCUAUCGCCUACUUGCAACAACAGCUGCUUGCAUCCAACCCACUUGCUUUGGCAAACGUAGCUGCAUACCAACAACAACAACAGUUGCAACAGUUUCUGCCAGCGCUCAGUCAACUAGCCAUGGUGAACCCUAUCGCCUACCUACAACAGCAACAACUUCUUUCAUCUAGCCCGCUCGCUAUGGGCAAUGCACCUACAUACCUGCAACAACAGUUGUUGCAACAACAGUUGCUGCAACAAAUUGUACCAGCUCUUACUCAGCUAGCUGUGGCAAACCCUGCUGCCUACUUGCAACAACUACUUCCAUUCAACCAACUGACUGUGUCGAACUCUGCUGCGUACCUACAACAGCGACAACAGUUACUUAAUCCACUAGCGGUGGCUAACCCAUUGGUCGCUGCCUUCCUACAGCAGCAACAAUUGCUGCCAUACAACCAGUUCUCUUUGAUGAACCCUGCCUUGUCGUGGCAGCAACCCAUCGUUGGUGGUGCCAUCUUUUAGAUUACAUAUGAGAUGUACUCGAUAAUGGUGCCCUCAUAGCGGCAUGUGUUUCCUAAAAAUAAUCAAUAUAUUGAUUGAGAUUUAUCUCGAUAUAUUUCUGAACUAUGUUCAUCAUAUAAAUAAUUGAAAACAUCAUAUCAUAAUUAUAAACUUAUGCUUGGUCAAUACAUAGACAAUACAAUAUUACUUCAUCAUCCCAAUGAUGUCCAAGCCAAACCUCUUGAAUGUUACUGUUUGGGUGUGUGCGGGUGUAUUUAUAAGAUAGAUGUGACUAUUUGCGCUUUUUGUUGAGUACACACAUAUAUGGUAUGUUGAUUUGAUAUAGUGAUGGACACAUGCUUUGACCAUGAAUAUUCAAAUCAGUUGUACUUGCACGAAGCAAAACAUAAUAUUAGUUUAGGAGUAAACUUAUAACUGCGUCCAAACAUGCUCACACAAAUUCAUACCACAUUAUAUUUUUUUGGUAAGUAUUCCACACAUGUAUUUUUUACAAGAACCCAAAUUUUGCACACAAAUGUAGCAUUCUAGAUAUGUAUAAUUCUUUGAAGCCCGUGAACUUAACAACAGCAAGGUCAUUAAAUCAAUUGGACCCUAUGAGUAAUAAUUUCGAUACGCAAACACCAAAUUAUGGAACUUAUUGGCUGAAAAAAUUAUGAUCAAUGUAAAGUUUAAAUUAUUAUACCAAAAAUAUAUCAAAGAACUUUUUUGAGGAACGUAAAAAUUGCAUGGAAUGGGCUGUCUAACGUGCUAGCUCACUUUUAUGCUAGGUAGCAUUACUAAAGAUGGGAAUGUUGCUGAUGAACGCCAAACCCACUCAAAUAAUAUUUAUAUUUGGGUUGUUUAGUUGUAAAAGUGAAGAUCCAAGAUUAAAAUACCAAUUGGCCAUUGUCAUUCGAUUGUUUUGUUUAGAGAGCACUUGGUGCGUCAUUUGGACUCGUAUCUUAGUCCAAUAGAUUGCAUUUUCCUUCAAUGUGUAGAAUCCGACAAAGUGCAUGUUCUAAAAUUGUAAAUCUAACUAAAUUAGAAAGCUUGUUACUAAUUCGAUGGUUUAUUAGUUGUAGCUCAUAAAACUAGAACCAACAUAGCCUGCACUCACAUGUCAUAGAAAAUAGGAGUAUCCAAGCACAAUUUGUGUGAGCAUCCAUGACACAAAUCAUAUAUAGACUGAUACAAUUAAUUCCUUCAAAAAUAAAAAAGGAAAAAAUAAAGUGUUUUUGGAUACUGUAGAAUAUCGAGCGAAGGGUGACGUCUUCACCUUCGCCCCAACAUUUGCCCUCCGAGGGACCAGUUCGACUAAGUCAUUUGGUGCCGAAGGUGUCGCUAGAUGGUGGAGACGCUGCCCUCGCUCGAAGUGGUUCCGCGGGGGUUUUUGACAUGACCGUUGAUUGACGCCACACUGUUGGAUUGCUGGCUUCCCGAAGCGUCGCGCCCUGUGUAUAUAAAGGGGGUGGGGGCGGCGGGGAUUGAAAUUUACCUUUCUGCGCGCCGCGAAAACCCUAGCCUCCCUGUCAAACUGCUCGCUUGCUCGUCUGCCCUCCUUGCUCCUGUUCGUCGGAGAACUGGCCCACGUGAAGCAGACUGUGCGCCGCCGUCGACGGUACGUAGCCAUGCCGUCUUCCUCCUCGUCUGCUGCGACCACGCCGACGGCCAAGGCGACUUCCGAAGAUCUCUCGGGCACUGUGGCGGCGGCGGAAUUACGACCGGGUGAUACGGUGGAAUUCGGUGUUUCGCGGAUGUCGUUGGUCCGCGUGCAAGAUAUGCAACAGUUGGUGUAUUUUGGCGGCGGGGUUGGUCGAGUCCCGGGGCCAGAGGAGGUCCCCGAGCUCGAGGGCGAAUUGGUUGUUUUUGAGGCAUUUUUCAUCGCCGGCCUUCGCCUGCCUGCGCAUCGUUUUAUGUCGGAGGUUCUGCAGAAGUUCAAAGUCCAGGUUCAUUAGCUCACACCGAACGCCGUGGUGGCGUUGGCGAAGUAUGUCUGGGCAACGACGUCGUAUGGCGGUCAGCCUUCGGUGGAAGUCUUCGCCAAGCAAUACGGUCUGCAUUGGCAGAAGAGAAAAAAUGGACAUAAGAUUGCUCAAUUCGGAUCAUGCACUUUCACGCCGAAGUCCGGGAAGACUUCGAUGGAAGUGGUGGAGCUGGUCCCCUGUGCCCAAAAUAAGUGGGGCAACUGGUGGGACUACUGGUUCUAUGUUUCGGAGGCUGAAGUCGAAGAUCACCCAGGGCUCCCUGCCGCCAUUAUGUGCUCUCAUUACUAUGUGGCAUACCCGCCAUUUGAAGUGGCGGAGGAUGAUGAAAAUGAAAGGGCCCUUCGGAUCGCUGCCCGCACGAGUAGUGGGCGCGAUCUAGUUGAGGAAUUCAUAGGGUAUGGGGUGUGGCCCUUGGCGCAUGGAUGGGCGUUGGGCAAAGUAUGCCCUCGCGAGAUGCCCUCCCUGGGCGGGCGGAAGGUGCGAAGUCCGCUUUUUGCUUUGGAUGUGCGAGGGCGGGAUCCUGCCGCGGUUGUGCAUGAGGCGGAGGAUGGGGCGGUGAGAAUUGUUGGGUGCUACGUGCCGAAGACGGAGGCCCAGCGGAGUUGGGAUAUACGUGGAUCCAACGACCGCCUGAAUAGGGUCUUCGAGUUGAAUUGUUUGCCGUAUGGCGGUUAUCCCGGGGAAGACGUUGUCGACCACAGCGGGAAAAAACCAGCGGCUGUGACUGAAGACGACCCCGCGUCGGAGGCCGCCCCAGCCACUAAGAAGAGGAAGCUAGGUACUGCGGUGGGAGAACUGGGGGUCUCCGAUAGUUUUGCUAUGGAGUUGAUGGGGACAUGCGUGGCCCCCGGGGGAAGGAUGUCUUCGCCCGAGCUCCGGGAGUCUUCGGCGCGGAUGUUGGAGGUUACCGGGGGUCGAUGGCCCAAAAACGUUCCUAUCCCCCGCGCGGCUGGCGAAGACUUCUUUACAUCUCGCAUGGCUCGUGACUUGAGAGUGUUUCCUUACAGACGGAAUAUUGCUGUUGUUGUGUCGAUAGUGAUGAACAAGGAUCACCAGGAUGCUGCGCAGAAGCGUCGGGCGGUCAUCAGGCUCCCCGACGCUAGGCGUGAAGCGAAGAGAGCGCGAGGGAGUGCGAAGGCUAUCGUCCCCGGCGGUAGCCAGCCGAUGCUGGCUGCAAAGCCGGCCGCGCCUGGAUCCAGCAAGGUGCCGGAGAGCGGGAAGGCGGUCGGCGCCGGUGGAACCAAGUCUGCCCCGGACGGAGCUGUGAAGGUCCGGGAGCUGCCUUCGACGGGGAAACGCGUUGCCGACUUCGGCAUGAAUAUUAGCGUGGACGACUAUCUCGUUGGUAAGCAUUUUUUUUAUUCUGACCGGUGAUACGUUGCAGGGUCGAGUGAGGGGCAACUGGUUGUUGUCCCACCUGUGGUGGCAACCACGGCGUCAACCGCGGUGCUUGGGGUGAAGGGUGGCGCUUUCAGCGCUGGCGGCGAGAUUUCGGCGGCCACUGCCGUCAAGGACGAAGCGGGCACUAUGUCCCGCCGGCUGAGGGAGGCGUCGCAGCAGCUAAGUCAAGUAAGUUGAGCUGGACUUCGGUGUUUCCUGCUUUCAUGGGGAUUGUGGUCUCAUGUGUGUCUGUUAGGCGGCCGACUUCGCCGACCGCGUGGCGUCGGGUGCCCUUACUGCAGAUGUGUCUGCCGAAGUCGAGAGACUUUGGGCGCAGCACGCGGACGCCGUCCGGGAGAAGUCGGCUGCGGAGAGCAAGAGCCACAGGCUGGCGGAGAAGGUGGCCGCCCUGGAGGGCGAGAGGAUGGACCUCCGGCGCCAGUUGGUGGAGGAAAGGAGGGAGGCCAACCAGGCCAUCGCCAAGGUGCAGGCGGCGCAGGCGGAGGCCAAAUUGGCGUGGGCGGAGGGGAGUCUCGCCAGCCAACGCGCCGAGGAAUGGGAGGUGCGGUUCAACGCUCUGCACGCCCGCAUGGAGAGGGCCGAGGCCUCUACGCGCUCGGAAGUUGAGCGAACGCGCAAACAGCUCGUGGACUCAUACCGGGAGCUGGGUGCGCGGACUGCUGACUUCGAGGUGCCCGACCGAGAAGCGAGCCUUCGCUUCCUCGAGUGGCUGCAAGAGGAAUUGCUGGCACUCCCGACCAUCGUGGAGGGAUUCAUGUCUUUUGCCUCCCUCGUCACCUGCGAAGGGGCCAUGAAUGCGUUGUCCCGCAAGGGAUGCAAUCACUAUGAGGGCUUCGACCGGUCCGAUGAAGACUUUGGGCGCGAAAUUUUUAAGGUCGAAGACCCUGUGGUGAAGGAUUCUGCGGGGGCCCUCUUCGAUCGGAUGUGGGGUCCUCAUGGCCGGGAGGCGGUCAAGGAGCGGUCUGAUCGGGCGAGAGAGCAUGUAAGUCUUGUCUGUUGUUUCGUGUGAUUGAAUGUGGGUACGUGUGGGUUUGCUGAAUGAGUGUGUUGUUGCUGCAGAUGGCGCAUGCUGAGGAUGUCAAAGACCUCGGAGGUCUAAACAGUGCGCCGCCCGAGGCUGCGGAGGGCAGACCGGUGCUGCCCUCGGAUGCUGGUGAACGCCCAUCGGACGUGCCCGUGCCUGCUGCUGUCGGCGAAGACCCUGUGUCGGCCCCUGUGCCGACAGUCAAAGGCGCUCAUGAGGUGGUGGCGGAGCCGGUGGUCGAAGGCCCUACGGCCGCGGAGGCGCCCGCGCAGGUGGCUAAGUAGUUGAAUAGGUUUAGGGGGGUUGUAAAUUUUGUCUACGUGUUACUGAACCUCGGUUGCUGCGCAGGUUCAGGGUUUUGGGCCUGCGUACGCAACCGCUACUGAAAGUGCUAAUUUUGUGGCGGCUUCGACCGUGGUUGCGGAAAAUGAUUCGGGUGAUUCUGUGUCUAAGUUUUUUGAGUCUGAUGAUUCUGUGAGUUCGGUGGUGUGGACUGAAGAGUCUUCGGAUGAGGACUUGGAUUAUUUUGCGGCAUUGGAUGUGGCUGCGGCGGAGGCUUCGCCGUGUGUGAUGGGUGCUGAGGUUCUCGGUCCGAGCGCUGGGCGUAGGCGGCAAAGGGCGGUGGCGAAGCGCGGAGUGAGUGAGGUGGAGGGUGGUCGUCUUCGUGUGGACAGGGCUGGUAGGCGGGAAUUGUUGUCCUUGCCAGAUGGGGCGAGUGUAGGUGAGGGGGAAUUGCGAAGUCUGUUUGAGGGUGAGGAGCUGAGGAUAAUGUUGUUUAACUAUAGGGAGAUGGGUAUCAUCCCGAAGGUUGAACCAUUGUAAGGUGUGAUGCCCUCGUUGUACGUAUGUAACUAUAAUUUGUAUGAUGAGGCUGUGUGCCUUAGCUGAUACGGUCGUGCCCGUAGGGGACUUGUGCACUAGGUCUAGCACGUUUAUUAUGUCGGUCCAGCUGCACCCUCAGGCGACUUUUGCACGGAUAGUCUUGGGAGGAAGACUUCGAUUUUUCGCACUUGUUGUGCUAGUCCGGCUGCACCCUUAGGCGACUUUUGCACGGAUAGUCUUUUGGAGAAGACUUCGAUUUUGCGCACUUGUUGUGCUAGUCUGGCUGCACACUUAGGCGACUUUUGCAUAGACAAUAUUUUGGGGAAGACUGGUUUUGCGCACUUUUUGUGCUAGUCCGGCUGCACCAUUAGGCGACUUUUGCACGGAUAGUCUUUUGGGGAAGACAUGUUUUGCGCACUUGUUGUGCUAGUCCGGCUGCGCCCUUAGGCGACUUUUGCGCGGACUGUCGCACGUGAGGGUAGCCAGCGCUGCCCCUCGCGGUGACUUCGUGUUUGUCGAAUGUCGAAGACUGUCGAUGCGGUCUUCUUUCGACGUUGUAAUUUUUUGCGGGGGAUUUUUUGCGUGUAUAUUACAUGGCUCCACCUCAUUAAAAACCUCACCCCCCGGUAGGAAAAGAGUGCGGGCCGGAAUAAAAACUGUCUUGCGAAUUACAAGGGUGAGCUGGCCCUAAGGAGUCAAACAAAAAACUUGCGAAGAUUGUCAAUGUUCCAAGAAUGUUCAAAGUCUUCGCCAGAUGGCGUUGUGAGCCUGUACGCGCUGGGGGACGCCUUCGUCUUGACAAUGAAAGGGCCCUCCCAUUUUUGCUCUAGCCUGCCCCGGGACUCUGUCCGAGUUGUCCGGACGAGUACGAGGUCUCCUUCGCUAAAUUCCCUCGGGAUGACUGUGUGGUCGCGCCAUGCUUUUGUUUGAGCUUGGUAUUUGUUUAGAGCCUGUAGGGAGAAGACACGGUCUCCGUCGAUGAGGUCCUUCGAAGUAGGUUCGUCUACGUCGGGGACGGCUGACGCGACUGUCCGCAGUGACCCAUGUUUUAUUUCUUGCGGAGUCAUGGCCUCCGAUCCAUAUAGAAGGCGGAAAGGGGUGAACCCAGUCGCCCUGAACUCAGUCGUGUUCAGCGCCCAGACCGCUUUAGGUAACAGGUCUGCCCACUUUCCUUUUUUGUCGUCGAGGAGCAUUUUCUUGAUGGCUGUGAAAAUUUUACCGUUGGCGCGUUCCACAACUCCGUUGGAUUGCGGGUGGUACACUGAGGCGAAGGCAAGCUUGGUGCCGAUGGAGAAGCAGAAAUCCUUGAAGUCUUGGCUGUCAAAUUGCUUGCCAUUGUCAGCUGUGAGUUCGGACGGGACUCCGAAGCGGCAAACAAUGUUUUGCCAGAAGAAUUUCUGGGCAGUCUUCGAUGUUAUCGUGGAUACAGUCCUCGCCUCGAUCCAUUUGGUAAAAUACUCGACGGCGACGAAGGUCAACUUGAGGUUCCCCUAGGCCGUGGGUAGGGGCCCGACAAUGUCCAGGCCCCAGCGCUGAAGAGGCCACGUGUGGGCGAUUAGCUUUGUGAAUUGCGAAGGGCUUCCCGAGCGUGGAGAAAAUUUCUGGCAGGCUUCGCAGGACCUUGUGACCCGAUUUGCAGCGCAGAUCAUGGCGGGCCAGUAGAAACCUUGAUGGAUCACCUUUGCGGCUAGGGCCCUGGGCCCUGCGUGAGAGCCGCAAGUCCCGCUGUGGACUUCGCGCAGAAUUUGGACGCCUUCGGUCUCGGUGACACAUUUAAGCAUGGGUUGACUGACCCCCUUUUUGUAAAGUUGGCCUUCGAUUAGUGCGAAGUCCCGGCUUCGAUGUUUGAGGCACUUGGCCUCAUUGAUAUCGGUUGGAUGAUAGUACCCCUGCAGGAAUAGGGUUAUUGGUGCCCGCCAGUCUUCGGUCAUGAUGAGGUUGACUAUGCGGUGGCCCUCGCUGUCAUUGGUUAUUUGGAGCCCCUCUGGGCUGCGGAAGGCUGGCGUGCCAAUGACAUGGUAGAAUACAUCGGAGGGCAGGGCCUCGCCUCUGGCGGCUGCCUUGGCUAAUGCGUCGGCCUCCUCAUUCUUGGCUCGGUCCACAUGCUGUAAGGUAAAACCUUUGAAUUGUCUUUCGAGACUGCGGAUAGUCGCGAGGUACUGCAUAAGUGUGGGGUCCUUCGUUGUGUAGUCUUUCUCGACUUGGCCGACGACUAUCUUGGAGUCUGUUCUGAUGAUGCAGGUGGUGACACCAAGUGGCCUUAGCUUGCGAAGGCCGAGAAUGAUAGCUUCGUAUUCUGCUAUAUUGUUAGUGCAUCUGUCAGACUCCAAAGCAAAGCUGAGGCGUGCUGCGUAUCUGUGCUUGACCCCUGUGGGUGACGUAAUGACUACAGCGGUGCCUGCCCCCGCAUGGCACCAUGCGUCGUCGCAAUGGAUUGUCCAUACCCUCUCCGCGGACGUGUCCGGCUGUGUUAUUGGCCCAGUCCAGUCGACGACGAAGUCUGCCAGGACUUGUGACUUGAUGGCUGUCCUGGGUUUGAAUGUGAUGUGUUAGCCGGAGAGUUCGGCUGCCCAUUUGGCAAUCCGGACUGAUGCCUUCGGGUUUCUAAACAAUUCGCUGAGUCCCCUAUCUGAGGUGACCCGGACCUUGAACGCUUCAAAAUAAUGGCGCAAUUUGCACGAAGCCAUAACAACUGCGUAGGCGAUUUUUUCCAGUUCCGUCAUAUUGCAUUUUGAUGUCGUGAGUACUUCGGAGACGUAAUAAACUGGACAUUGCCUGAACGAGCCCUCUCUAUUCCGCUCUUAGACCAGUGAUGCGCUGACCGCAUGCGGCGAAGCUGCGAUGUAGAGCAACAGUGGUAGCGAGGGGUCUGGGCUUGUAAGAAUCGCCAAUUCUGACAGAUACUGCUUCAAAGAGGCGAAGGCCGCCGCCUGCUCUGGUCCCCAUGCGAAGUCUUUUGCGCCGCGGAGUGUUUUGAGGAAAGGGAGACUUCGCUCUGCGGAUUUGGAGAUGAAUCUGUUGAGGGCGUCCAAUCUGCCUAUUAGUCGUUGGACGUCUCUGGCUGACUGUGGGGCGUCAUGUUGAUGAUGUCCUGAAUUUUGGUUGGAUUGGCUUCGAUCCCAUGGUGCGACACCGUGUAGCCCAAUAUUUUCCCCUAGCGAACGCCGAAGACGCACUUUUCGGGGUUUAGGCGAAGUCGUGCGUCCCGCAUGUUCGCAAAUGUUUCGGUGAGGUCAGCCAGAUGGUCUUCCUUGCUUCUGCUGGCGACGACGAUGUCGUCCACAUACGUAAAUAUGUUUCUGCCGACUUGGCCCUCGAGCACUGUUUUGGUGAGCCGAGAGAAAGUGGACCCGGCGUUCUUAAGUCCCUCCGGCAUUCUGAUGGUAUUAUUAAUUCAAUCUGAUAUAACCAUCAGAUCUUAAGUAUUUAAUUAAUCUAGAGCGUACAUUAGAUUAUCAAACCAAAUCAACCUGACAUAACCAUCGAAUGUUCCGCUAUGCACCUUAAGCGCAUGGUCUGGGGCUUAAUCAUCCGAAUAACCAUCCGAUCUUCUGGUAAGCAUAGUAAGCGUAUGGUUCACGACUUCGUCAUCCGGAAUAACCAUCAGAUUUUCCAGUAAGCACUGAAAGCAAAUGAUCCGGGGUUUUGUAGGGGAAAUGUUGUUAGGUGAAUGCGGAUGCUGGCUGAUGUUGCACGUGCGAACUGUUGUGUGGAAGCUGCUAGGUCCUCCUCUAUUGUGCGUGGCUUGUGGCGGGCUUGGACUUCUCUCAUGGCUUUGGCGCUUGGAACUGUUCGUCCGUUCGGUCCUGCGUGCAUCUCUCUCUCCUGGCUGGAGGCGUGGUGGCCUGGUGGCUUCUCUGUGUUUUUCUUUUUACGACAGCUUCUCGUGUUGGCUAGGGUUGGUGUCAGGGGCCCGGUCAACUAUGCUCCCUCAGCUUUUAUAGGCAGAGCACCACAGCAGGCAGAGCAGAGAUAAAGAUUCCAACUGCAUCCAUCUACAAACAAGGCUCUCAGCGGAAGGGAUAAAAGCAUGCAGCGCAAUUGCUGCUACCGUGCUGCAGCCUUGACUCUCGUCAAUUGGAUGACCAAAAGAUGCCACCGUCUAAAGUCUUUUCUUUGUGCAGCUGCCUGUUUGUCACCAACACAAAAUUGUAGGUGCCUGUUUGUCACCAAUUAUCCUCUACCACAAAGAACUACAAUAGUGAUGGAGGAUCCGAUCCUGCAUAGAUCCACGAUAAUGCAUAGUGGGUGAUGCAUGCCUAAUGGUGGUUGUUUAGUGUUAGUUUUGGCAUGUUGGAACUAAGCAAUUGUCGAUGCCAUACGCUAGAAGUGAAGAAUGUUGUUAGCGUUAGGAGUAGAGGUGUCAAUGGGGUCUGAUACCCGUUAAGCCAUGGAGAAUUUCUCUAUUAGAUUUAGGGUAUGGGAAGAUUUUACUUUCCAUUUGUUGAAGUUAGGUAUACAUCUAUUUGAAUCAACAGUUACAGUUCAAUAGAAACUUCUUCCGCUCUAGUUUGUUGCGUGUCCUACCUUUUUCCUAAACUAGUUUUCCCUAAAUUGACAUACUCUCUAGAAAAUCUAUCCAAAUUUUGAAGAUCAAAUAUGUUCGAUUGAAUUAUUCAUGACAUAUAUCUUGGUAUUGCUUUUUUGUCAUCAGAAUAUAUUUUGAACUCAGUAAAAGUUAUACACGAUUUUUUUUAGACAAUACUAAAGCAAGUUGUAAUCAAGAACACUUGAGGUGUGCGCCAAUUGCCACAUUUAGAUAUAAUCAUUCUAAUUUUGGUCGUCCUAUGUGUGUGCAUUCAUCUAUGCAUUCUAGGAUUUCAAUUAGUUUCAAUCUUGUAGUAUUGGUUCCUUCAUUGUCAAAUCACUUCUCAUCUAACUACUAUGCUUGUUUAACCAUCAGAACAUAACUACAACAAUAUCCAUUUAUAAACGUUUUGAUAGCAAACUUUACAUAUUCAUAUCAUGUUAAGGUUGUCACAUGUGUAAAGGUGAAGAGAUCAUGCAUGUCAUUCCACGUAGAUGAAAAGAAUUCCUAUAUAAAAUGACACCUUUUCUUGUAGGUAGUGGAAAGUAUCUUUCCAGCAAAUACCAUAUAAUCCGAUAAAGCGGAUAACUAAAUGUCGAAAUCGAGUAGAUGCCAUAUCAUCUAUACCUUAUCUGUUGUUUGGAAAAAAGACAAAAUCCAAAAAAUAUAUUUGAGACCUCACCUGUAUAAAUAGCUCCCAAAUCAGUAGUUAAUCCAUCACCCAUAAUAUUUUGAGCAUUCAGAAACACACCAAGCGAAGCUACCUAGCAACGACUUAACAACAAUGGCUACCAAGAUAUUAGCCCUCCUUGCGCUUCUUGCCCUUUUUGUGAGCGCAACAAAUGCGUUCAUUAUUCCACAAUGCUCACUUGCUCCUAGUGCCAUUAUACCACAGUUCCUCCGACCAGUUACUUCAAUGGGCUUCGAACACCUAGCUGUGCAAGCCUACAAGCUACAACAAGCGCUUGCGGCGAGCGUCUUACAACAACCAAUUAACCAAUUGCAACAACAAUCCUUGGCACAUCUAACCAUACAAACCAUCGCAACACAACAGCAACAACAGUUCCUACCAGCACUGAGCCAACUAGAUGUGGUGAACCCUGUCGCCUACUUGCAACAGCAGGUGCUUGCAUCCAACCCACUUGCUCUGGCAAACGUAGCUGCAUACCAACAACAACAACAAUUGCAACAGUUUCUGCCAGCGCUCAGUCAACUAGCCAUGGUGAACCCUGCCGCCUACCUACAACAGCAACAACUGCUUUCAUCUAGCCCUCUCGUUGUGGGUAAUGCACCUACAUACCUGCAACAACAAUUGCUGCAACAGAUUGUACCAGCUCUGACUCAGCUAGCUGUGGCAAACCCUGCUGCCUACUUGCAACAGCUGCUUCCAUUCAACCAACUGACUGUGUCGAACUCUGCUGCGUACCUACAACAGCGACAACAGUUACUUAAUCCACUAGCAGUGCCUAACCCAUUGGUCACUGCCUUCCUACAGCAGCAACAAUUGCUACCAUACAGCCAGUUCUCUUUGAUGAACCCUGCCUUGUCGUGGCAGCAACCCAUCGUUGGAGGUGCCAUCUUUUAGAUUACAUAUGAGAUGUAAUCGAUAAUGGUGCCCUCAUACCGGCAUGUGUUUCCUAGAAAUAAUCAAUAUAUUGAUUGACAUUUAUCUCGAUAUAUUUUUGAACUAUGUUCAUCAAAUAAAUAAUUGAAAACAUCAAAUCGUAAUUAUAAACUCAUGCUUGGUCAAUACAUAGACAAUACAAUAUUACUUCAUCAUCCCAAUGAUGUCCUAGCCCAACCUCUUGAAUGUUAUUGUUUGGGUGUGUGAGGGUGUAUAUAUAAGAUAGAUGUGACUAUUUGCGCUUUUUGUUGAGUACAUACAUAUAUGGUAUGUUGAUUUGAUAUAGUGAUGGACACAUGCUUUGACCAUGAAUAUUCAAAUCAGUUGUACUUGCACGAAGCAAAACAUAAUAUAAGUUUAGGAGUAAACUUAUAACUGUGUCCAAACAUGCUCACACAAAUUCAUACCACAUUAUAAUUUUUUGGUAAAUAUUCCACACAUGUAUUUUUUACAAGAAACUAAAUUUUGCACACAAAUGUAGCAUUGUAGACAUGUAUAAUUCUAUGAACCCGUGAACUUAACAACACCAAGGUCAUUAAAUCAACUGGACCCUAUGAGUAACAAUUUCGAUAUGGCAAACACCAAAUUAUUGAACUUAUUGGCUGAAAAUUAUGACCAACGUAAAGUUUAAAUUAUUAUACGAUAAAUAUAUCAAAGAAUUUUUUUUGAGGGACGUAAAAAUUGCAUGGAAUCGGCUGCCUAACGUGCUAGCUCACUUUUAUGCUAGGUAGCAUUACUAAAGAUGGGAAUGUUGCUGAUGAACGCCAAACCCACUCAAAUAAUAUUUAUAUUUGGGUUGUUUAGUUGUAAAAGUGAAGAACCAAGAUUAAAGUACCAAUUGGCCAAUGCCAUUCGAUUGUUUUGUUCAGAGAGCACUUGGUGCGUCACUUGGACUCGUAUCUUAGUCCAAUAGAUUGCAUUUUCCUUCAAUGUGUAGAAUCCGACAAAGUGCAUGUUCUAAAAUUGUAAAUCUAACUAAAUUAGAAAGCUUGUUACUAAUUCGAUGGUUUAUUAGGUGUAGGUCAUAAAACUAGAACCAACAUAGCCUGCACUCACAUGUCAUAGAAAAUAGAAGUAUGCAAGCACAAUUUAUGUGAGCAUCUAUGACACAAAUCAUAUGUUGACUGAUACAAUUAAUUCCUUCAAAAAUUAAAAAGGAAACCCAUAAAGUGUUUUUUAUACUGCUGGAUAUCUUCUUUAGCUAAUCAUGAGUACUAAAAGUAUGUUGCACUUUUGGGUGGGGAGAAUUCCCCAUUCAUAACUUUGACAUAAUUUUAAUUCAGAUCACAUAUAUAUAUCAUAUCUUAAUUAUUAUAUUAAUAUGGUAUGCAUCAUUGGAUUAUUAAAUCAAUUCGGUAUAACCAUCGGAUCUUAAUUAAUAAAUUAAUCUAAAGCGUACAUCAGAUUAUCAAACCAAAUCAACCCGACAUAACCCUCGAAUGUUCCGCUAUGCACCGUAAGUGCUUUGUCUGGGGCUUAAUCAUCCGGAAUAACCAUCCGAUCUUCCGGUAAGCACAAUAAGCGUAUGGUUCGGGGCUUCGUCAUCCGGAAUAACCAUCAGAUUUUCUGGUAUGCACUGAAAGCCUAUGAUCCGGUGUUUUGAUAGGCGAAACGUUGUUAGGUGAUUGUGAAUGCUAGCUGUAACUGUGUUUGGAUCUGCUGAGUGGAAGCUGCUGGGUCCUCCUCUACUGCGUGUGGCUUGUGGCGGGCUUGGACUGCUCUCAUGGCUUCGGCGCUUGGAGUUACUCGUCCGUCUGGUCAUGCGUGCGUCUCUCUCUCCUGGCUAGAGGCGUGGUGGCCUGGCGGCUUCUCUAUGUUUUUCUUUUUGUAGCGGCUGCUUGUGUUAGCUAGGGUUGGCGUCAGGGGCCCGGUCAGCUAUGCUCCCUCAGCUUUUAUAGGCAGCGCAGCACAGUAGGCAGAGCAGAGAUAAAGAUUCCAACUGAUCGAAUCCAUCUACAAACUAAGCUCUCGGAGGAAGGGGUAAAAGCAUGCAGCGCAAUUGCUUUUAUGUGUGACGGAUAUGUUUGACAGUUCUUCAACUGUGUUUGAUUUGGAACUAUAUCAUUGUUGAUGUCAAAGGCUAUGUUAAUGUCGAACUAUGAUGAUAUUAUGUGAAUGUUGAACUAUGAAGAUUUUAUGUGUGAUGCAUGUUGGAACUAUAUGUUGAUGUUAAAGACUUGUUGCGAUGUGUUUGUGAAUGUGAGUUGAUAUUUGAGAAUGUGAAUGCGAACGUGAAUUGAUGUUUGUGAAUGUAAUUGUGAAUGUGAAAGUGUGGUAAUUGCCGACGACUCUUUUGCGGCCGUCGGACAUAAGCUAUUUCUGACGGCCCGUCAGAAAUAACCUUAUUUCCGACCCGUUGCGAUCGAGGGACACAGGUGUCGUCGGACAUAAGACUUUGUCCGUCGGAUCUGAUGGUUUAGGAUUUAUUUCCGACGGCUUUGGCCGUCGAAAAUUUUAUCUUUUACUGUUGUGGGGUCCACAUGAACCUUAUCAAUUGUCACCGCCAUCUACCCCCACCUUUCGCUGUCUCGCGGUCCAUUUGCACGCCCUAAACGUGGUGUGACUUUUCAUGAGAGAAUUGGGAGCGACGACUAUGUAGUAGCUCGAACCUGCUAACGAAUUAUAUAUAUAAUCAUAUGGUAUCCACAACUUUUUUAUUCUUUGCGAAAUUGUACCCAGAACUUAACGCGCCCAUUUCGUUUCCGCUUUUAGAGAGACCUCUCUUGACUAGCUAGUGUUCAUACUUCACUUCAUAGUUCAUAGUGCAUAGCACUAUACAGCAGUCUUCCUCUUCUAAGCAGCCAUGGCUAGCACGACCUCUACAGCAGUCCUCCUCGUCUCAACCGCCAUCCUCGUCGCCGCAGCGACCUACUUCCGCCACGGCACGCUCAGCGGCGGCGGCGGCACCGCCGGAACGCACCUCCAUUUCUUCAUGCACGACCAGUACACCGGCGCGAACCCGACGGCCGCGCUCAUCGUGCCCGGAAGGCCGCCGCUCUCCAACGCCACCGCCACCGCCACCGCCACCGGCAGCGGCGAUGACGACGAGCACCCGCGCCGGUUCGGCGACAUCGCCGUGAUGAACAACGCGCUCACGGAGGGGCCCGGGCGCGGCAGCGCGCGCGUCGGCACCGCGCAGGGGUUCACGGUGCGCGUGGCGGAGCGCGGCUCCGUCAACGCGCUGAGCAUGCACCUGGUGCUGGAGGCCGGGGAGCACGCGGGCAGCUCGCUGGUGGUCAGCGGCAGGGUCGACACCGACCUGGCCGUGCGCGAGUCGGUGGUCGUCGGCGGCACCGGCCGGUUCCGCCUCGCGCGGGGCUACGCGCUCAGCAGGAGCUACGACUACGACCUGGCCAAGGGAGGCGUCGUGGAGGUCGAUGUGUACCUGCAGUAGGUUCGCAUGGCAUAUUGGCAUGCAUCGCUCGUUCCUUACCUCUGUACUGCUAUUUGAUCGGUUUUUAUGUUCACUAUCCUGCAGUUUCCCAGAUUUCAAAUUUAUGUUUACAAGAACUGGGACUAGCUAUGAGCUGAAAACUUGGUCCAGUAAUAACAAGGACUUUGGUUUGGCUAUACUUGGUUUUGUAUGUUUCUUUCGUGGGUGUACUGUAAAUUAAUCCUGUUUCACGGCCGUUUAAGGUAAGGUUUUUCUUUUGUUUUACUGUAAAUUUUCAUUAUAAAAACAGAACGAAAAGAUUCAUUUGUGAAUAUGAACACUUAUCCUAGCUAGCGAUUCUUAGCCAACUCCGGGAGACGCGGGCCAGAAAGCAAACUGAUGAUAGGUGAAGUUGAAGGUACAAACCAGUAAUGAUGAUAGGUGAAGUUGUAAGGGGCUCUAUUCUAAAACUAAUAUUUAGAAGCUAAAAUCAGCUGAGAGAUUUAGAACAAAUCAGCUAGUUAAUAGACUAGCUAAUUGUUAGUUAUACCCUCUCAAUCCAUCUAAUAACUUAUUAGCUGAUUAACAAUUAGUUUUAGAGGUUUGAAAUAUGACCUUAUUCUACUAGCUCCAUCUACAUGUUACUAUGAAAAGUCAUGAAUUCACAAGACGUUUUCGAAAACAAUUUCAGCUCCACUUGUAAAGUUGAUUGUGCGGCUGAAGCCAAGAAAACAUUAGAGGACAAACAAUAACUUACUAUGCUUUUCGUGAACUGUUUCAGGCCAGCAGUAAUAAUUAUUGGUCCUACAUGCAUUAAUGGUUAAGCCGCUAGCUUGCCAAGACGGAGCAUUAAUUAGGAGAUAAGACCUAGCGUUUCAUUGCAUCCCCAUGAAAGGGAUACUAUCACUAGUUCACUACUGCAUGAAUAAUUUUCAAAUGUAGUUAAAAACUGAUAUUGAAAUGUAGGUAAUCUGUCCACCUAUGUGAAAUGUUUAACAGAGGCAGCCACUCUAGGAUGUUGCCCUCGAUCUAUUAAUUACUGAUAGAUGCAGCCAUCCAACUCUAGCCACCUGUUGGCGUCUUUUUGGCCAAAUACUGAUGAACCCUAGAGUCUACAAGCGACGUGCAGUGCGUUGAGUUCCUAUCUACGAGCUGAUGGACUGUUCGGCCCUAGUGGUCGGACUACUGUCCGCGGUUGGCAGGCAGACUAUUCGCAGCGGACUGUACCUAGAUCCCACCUCCCCGAAGUGACCCUAUCGGGAAGGAGGGAUUAUAGAAUUGCUUUGGGAUCGGCAGACCAUCUAAAAGCACAUCAAGUUAAGGUAGAGACGAAGAUUGGAGAUUGGGAAGCUACAAUUAGGGCUAAACUAUGUCUAAUCUAAGAACAUGAAUGUAAAUAAGGUAAAACUAUUAUUUGGGUUCGAUUGAUUGUUGUUCCAAUCGGCCAUAACCCCUAAUAGGGGGAGGUCUAGACCCUUUCCUAGGUAGAGUCCAACAAAAUCCAUGAAUAAUCGAUUGAAUCUCGCAAAAAAUCAUGACCCGAACAUGUUUUGAUCUAUUCCCAAAUUGGUUGGGCUAACACACUAGACUAUCUUGCGCCGAACAGUCUGGGCUUCUACGCCAGACAGUCUAGAGGGUGCCAGUUUAGGUUCUCAACACAUGCCCCCAACCUUUUUGGCGGAGUUUUACGAGACAAAAGCACCUAGCACACCUUGUAUACUUCGACAAUUAAGACAUGCACAUGUCAAUUCAUAUUAUUCCGAAGUAAAGACUCAAUGUGAAAACAUCGACCUUCUAGGUGUCUUGCUAAACACUAGGAUAGUAUCGUUUUAACAAACGACCAUUUAAUGCUUUAGUUAGCUUCUCACCUUGCAAAGUCUCCAAUAUAUAUGCAUUACCAGAAAUUACCUAUACAAUCGUAUAAGGCCCUUUCGAACUUGGGGACCAUUUGCCAAACUUUCGAUCUUUGGUCUUUAAUGGCAAGAAUGUCUUCCAUAACAAAUCUCUAUCUUGAAAUUAUUUAGCCUUUACCUUCUUAUUGUAGGCCUUGGCAACUGCAAGUUUGUCCUUUUCUAUCUCCUUUAGAGCUAUCAACCUUUUACCGAUUACAUCAUCAAUAUUAUCCAUCAUUAGGUUAUGAUAUUCACCUAUUGCUAAGUCAUUUUAUUUUGUGAACAUAAUGGCAUUCAAACUUAUCUCCAAAGGCAAAAGAACUUCCUGGCCGUAUACAAGCUCGGAAGGAGUCACCUUAGUAGCAUUGUGCUUAGAUAUCCUAUGAGCCCAUAAAGCUUCGGAUAAAACCUUAUGUCAAUGUCUAGGAUAAUUAAAUAUCUUCUUUUUUAUAAGGCUAAUCAAUAUCUUAUUACUUGACUCGGGCUGAGCAUAGUAUGAAGAUGAAUUGUGCAACUUAAUCUUAAAAGAUUUAACAAUUUCAUGCACCUUUUUGUCGGACAUAAAAGAAGUUCCCUGGACCAUAGUUAAAGUUUGUGAAAUACCAAAUCUAAGAAUAACAUGUUCAGUUAUAAACUCAAUUACCUCCUAGUGUUUCAUUUUUCCAAAACAAAGGCUUCAGUCCAUUUAGGGCCCGUUCGGUUGUUAUGGAAUGGAGUACCGGAACUGUUUCAAGCCGGAUUGCUUCUCUAAUUUGUAUAAGUUUUGAUCAACAGGAAUAAUUCUUGGUGCGUUUCUGCAGAAACGAACAGGCCCUUAGUGAAGUAGUUUCACUACCGGAAUCCGAGCCUUUGCCGAGUGCCGGCCGCUUUGCCGAGUGCCUUUUCUCGGGCACUCGGCAAAUACGGCUUUGCCGAGUGGCGCACUCGGCAAAGCUCGGCUCUCGGUAACGAGCGUCUUUACCGAGCGUAGGACACUCGGUACAGGUCCACACUCGGUAAAUCCAUGUUUGCCGAGUGUCAAACACUCGGCACAUGGGGCUCUCGGCAAAGAGCCGUCAGCGGCCGUCCUAAAGCUGACGGCCGUCAGUCUUUGCCGAGCGCCAACGGUUGGCACUCGGCAAAGAGUCUUCUUUGCCGAGUGUCGCCCAGUUGACGCUCGGCAAAGAACUCUUUGCCGAGUGCCAUCCCUAGACACUCGGCAAAGUAUAUUUUUAUUUCUUUUAUUUUGUCUCCCAAACUUUUUGUGGUAUGUUCCUACACUAUGUAGACCUACAUGUAUCAUUUGUGGACAAUUUUAACAGAGUUUCAAUCGUUAGUAGAUUUAGUUCGUUUAUUUGAAUUUCUUCGGAAAAUUUAGAUUUGAACUGCAGGUCACUCGAAACUUGGAAAACCGUGCAUGAAAAAAUGAUAUUCAUGUUACUUAGCAUAAGUUACGACCGAUUCCAGGAGCGGACCAAAAACUUCGAGCAACAUGCUCACUAAACAUGGUCGUGAACUUGUCAUCAACAUGUUUAAAACUUGUAUAAAACACAAACAAAGUCAGAAAAUCUUGAAACUUGUCCACGUGUCAUGAUAUCAUAUGUACAGGCUGCGAUAAAAAAUUGAAAAAAUUUCGAGAAAACUAUGACGCGCUAUGUGUACAAACCUAAGAGAUCCACAUUGAAACUCUAUGAUUUCAUGUGUAGUUCUCUUAGGUUUCUACACAUAGUGUCUCACAACUUUGUCCAAACAUUCUCAAUUUUUUAUCACAACCUGUGCAUAUGAUAUCAUGACAUGUGGACAAGUUUCAUGAUUUUCUGACUUUGUUUGUGUUUUAUACAAUUUUUAAACAUGUGGAUGGCAAGUUCACGGCCAUGUUUAGUGAGCAGGUUGCUCGAAGUUUUCGGUCCGCUCAUGGAAUCGGUCGUAACUUAUGCUAAGUAACAUGAAUAUCAUUUUUUUCAUGCACGGUUUUCCAAGUUUCGAGUGACCUGCAGUUCAAAUUUGAAUUUUCCGAAGAAAUUCAAAUAAACAAACUAAAUCUACUAGCUAUUUCAAACUCUGUUAAAAUUGUCCACAAAUGAUACAUGUAGAUCUACAUAGUGUAGGAACAUACCACAAAAAGUUUGGGAGACAAAAUAAAAAAAAUACAAAUGCACUUUGCCGAGUGUCUAGGACUGACACUCGGCAAAGACUUCUUUGCCGAGUGCUAGAUGUGUGGCACUCGGCAAAGAGGUAGUAAAGAACCUUUGCCGAGUGCCGCAACGGGGGACACUCGGCAAAGAACUCUUUGCCGAGUGCCGCUGAUCUGGCACUCGGCAAAGAAUAUUUUAAAAUUUUAAAAAAAUCUUUGCCGAGUGCCGGAUCACGGGCACUCGGCAAAGAAACUAACUUUAACCGGCCGCGCGGCCGGCUUUCUUCUUCCUUCUGCUUUGCUUCUUCUUUCUUCUUCCUUCCCGCGCCUCACCGCCGCCGCCUUCCCACGCCUCACCGCCGGCCGCCUCACCGCCGCCCGCCUCACCGCCGCCGGCCUCCCCACGCCUCACCGCCGGCCGCGCCCGGCCGCCCGCGCCCCACCGCCCGCGCCCCACCGCCACCGUUCGCCCGCCUCACCGCCGCCCACGCGCCGUCGUCCGCCCGCUCGCCUCCGGUACGUAAGUUUAUCACAUGUUUAUUAGUGGCAGCCCAUAAUUAGCUUAAAGCUAGGAGGCUCCUUGGCCUCGUGCGGUCGGAGCUCGAGGUGGAGGAGCCUGCAAGCGGCAGCGGGGCAAGGGGCAGGGGCAGGGGCAGCGGGGAGUAGCUUGUGAGACGGUGGUGGUGGUGGCAUACCAGGGUUGAGCGCGCGGGCGAACAGGAGCACCGAAGAGGAGCCUGCAGCGGUGGUGUUGGGGGCAUGAGGCAGCGUGAGGAGUUACGGAUUUCCCAUCGCAUGGGGAGACUGAUAUUUGCCAGCUCCUAGAUUAGGCUAGCCAGCUCGCUGAUCCGGCCUUCCCAACGGCGGUCCAGGUCGUCGUCCACCUCCAGGUCCGAUCCUGCCCCUUCUGCAGCCACCCGGGCAGCGUCCAGUGCGACAUCUUUCUCAAGGAACGUCGGCCGUUCGCCGUGGCUGCGGUUGGUAGGGUCCAGUGCGACAUCUUUCUCAAGGAACGGCGCGUAGGGGACGACGGCGGAGGGGAGAGGGAGGCGGUGGUGGUACUGGUGGUGCACGACGGGCGGGUCGGGUCGGCACCGCCAGUCGAUGAAAAGCCUGCCGCGCGCCGCCUCGCUGAUGCCGCGGCCGAAGGAGUCCGUGUCCCCGGCGUCGAGGCGCUUCUCCUUGACGAAGCGGCUCCAGCCCUUGGUCAUCACGUAGCUCUGGCUACUGUUCCAGUAGGAGUAGCGGUAGCGCCAGGGCUUCCCCGUGCGGUCCUCGAAGCUGAGCAGGAGGCCCUUCUCGUUCGCCGCCGCGUCCAGCGGGAAGUACUUCUCCGCGUGCUGCUUCGGGAUCACCAGCCGGUUCAGCUUCCCGACGUCGCUCGGCGUCACCACCUUGUCGAACAUGUGCUCCUUCUCCACCGUCGCAUGCUGCUGCUGGUGGUGCUGGUUGUGCUCAGCAGCCGCCCUCUCCUCUCCGCCGCCCGACCGGGUCGCGGGCGGGGGAGUGGUGAACUCCAUCGAUCUCCGAUCGACGACCGGCGAUCGGUUGAGAUCGAGGCAGCAAGUCGAACGUAGGCCGUAGACGCCGGCCGAUCGAUCGACGCUGCUGCCGCUACCGCCUCCGCGUUGAGACUUUGGCCGUAGCUGCCUCGAGUCUGGGUGUGUUGAGGCCCGGGAACGAUAGCUCUUUUGGCCGGGAGGUGCUGUCGAUUUUUUUUUGUAUUAAUAGACUUGUGUUUCUUUUUUACAGAGAAGAUACUUGUCUUCCUAGCCGCUGCGGGUCUGCCUGCACCGCGUCGCGUCGCCACUGCACCGACCCGCCACAGCCCCACUAGCCUGACUCCACCGCCACCCUAGGUAUAACCUCUAUUUCCGCAUCAUGGUCGUAGAUCACGUAACCCAGUUAGGCGUCUCCCGUUCGAAAGUGAUACGGUGUAGAUAUGCAGAUCUUUGCAUAUCUACAAAUGUAUCAGUUUCGAAUUGUCCACGUUUUUUGGACAGCCCGCGGUUGCGUAGAUGGUGUUAGUUUCCAUGGUCUACUCCGGUCCGAGAAAGAGUUUCGGCGUCACCUCCCUGUUGUUCUCCGGACAGUACACUCUCCCUGCCAGGACGUGUAUCCGGAGAACAGCGGGGAGGUGCUGCCGAAAUUCUAUCUCGGAUCGGAGUAGAGCAUGGAAACUAACUCCAUCUACGCAACCGCGGGUGGGAUUAGGACCUAUCCUCACCUAUUAGAAGGUAGGAACGUAGUGUACAUGCAUUACAUGUCUAUAUUAAACUAUACUCGGUUAUAUAUGUUAGAGGAUGGAGGACCAUGAGUGGAUGUACACGGGCCGCGUUCGACGUAAUGAUGUCACCCCAGAAUGGAUUAGGAAGACCGAUGCUUUCGUGGAACGGGCAUAUGGCGAAGCUGCUAAAGGAGCUAGCCUAGUCCCUUGUCCGUGCAGCAAAUGUGACAACCGGAAAAGAAAACCAAAGAAGGCCAUGGUAGAACAUAUUUGGAAGAAUGGAUUUACGCCGGACUAUACUCGGUGGAUCUUCCAUGGUGAAGCGCAUCGCACGAGAGAGGAGGUGGUGAGACAACGCGUCGAGGAUUACGAUGCUGAUGCCGGGGUAGCAGACAUGUUGAACGACUAUCACGAGGCACAGUUCGCCGAAGGACGUACGGAGGACGAGCCAGAGGCGACCGCAAAGGCAUUCUACGACAUGUUUGACGCGGCACAGAAACCCCUUCACGGCAAGACAAAGGUUUCUCAACUGGAUGCCAUUGGGCGUAUAAUGGCGUUGAAGUCGCAGUAUAGCAUGAGUCGAGACGCCUUCGAUGGUUUGUUGACAGUUAUUGGCAGCCUGCUUCCGGAGGAUCACGUUCUGCCAAAGAGCAUGUACGAGGCACAGAAACUCCUUCGUGCACUCAAGAUGACGUAUGAGCAGAUACAUGCUUGUCCGAAGGGCUGCGUCCUAUUUAGGAAAGAACACACUGAGGCAAAGUACUGUCCGAAGUGUAAAUCGUCUAGGUUCAUGGAGGUAGACUCUGGUGAUGGACAGAAGAAGCAGCUCGACAUCCCCGUGACAAUCCUACGCCACCUUCCGUUCAUACCGAGGAUCCAGCGUCUAUACAUGACAGAGGAAUCCGCGAAACAGAUGACAUGGCACAAAAAAGGCAAACGAUACAAUCCUGACAAGAUGGUUCACGCAUCCGAUGGUGAAGCAUGGACCCACUUUGAUGCCAUUCACCAUGAGAAAGCCAAAGAGGCUCGACAUGUUCGUGUUGCGCUGGCCACAGAUGGGUUCAGUCCCUAUGGAAUGACCGCUGCCCCAUACACAUGUUGGCCCGUGUUCGUUAUCCCCAUCAAUCUCCCCCCGGCGUAUGCUUUCAAAGACAGAACAUAUUCGUGUCGUUGAUAAUUCCUGGACACCCGGGGAAUAAAAUGGGCGUGUACAUGGAGCCUUUGAUUGAUGAAUUGGUCCGUGCUUGGGAGGAAGGGGUAUGGACGUACGACCGAGCUACGAAGACAAACUUCAAAAUGCAUGUUUGGUACCAGUACUCCAUGCAUGACUUUCCGGCGUAUGGGCUAUUUUGCGCCUGGUGUGUUCACGGUAAGUUCCCAUGCCCAGUUUGCAAGGAAGCUCUUAGGUUCAUUUGGUUGAAGAAGGGUGGCAAAUAUUCGUCAUUCGAUAAACAUCGACAAUUUCUCCCUCCUGACCAUGCAUUCCGACAAGACAUCAAGAACUUUACGAAAGGUGUCGUGGUGACAGACCGCCCACCUGCAAUGAUGACUGGUGCCGAAGUUCGCGAACAGAUAGAUGGUCUCGUGGCCAACCCAGAAGGUGGUUUUGUGGGAUAUGGUGAGCAACAUAUGUGGACACAUAAGUCGGGCUUGACUCGGCUCCCCUAUUAUGAUGACCUGCUCCUUCCACACAACAUUGACGUGAUGCACACUGAAAAGAAUGUCGCCGAGGCACUUUGGGCGACAAUUAUGGAGAUUCCUGAUAAGUCAAAGGAUAACGUAAAGGCAAGAGUGGAUCUGGCAGAGUUAUGUGAUAGACCAAACCAAGAGAUGAAGCCGCCUAGUGGUGGUAAGACAUGGAGAAGGCCUAAGGCCGAUUUCGUCCUGAGCAGGGCCCAGAGGAAGGAAGUACUACAGUGGAUCAAGAUGUUAAUGUUCCCUGAUGGGUAUGCAGCUAACCUUAGUAGGGGGGUGAACUUAUCUACUCUGCGAGUCUUAGGGAUGAAGAGUCAUGACAUCCACAUAUGGAUUGAACGAAUUCUUCCGGCGAUGGUUCGAGGCUAUGUCCCUGAGCAUGUCUGGCUAGCGCUUGCAGAGUUGAGCUAUUUCUUCCGCCAGCUUUGUGCAAAAGAGUUAGCUCGGACCAUGAUUGCAGACUUGGAAAGGAUGGCACCCGUGUUACUGUGUAAGCUGGAGAAGAUCUUUCCACCCGGCUUCUUCAAUCCGAUGCAGCAUUUGAUUAUUCAUCUCCCAUAUGAGGCACGAAUGGGGGGGCCCGUGCAGGGACGUUGGUGCUAUCCAAUCGAGAGAUGUCUAAAGAGUAUCCGAAAGAAAUGUAGAAAUAAAUGCAAAAUCGAGGCUUCCAUUGCAGAGGCAUACAUACUGGAGGAGGUGUCAAACUUCACAACAACUUACUAUGGUGACAAACUGCCGAGCGUGCAUAAUACACCCCCUCGUUACAAUGAUGGCGGCAAUGAAUCGAACCUCAGCAUUUUUCGAGGGCAACUCGGAAGCGCGAGUGGUUCGACCACCAAGACCCUGAGACAUGAAGAGUGGCGCCAUAUCAUGCUAUAUGUAUUGACCAACCUUGAAGAGGUGACGCCAUACAUGGAGCAAUUUCUUCAUGAAUUCUGGCGUCGAUCAAGGGACCCAACUCCACAGGAAUAUGAUACCCUUCUUAGAAAGGGUGCGGGAAAUGGAUUGCCCGAUUUCAUUUCCUGGUUUAAACAUAAGGUACGUGCUUAGUUUGUUAUUCCAAGUUGCUCUUACGUGCGAAUAAUAUAACAAUCUAGCGUGUUUGAACUUGCAGGGCCAAAGAGAGCCGUCUAUGAGUGCCGAGUUGAGACAAGUAGCCAAUGGCUUUGCCUAUAGGGUCAGGAAAUUUUCUGGGUAUGACAUCAAUGGAUACCGUUUUCGCACAACAAGCUACGACCAAAGUCGGCCCAAUUGAAAAACCACGUGUUCUGGAGUCUUUACGCCCGGGCUUGACGAGGUCGAGUAUUAUGGAAGAAUUGAAGAAAUAUAUGAACUCAAUUUUUAUGGUUCCAAACCUCUUACUCCAGUGAUAUUCAAAUGUCAUUGGUUUGACCCUGAAGUUACGAGACGGACACAUUCUAAUCUUGGGAUAGUCGAAAUUCGACAGGAUUCCACCUUAACAGGAGACGAUGUCUACAUUGUGGCCCAACAGGCCACACAAGUGUAUUAUCUUCCAUAUGCGUGCCAAACGAAACAACAUCUUAAGGGUUGGGAUGUUGUGUAUAAGGUAUCACCGCACGCUAAAUUACCUGUUCCAAACGAUGAAGAUUAUAACUUAGACCCGGACACAUAUGACGGAGAGUUCUUCCAAGAAGAUGGGCUCGAAGGGCAAUUUGAGAUAGACUUAACCGAAGCGAUCGGAAUGGAAGUAGAUAUUGAAAUGGUUGUUGAUGACGAGGAUGAUGAGGUGCAAAAUGAGAAUGACUUAGAAAUACUUGAAGGCAAUGCCAAUGACGAAGUUGCGCCUUCAGAUGAUGUUGACUAUGAAAUGGUUGAUAGUGAUGAUGACACUUAUGAUCCGGCUAACCCGGACACAUAUGAAGAUUAUUUUUAAUCGAUGUAAUGCUAUAUUUCAUUUAUUUUGCAUAUGUUUCUAAAUACAUAUUUUUUUAUCUGUGCUUAAUUGUUUACUCUUAAUUGCAGGUUGUUGGACAAAGAUGGUUGGCGGUGGGACGAGGACGAGGAGGGGGAGGGGGAGGGGGAGGAGGAGCACCCGUAGGACGGAGGAGGAGGCGCAGCAGGACGACGCCGUACAGCAGCAGGUGGAGCAGCAAGCCGCUGUCGAUGCGGCACAGCAGGACGACGACGAUGCGGCGCAGCAGGACGACGACGACGACGACGCCGCUCAGCAGGACGUCUCAGGUUCUGGCUCCUCAGGUUCGAGGAGUAUCUACCUGCGAGGUCCCGCGAGCCUACCUAAGCGACCCAUACUUCGUGACAGACGUCCGCUCAUACGACCCGAUGGAGAGAGGUAGGUAACUUUAGAUGUUGUUGCUGCUUUUUCAUAUUAUAUGUUCAAAUUAAUAAUAGAAACUAAUACUUCAUCUUAAUCACUUUCGACAGGUCUUGGAUGAUUUUGGAGACUGCAGGGGGUCACGGCCGCAACCCCAAUGGCAUCCUCGGCCUUCUAUGCCGGGAACACUUCCCUGGGCUUGUCGAGUACGCCGGAGUGACGAGCCCAGCAUACACCUUCGACCACUACGCUGUCGCCCCCGAUGCAGUAGAUCGGGACGGCAGACAAUUCAACAACAAGGCGGAGCGGGUCAAGCAAGAGCUGUGGGUAAGUCUUCCUCGCACUAUAUUGUUUAAUAAGUCGCAUUUGUUGCAUAUUCUUUAAAUAAUGUAUGGAUACAUCGUCUUUGUAUGUAGGAUUUCUUCAGGUGCGAUGCUGGAUACGAGGCCAGGGCGGAUGUGGUGUCUACGACGUGCUGUAAGAAGCUCGUCGUGGACAUGCACUACGAGGCGCGCAUCCAGGCCAUCGUCACUUACCACGGCUCCGUCCUUGGGGAGAAGGUGAACAAGAAGGACGCCCGAACCAUGUCAUUGACUGCGGACCAGUACUUGCAGGUAAAUACAAAACUUUAUUAUUGGUACUAAAUAUGCUUAUUCUUAUCUUCUGAUAUGCGGUGUACUUAUAUUUUUUUAGAUGAUUCCUCAUUGGUGCGCCGCGCAUCCUGAGUGCUGGGAGAAGAUGGUGCAGAGGUGGUGCUCGGCUGAGUGGGACGAGGCGCACAACGCUAGCCGGGAACGGCGUUUGCUGAUGCAAGGUCCCUCCCACCAUCAAGGCAGCCGCAGCCUGGGCAAAUACGCGGAAGCAUGGGUACGCGCUCUUUUUUAUUUAGGUAUAUAACUUUCGAUUAGACAUGAUUUCUAACCAUAUCGUUGGUUUUCUCGCAGUCGGCGGCACAUGGUGGCGCGCCUUGCUCCACGUUCUCGGCAUAUGCCAUGGCCCACAAGGGGAAGGCGACGUCCGACGUCACCUACAACCCGGAUGACGGGCCCGAGGCGUACACCAACCCCGCCAUCCACAGCCGACUCAGUGAGUACACCGCAAUGGCCAAGGAGGUCCAUGGGCCAGAUUACGAUCCGAGGACCGAGGACAUCGACGGAGAUGUCCUCAUGAGGGUCGGAGGAGGCAAGAGGCAUGGGCGGUACUGGAUUGCCGACGGGGCAAUCGACUCGUCCUCCACUCCCACUCUCUCUCAGGUGCGAGCAAGGAGCACGAGCGCGAGCCCAGCCAUACGACCUCGGCAGGACACCUCACAGCAUCGUAUCCAGCAACUCCAGGUUAUUCCUUAUCUAUUCACCGUUCAUUAAUUUUUAUAUAUCUUCUCUUUGCAUUAUCGUAACAUUAGGGCAAAAUAUUACAGACUCAGCUAGAUGAUGAGAGGAGGCAACGUGAGGAGCUGGAGAAGAGGAUGGCGGAGAUGUUCGCGUACAUGCAGAGCCUUGGCGCCGCACAGGGUCAUGCUCCACCACCUCCGUUGUUCCCUGCAACUGACCCUGCUGAGUUCACUACUCCUGUGAGUAUCAAAAUUUUAGUACCGCAUGAUAUAUAUUCAUAUGUUCUCACACAUACAAUCUAUUCUCUAUGAAGGGUCAAUCGGCGGCGUCGAACAACCCUCAUGCUUCGUCCAGCCCUUCGCCGAACCAGUCCAGAUGCCCACCUCGUUGAUGAUCCAGACUUGGUCUUGUGAGUGUUGGUGAUGUUUGGCUAGUGACACUUUGUGAUAUAUAUGUGACGGUUGGUGAUGUUUGGCUAGUGAUCCAGACUUGGUAAAUACACAUACUUAUAUUUGUGAGACUUAUAUUAGUGACACUUUGUGAUAUAUAUGGUGUUGAUGAUAAAUGUGUUCAUUCUGUGAUGCGAUUGAUAUAUAAUGUGAUGUGAAUGAUAUAUAUCUUUUGUUUGUUUGGAUGGAACAGCAAAAACAAAUAAAAAAGGGACAUCCUGGUCACUUUGCCGAGUGUAACACUCGGCAAAGGGUUCUUUGCCGAGUGCUAUGACCAUGGCACUCGGCAAAGAAGGCAACCUGGGAACCGGUAAAGCCGUCUUUGCCGAGUGCUGACAAUGGCACUCGGCAAAGAAGGCAACCUGGGAACCGGCAAAGACAUCUUUGCCGAGUGCUGAAAAUGGCACUCGGCAAAGAAGGAAACCUGGGAACCGGCAAAGAUGUCUUUGCCGAGUGCCACUGCCAAGGCACUCGGCAAAGGGACUGGCAAAGGGGCCCACUAGAGGGUUCUUUGCCGAGUGCCAGUUCACCAGACACUCGGCAAAUAAACCUCCUUUGCCGAGUGUCGCCGUGGGCACUCGGCGAAGGAUCCGUCACCGUCACUUGGCGCCGUGACGGUGACUUUUCUUUGCCGAGUGCCAAAUGGCACUCGGCAAAGUCUUUGCCGAGUGCCCGACAAAAAGUACUCGGCAAAGAUGCUGUUGCCGAUGUACAGUUCGCCGAGCGUUCUUUGCCGAGUGUUACACUCGGCAAAGCAUUUGCCGAGUGUAAAAUAGCCUUUGCCGUGUGUCUCAGACACACGGCAAAGAAGCUGAUUCCGGUAGUGUUUGGGGGGCGACUAACACAAAUCGAUGACCUUUGAUGAAGAUGGAUGUAUUUCUCCCACAAAAUCUUGGAUCCAUCCUCUACUAUGAAAAGUCAUGAAUUCACAAGACGUUUUCGAAAACAAUUUCAGCUUCACUUGUAAAGUUGCUUGUGCGGCUGAAGCCAAGAAAACAUUAGAGGACAAACAAUAACUUACUAUGCUUUUCGUGAACUGUUUCAGACCAGCAGUAAUAAUUAUUGGUCCUACAUGCAUUAAUGGAUAAGCGGCUAGCAUGCCAAGACGGAGCAUUAGUUAGGAGAUAAGACCUAGCGUUUCAUUGCAUCCCCAUGAAAGGAAUACUAUCACUACUGCAUGAAUAAUUUUCAAAUGUAUUAAAAACUGAUAUUGAAAUGUAGGUAAUCUGUCCGCCUAUGUGAAAUGUUUAACAGAGGCAGCCACUCUAGGAUGUUGCCUCUAUUAAUUACUCAUAGAUGCAGCCAUCCAACUCUAGGAUUUCAAUUAGUCUCAAUCUAUGCAUUCGUCUAUGCAUUCUAGGAUUACAAUUAGUCUCAAUCUUGUAGUAUUUGUUCCUUCCUUGUCAAAUCACUUCUCAUCUAACUACUAUGCUUGUUUAACCAUCAGAACAUAACUACAACAACAUCCAUUUAUAAAGGCUUCGAUAGCAAACUUUACAUAUUCAUAUCAUGUUAAGGUUGUCACAUGUGUAAAGGUGAAGAGAUCAUGCAUGUCAUUCCACGUAGAUAAAAAGAAUGCCUAUAUAAAAAUGGCACAUUUUCUUGUAGGUAGUGGAAAGUAUCUUUCCAGCAAAGACCAUAUAAUCCGAUAAAGCUGAUAACUAAAUGUCGAAAUCGAGUAGAUGCCAUAUCAUCUAUACCUUAUCUGUUGUUUGGAAAAAAAAAAGACAAAAUCCAAAAAAAAAUAUAAGAGAUCUCACCUAUAUAAAUAGCUCUGAAAUCAGUAGUUAAUCCAUCACCCAUAAUAUUUUGAGCAUUCAGAAACACACCAAGCGAAGCGCACUAGCAACGACCUAACAACAAUGGCUACCAAGAUAUUAGCCCUCCUUGCGCUUCUUGCCCUUUUUGUGAGCGCAACAAAUGCGUUCAUUAUUCCACAAUGCUCACUUGCUCCUAGUGCCAUUAUUCCACAGUUCCUCCCACCAGUUACUUCAAUGGGCUUCGAACACCUAGCUGUGCAAGCCAACAUGCAACAACAAGCGCUUGCGGCGAGCGUCUUACAACAACCAAUUGCCCAAUUGCAACAACAAUCCUUGCCACAUCUAACAAUACAAGCCAUCACAACGCAACAGCAACAACAGUUCCUACCAGCACUGAGCCACCUAGCCAUGGUGAACCCUGCCGCCUACUUGCAAGAGCAGCUGCUUGCAUCCAACCCACUUGCUCUGGCGAACGUAGUUGCAAACCAGCAACAACAACAGCUACAACAGUUUCUGCCAACGCUCAGUCAACUAGCCAUGGUGAACCCUGCCGCCUACGUACAACAACAACAACUGCUUUCAUCUAGCCCGCUCGCUGUGGGCAAUGCACCUACAUACCUGCAACAACAAUUGUUGCAACAGAUUGUACCAGCUCUGACUCAACUAGCUGUGGCAAACCCUGUUGCCUACUUGCAACAGCUGCUUCCAUUCAACCAACUGACUCUGUCGAACUCUGCUGCGUACCUACAACAGCGACAACAGUUACUUAAUCCAUUGGUAGUGGCUAACCCAUUGGUCGCCGCCUUCCUACAGCAGCAACAAUUGCUGCCAUACAACCAGUUCUCUUUGAUGAAUCCUGUCUUGUCGAGGCAGCAACCCAUCGUUGGAGGUGCCAUCUUUUAGAUUACAUAUGAGAUGUACUCGAUAAUGGUGCCCUCAUACCGACGUGUGUUUCCUAGAAAUAAUCAAUAUAUUGAUUGAGAUUUAUCUCGAUAUAUUUCUGAACUAUGUUCAUCAUAUAAAUAAUUGAAAACAUCAAAUCGUAAUUAUAAACUCAUGCUUGGUCAAUACAUAGACAAUGCGAUAUUACUUCAGCAUCCCAAUGAUGUCCUAGCCCAACCUCUUGAAUGUUACUGUUUUAAUGUGUGACGGUAUAUUUAUAAGAUAGACGUGACUAUUUGCGCUUUUUUGAGUACAUACAUAUAUGGUAUGUUGAUUUGAUAUAGUGAUGGACACAUGCUUAACCAUUAAUAUUCAAAUCAGUUGUACUUGCAUGGAGCAAAACAUAAUAUAAGUUUAGGAGUACACUUAUAACUGUGUCCAAACAUGCUCACACAAAUUCAUACCACAUUAUAAUGUUUUGGUAAAUAUUCCACACAUGUAUUUUUUACAACUCAAUUUUGCAGACAAAUGCAGCAUUGUAGACAUGUAGAAUUCUUUGAAGCCCGUGAACUAACAACACCAAGGUCAUUAAAUCAACCGGACCCUAUGAGUAACAAUUUCGAUAUUGCAAACACCAAAUUAUAGAACUUAUUGGCUGAAAAAAUUAUGAGCAAUGUGAAGUUUAAAUUAUUAUACCAUAAAUAUAUCAAAGAACUUUUUUUGAGGAACGUAAAAAUUGCAUGGAAUGGGCAGCCCAACAUGCUAGCUCACUUCUAUGCUAGGUAGCAUUACCAAAGAUGAAAAUGUUGCUGAUGAACGCCAAACCCACUCAAAUAAUAUUUAUAUUUGGGUUGUUUAGUUGUAAAAGUGAAGACCCAAGAUAAAAGUACCAAUUGUCCAAUGACAUUCAAUUAUUUUGUUCGGGGAGCACUUGGUGCGUCAUUUGGACUCAUAUCUUAGUCCAAUAGAUUGCAUUUUCCUUCAAUUUGUAGAAUCCGACAAAGUGCAUGUUCUAAAAUUGUAAAUCUAACUAAAUUAGAAAGCUUGUUACUAAUUUGAUGGUUUGUUAGGUGUAGCUCGUAAAACUAGAACCAACAUAGCUUGCACUCACAUGUCAAAGGAAAUUGGAGUAUCCAAGCACAAUUUGUGUGAGCAUCCAUGACACUGUUAUAAAUGAAUGCGACACAAAUAGGAUCAAUCACAGAGAAGACACGAAUUUAACGUGGAAAACCCCUCCAAAGUGAAGGGGAAAAAACCACGGGCGCCGGCCGGCAACUUCUCACUAUUUUUGGGUGGUUACAGAUCGCAGGAGAUUUACAAUUGAGAUAGAUAUCUCCUGCGGCUUACAAAGAUAUUUAUAGAGGUGAAACCCUAAAACGAUCGCCUCCCGGCGACGGGCCUCCGCUUCGCUCGCCAACUUGGCCGCCUUCUUCAGAAUUUGGAUCACAAACUCAACAAACUCCACCUUGAGACAAAUACCUUGUAGCAUCAUAAUAGCAACCUCCACCUUAAACAAAUGCAUCAUCAUCUUGCCGGCGCCAACAGCCACUAAGGGCUAAUUUAUAAUACCAACUAAGUUUGAGCAUAGCUCAAACUUAGCAACAGAAACAUGCUUCGUCAUCACAUCAGCUGGAUUAUUAUCAGUACUGAUCUUGCAUACCUUCACCAACCCUUUUUCAAUGAUAUCACGAAUGAAGUGAUAACGAAUAUCAAUAUGUUUGGAUUUCUCAGUAAUCAUCUGAUCUUUGGUGAGAUGAAUGGCACUCUGGCUAUCACAAUAGAUGGUAAUGCAAGACUUAAUUCCACAUAGCUCUGAAUAUAUACCUUUCAACCAUAAGGCUUCCUUAGUAACUUCUGCAAUUGCCAUAUAAUCAGCUUCUAUGGUAGACAAAGCAACAGUAUCCUGUAAACGAGCUUUCCAACUCACAGCACAAUCUCCAAUAGUAAAGACAUAACCUGAAAGAGAUCUCCUCCUGUCUAAAUCACCACCAUAAUCUGAAUCAACAUAGCUAAUCAGCCCAUCUCCAGAUUUACCAAAACAUAAACAAGCACUAGAAGAACCACGUAGAUAUCUGAAAAUCCACUGAACAGCUUUCCAAUGCUCUUUACCAAGAUUAGACAUGUAUCUAGCAACAACGCUCGUAGCAUGAGACAAAUCAGGACGAGAACAAACCAUAGCAUACAUGAGUGACCCAACAACACUAGAGUAUGGAACUUUUGACAUAUAUUCAAGCUCAGCAUCAGUUUCAGCACACUGUUUAGCAGACAGUUUAAAAUGAGGAGCCAACGGAGUACUCACAGGUUUAGUAUUUUGCAUGUUGAAACGACGAAGGACCUUCUCAAUAUAAUUCUUCUGGCUCAAGUACAGCAGUCCAGACUUCCUAUCCCUGACUAUCUCUAUGCCAAGGAUUUUCUUUGCAGCACCCAGAUCCUUCAUAUCAAAUUCGCUACUAAGUUGUGCCUUUAAAGCAGUGAUUUCCUUCAUGCUCUUGGCAGCAAUCAACAUAUCAUCAACAUAUAGCAGCAAAUAUGUAGGUGAUCCAUUAACAAAUUUUAGAUAAACACAACUAUCAUAUUGAGACUUCUGAAAGCCCUUAGAAAGCAUAAAUGAAUCAAACCUCUUAUACCAUUGUCUGGGAGAUUGUUUCAGACCAUAUAAGGACUUCUUCAAGCUGCACACAUAGUCUUCUUUUCCAGGAACAAUGAACCCCUCUGGCUGGUCCAUAUAAAUGUCUUCCUCCAAAUCACCAUGUAAGAAAGCAGUUUUCACAUCUAACUGUUCAAGCUCAUAGUCAUGUAUAGCAACAAGACUAAGAAAGGUACGAAUUGAACUAUGCUUGACAACAGGAGAAUAGACAUCAGAGUAAUCAAUUCCUGGAAUCUGACUAAAACCUUUUGCAACUAGCCUUGCUUUAAAGCGCGGAGGCUCUUUUGGAGUCAUACCUUCUUUUCUUUUGAAGAUCCAUUUGCACUUAAUUGCCUUUUUACCAGAAGGCAGCCGAGCUAGUUCCCAAGUGCCAUUCUUAUCAAGAGACUCCAUUUCUUCAUGCAUAGCACCCAUCCACUUUUCACUAUCAGUAGACAAUAUAGCUUCUGAAUAAUUCAAUGGUUCCUGAAUAUUAUCAACUUCUUCAGCAACAGCCAAAGCAAAAGCAACAUUGCACUCUUGAAUCAGUCUUUGGGGCCGAACUAUCUGCCUCCUAGUUCGGCCUUCAGCAAGAGACUGGGGAUGAGACUCCACAACAGGUGAUGAAAUUUCAGAAACAGAAUUUUCAGCAGGUUCAGCAGAUGGUGGAGCAUGAUCAUCAACAUCCCCCCCCCCCCCCGUGCUCCACCUGCACACUGAUAGACUCAGAAUUCUGGUUAGUAGCACUGGUAGAUACAACCGAAGGGAACAUAGCAGAUUCAUUGAACACAACGUUUCUACUAAAAAAUGCCUUCUGUGUAUCAGGAUUCCACAAUUUAUAUGCUUUAACACCAGAUCCAUAACCCAAGAAAACACACUUAAUUGCUCUAGGCUCAAGUUUACCAUUAUCAACAUGUGCAUAUGCAGUACAACCAAACACUCUCAACUGAGAAUAAUCAUAGGGGGAACCAGACCAAACCUCAAUUGGAGUUUUCUUAUCGAUAGCAGUGGAUGGUGAACAAUUGAUCAAAUGACAAGCAGUGGAAGCGGCCUCAGCCCAAAACUUUCGGCUCAAACCUAAGUUGGACAACAUACACCGAGCCUUGGAGAUUAUUGUUCUAUUCAUACGCUCUCCCACACCGUUCUGCUGAGGCGUAUAUGGUAUAGUGUGGUGCCUCACAAUGCCCUCCUUCCUGCAGAAAGAGUUAAAAUCACCAGAACAAAACUCCAUACCAUUGUCAGUUCUCAGAACCUUCAGCUUCCUCUCAGUCUGCUUCUCAACCAUAGUCUUCCAAACCUUGAAAGACUCAAAGGCAUCUGAUUUUUGCUUAAGAAAAUAAGGCCAAACUCUGCGUGAAUUAUCAUCAAUGAUAGUCAACAUGUAACGAGCACCACCAUGUGAAGGUAUACGUGACGGCCCCCACAAAUCAGCAUGAACAUAAUCAAGAAUAUUUUCUGUAUUAUGAACAGCAGAACUGAAUUUUACCCUUUUAUGCUUACCGAAAACACAGUGCUCACAAAAAUCAAGAGUAUCAGCAUGGCAACCAUCAAGAAGGCCUCUCUUGCUCAAUUCUGCCAAACCAGGUGCACUCAUAUGGCCAAGUCGCAUAUGCCAAAUUUUAGUAGUCUCAGAAUCAGAUGCAACAACAGCAUUAGCAGAGCCAGAACUACCUCGAAGCACAUAUAAGUUUUCAGCUUUCAAAUCACCUUUAAUAACCACAAGAGAGCCUUUUGUUACCUUUAUGACACCGUCACCGGCGGUAUACUUGUAGCCCUUUGUGUCCAGAGUACUCAGAGAGAUGAGGUUCCUGGACAUGGAUGGAACAUGUCGUACUUCAGUCAAUGUGCGUACAAUCCCAUCGAACAUCUUGAUCUGCAGGGUGCCCAUGCCAACAACAGUGCAAGGGGAAUUAUCACCCAUCCGAAGAGUACCUCCGUUCUGCACAGCUUCAUAGGUACUAAACAGAGAUUUUUUAGUGCAAACAUGAUACGAGCAAGCAGAAUCGAGGAUCCAUUGGGCAUCAUCAGCAGCACAACCAGCAAAGGCAAUAAGAACAUCACCAUUAUCAGAAUUAUUUUCGGAUGCAACAGAGACAGUACCUCCAGUCUUACCCUUCUCCUUGUUCCUCUUCUCCUUGUUCUGCAGUUUGUAACAGUUCUCAAUUACAUGGUUCGUCUUCUUGCAGUAUUUGCAAAAAAAUUCAUCAGAUGGCCCCCUUGACUUGGAGCGACCCCUCUGGUUCUUCCCCUUUCCUUUGCCACCUGAGUUGUACUUUUUCUGAUCAGUGCGGCCACGGACAUACAAAGCUUCUCCACUCGAGCCAGCAGCAUCUUCCGAGUUAACCAUCUGUCUCAUCUUUUCUUUCGCAGUCAAAGCUUCAUACACUUCAGCCACGGUUAGAGUAUCACGAUUGUAUAGGAUGGUAUCUCGAAAAUUGCUAAACGAUGCAGGGAGGGAACACAGGAGAAGAAGAGCUAGGUCUUCAUCAUCAAACUUUACCUCCAUAGACGUCAGAUCGGCCACGAUCUCCUUAAACACCGAUAUGUGCGUCAGAACGGAUCCUCCUUCCUGCAACUUGUGGGAGAACAACUUCAUUUUGACAUGCAUCUUGCUGGUCAGAUCCUUUGACAUACAGAUCGACUCCAGCUUCAACCAGAGAGCAGCGACAGUUUUCUCCGCCAGAACCUCCUGCAGAAUAUUGUUAGACAGAUGAAGGUGAAUAUGUGCGAGCGCCUUACGAUCCUUGCGCCUCUCCUCAUCAGUCCACGUCCUGGCAUCCUUGUUGCCAAAUCCAUCUAGGGCAUCAUCCAGGUCGCGAUCAGAUUGCGAGAGAAUUGCCCGCAUCUUCACCUGCCACAGCGAGAAACGCGUGUCGAGAUCCAGCAGUGGAAGAUCGUACUUCAUUGUCGUCGACAUCCGUGCGCCGGCAGGAAACCCUAGCACACCGAUCAACAAACAACCAAAGCUCCGAUACCACUUGUUAUAAAUGAAUGCGACACAAAUAGGAUCAAUCACAGAGAAGACACGAAUUUAACGUGGAAAACCCCUCCAAAGUGAAGGGGAAAAAACCACGGGCGCCGGCCGGCAACUUCUCACUAUUUUCGGGUGGUUAUAGAUCGCAGGAGAUUUACAAUUGAGAUAGAUAUCUCCUGCGGCUUACAAAGAUAUUUAUAGAGGUGAAACCCUAAAACGAUCGCCUCCCGGCGACGGCCUCCGCUUCGCUCGCCAACUUGGCCGCCUUCUUCAGAAUUUGGAUCACAAACUCAACAGACACAAAUUAUAUAUAGACUGAUAUAAUUAAUUCCUUCAAAAAUAAAAAAAGGAAAAAAUAAAUUGUUUUUUGAUACUGCAGGAUAUCUCUUUAGCUAAUGAGGAGUACUAAAAAUAUGUUGCACUUUUGGGUGGCAAGAAUUCCUCAAUCAUAACUUUGACAUAAUUUUAAUCCGGAUCACAUAUAUAUCAUCAUAUCUUAAUUAUUAAAUUAAUAUGGUUGCAUCAUCGUAUUAUUAAUUCAAUCCGAUAUAACCAUCAGAGCUUAAUUAUUUAAUUAAUCUAGAGCGUACAUUAGAUUAUCAAACCAAAUCAACCUGACAUAACCAUCGAAUGUUCCGCUAUGCACCUUAAGCGCAUGGUCUGGGGCUUAAUCAUCCGGAAUAACCAUCCAAUCUUCUGGUAAGCAUAGUAAGCGUAUGGUUCACGGCUUCGUCAUCCGGAAUAACCAUCAGAUUUUCCGGCAUGCAAUGAAAGCAAAUGAUUCGUGGUUUUUGUAGGGGAAACGUUGUUAGGUGAAUGCGGAUGCUGGCUGAUGUUGCACGUGCGAACUGUUGUGUGGAAGCUGCUAGGUCCUCCUCUAUUGUGUGUGGCUUGUGGCGGGCUUGGACUGCUCUCAUGGCUUCGGCGCUUGGAACUGCUCGUCCGUCUGGUCCUGCGUGCAUCUCUCUCUCUCUCCUGGCUGGAGGCGUGGUGGCCUGGCAGCUUCUCUGUGUUUUUCUUUUUACGACAGCUUCUCGUGUUAGCUAGGGUUAGCGUCAGGGGCCCGGUCAGCUAUGCUCCCUCAGCUUUUAUAGGCAUCGCACCACAGCAGGUAGAGCAGAGAUAAAGAUUCCAACCGCAUCCAUCUACAAACAAGGCUCUCGGCGGAAGGGAUAAAAGCAUGCAGCGCAAUUGCUGCUGCCGUGUUGUGGCCUUGACUCUCGUCAAUUGGAUGACCAAAAGAUGCCACCGUCGCAGCUGCCUGUUUGUCACCAACACAAAAUUGUAGGUGCCUGUUUGUCACCAAUUAUCCUCUACCACAAAGAACUACAAUAGUGAUGGAGGAUCCGAUCCUGCACAGAUACACUAUAAUGCAUAGUGGGUGAUGCAUGCCUAAUGGUGGUUGUUUAGUGUUAGUUUGGGCAUGUUGGAACUAAGCAAUUGUCGAUGCCAUACGCUAGAAGUGAAGAAUGUUGUUACCGUUAGGAGUAGAGGUGUCAAUGGGGUCUGAUACCCGUUAAGCCAUGGAGAAUUUAUCUAAUAGAUUUAGGGUAUGGGAAGAUUUUAAUUUCCAUUUGUUGAAGUUAGGUAUACAUCUAUUUGAAUCGACAGUUACAAUUCAAUGUUUGUCAUUAAAUAUUCCACACAUGUAUUUUUUACAAGAACCCAAAUUUUGUAGACAAAUGCAGCAUUGUAGACAUGUAGAAUUCUUUGAAGCCCGUGAACUUAACAACACCAAGGUCAUUAAAUCAACUGGACCCUAUGAGUAACAAUUUCGAUAUUGCAAACACCAAAUUAUAGAACUUAUUGGCUGAAAAGUUAUGAGCAAUGUGAAGUUUAAAUUAUUAUACCAUAAAUAUAUCAAAGAACUUUUUUGAGGAACGUAAAAUUGCAUGGAAUGGGCUACCCAACGUGCAAGCUCACUUCUAUGCUAGGUAGCAUUACCAAAGAUAGGAAUGUUGCUGAUGAACGCCAAACUGAAAGUUCCCUUUGCUCGGGAACAGGAUCUGGAUGUCGCCUAGAGGGGGGUGAAUAGGCGAAUAAUAAUUAUCACUUUGAAGACUUAAAUUCUUACUCUACUUGAAGACCAGAUCGUAGUGGAAUGAAAGACCCUUCGAGUCGGUUGCAGCGGAAUAGAAGAUCCUGUCUCAAAAUGCCCUGCACUUCAAAUAUAACUUGAACCACAGAUAAGUAUUGAAGUGUAGAUAUAAAGAGUAGAUAAGACAGAGGAUCAACACACAACACAGAGCAGAGCACAUAGACGCAGGAUUUUAUCCCGAGGUUCGGCCAAGCCUGAGAUGCUUGCCUAGUCCUCGUUGGAGUUAGCCACACCUGGGCUUGGAGUCUAUUUCAACUCCUUCCUCCGUUUGCUCAGAUCUAUCAGUAUGACAGAUAGAGCCUUUCACUAUGUUGAGUUCGGUUACAACAACGCCGUGGCUGCUUACAGUCUUCUUGACAGCACUCCGGUAGAGUAACAAUGCGCUCAAGACUUUGCUCUAGCUCUUUGCAGCACCUCUCCACUCUCUAAAGGCUUAUAACUUUGCCUUCACACAAACUAGAGAGAUAUACAUUAGAGUGAGAGAGAGAAUCGAUCUGAGUGAUGUAUACAAUUGUUGGUUGCACUUGUGUGCUUGUUGGAGGCGCCUAGGAGUCCCUUUUAUAGACCCAAGGGGCCUAGGAGCCGUUGGAAUUCAUUUUGGAAGACAAUAUUUGCUUUCUAUCGGGUAGCAUGUCCAGUGCACGAUCUCCUUCCAAAACAAGCUCAACUGACCAUUGGAGCAACGUUUGACUUGGCUCACCGGACACUGUCCGGUGCACACCGGACAGUCCGGUGCGCCAACUAUCCGUUGGCCCAAGCCACACGUCGCCCGCUGAUCGCGCUGCCGACCGUUGGCUCACCGGACAGUCCGGUGAAUUAUAGCCGUACGUCACCAAACUUCUCCCGAGAGCGGCCUGUUCACCGGAGUUCAGUCUGGCGCACCGGACACAGUCCGGUGUGCCAGACUGAGCAGAGACAUGGUUGUACAUAGCCAAGUCUUUUGCAUCUCUUUUCUUUUCUUCUUUUCUCUGUUUCUAACACUUAGACAAAUAUAUUAGUACACACAAACCAAUGUACUAAGUCUAGAAACAUACCUUCUCUUUGAUUUUCACUUCUUCAGCAUUUGGCAUAAUUGAGAUUGAUGUUGGACUCAUAAAUCAUCAAGUCAACUUUACUUGAUCUAGAUUGACAUUUCUGAGCUCCAACAUCCUGCAAAGGUCACAUAGAAUAUCUUCAAACUAGGAACAACCCAAACUAGAGAUCAAGGUGCACUAAGCUCUUUUGGGCUUCUUCCAGUUAUGGUUUUGACACAGCUUCUCCUUUCAGUGACCUUGUUCACUUCUUGAGCUUGAUCUUGAGCCUUAUGACUUAAGCCACAUAAUUGUAGAUGUUACCUCAUUGGUUGUAAGUCAUGUCCUUAUGUAGUGUUCACUGAUGCACCAUAACUUUUCUUAACUCGAUCAACCUUGAUUCCGCAAGUCUUCUUCUUCACCCCUGGCCUUGGGUUCCUGGUCUCCUUGACUUUCUCCCAUGCACUCGGUACCUCGAAGCUCUUCUUGCUUCCAUCCUUGGCUUGAUCGGUUGUCUCUGAGUUAUGCACCUCGAGUCACACUUAAGCAAUGCCCAUCCUUCUUGUGAUGUCCAUUAUCUAUAAAUAGUUCAGUCUUUGGACCAUCACACUUGUUCACUUGUGUUGGACCAUAUUAGCUUUACAUAAAGCACCUAUUCAACACUUAGCACACUUGUUAGUCCUUUAAUUGGGUUGUCAUCUAAACACCAAAACUCACAAGAGAGCUUUCACAAACCCACUCAAAUAAUAUUUAGAUUUGGGUUGUUUAGUUGUAAAAGUGAAGACCCAAGAUAAAAGUACCAAUUGUCCAAUGACAUUCGAUUAUUUUGCUCGGGGAGCACUUGGUGCGUCAUUUGGACUCGUAUCUUAGUCCAAUAGAUUGCAUUUUCCUUCAAUGUGUAGAAUCUGACAAAGUGCAUGUUCUAAAAUUGUAAAUCUAACUAAAUUAGAAAGCUUGUUACUAAUUUGAUGGUUUAUUAGGUGUAGCUCAUAAAACUAGAACCAACAUAGCCUGCACUCACAUGUCAUAGAAAAUAGGAGUAUCCAAGCACAAUUUGUGUGAGCAUCCAUGACACAAAUUAUAUAUAGACUGAUAUAAUUAAUUCCUUAAAAAAAGAAAAAGGAAAAAAUAAAGUGGUUUUUGAUACUGCAGGAUAUCUCCUUUAGAUAAUGAGGAGUACUAAAAAGAUGUUGCACUUUUGGGUGGCGAGAAUUCCUCAAUCACAUAUAUAUCAUCAUAUCUUAAUUAUUAAAUUAAUAUGGUUCCAUCAUCGUAUUAUUAAUUCAAUUUGAUAUAACCAUCAUAUCUUAAUUAUUAAAUUAAUCUGGAGCGUAGAGUAGAUUAUCAAACCAAAUCAACCCGACAUAACCAUCGAAUGUUCUGCUAUGCACAAUAAGCGCAUGGUCCGGGGCUUAAUCAUCUGGAAUAACCAUCAGAUCUUCUAGUAUCUUCUAGUAAGCAUAGUAAGCGUAUGGUUCACGGCUUCGUCAUCCGGAAUAACCAUCAGAUUUUCCAGUAUGCACUGAAAGCAAAUGAUCUGGGGUUUUGGUAGGUGAAACGUUGUUAGGUGAAUGCGGAUGCUGGCUGCUGUUGCACGUGCGAACUGCUGUGUGCAAGUUGCUGGAUCCUCCUCUAUUGUGCGUGGCUUGUGGCGGGCUUGGACUACUCUCAUGGCUUCGGCUCUUGGAACUGCUCGUCCGUCCUGCCCUGCGUGCAUCUCUCUCUCUCCUGGCUGGAGGCGUGCUGGCCUAGUGGCUUCUCUGUGUUUUUCUUUUUACGGCGGCUUCUCAUGUUGGCUAGGGUUGGCGUCAGGGGCCCGGUCAGCUAUGCUCCCUCAGCUUUUAUAGGCAACGCACCACAGCAGGAAGAGCAGAGAUAAAGAUUCCAAGUGCAUCCAUCUACAAACAAGGCUCUCGGUGGAAGGGAUAAAAGCAUGCAGCGCAAUUGCCGCUGCCCUGCUGCAGCCUUGACUCUCGUCAAUUGGAUGACCAAAAGAUGCCACCGUCUAAGCUCUUUUCUUUUGUGCAGCUGCCUGUUUGUCACCAACACAAAAUUGUAGGUGCCUGUUUGUCACCAAUUAUCCUCUACCACAAAGAACAACAAUAGUGAUGGAGGAUCCGAUCCGGCGCAGAUCCACUAUAAUGCAUAGUGGGUGAUGCAUGCCUAAUGGUGGUUGUUUAGUGUUAGUUUGGUCAUGUUGGAACUAAGCAAUUGUCGAUGCCAUACACUAGAAGUGAAGAAUGUUGUUAGCGUUAGGAGUAGACGUGUCAAUGGGGACCGAUACCCGUUAAGCCAUGGAGAAUUUCUCUAUAAGAUUUAGGGUAUGGGAAGAUUUUAAUUUCCAUUUGCUGAAGUUAGGUAUACAUCUAUUUGAACCAACAAUUACAGUUCAACAGAAACUCCUUCCGCUCUAGUUUGUUGUGUGUCCUACCUUUUUCCUAAACUAGUUUUUCCUAAAUUGACAUACUCUCUAGAAAAUCUAUCCAAAUUUUGAAGAUCAAAUCUGUUCCAUUGAAUUAUUCAUGACAUAUAUCUUGGUAUUGCUUUUUGUCAUCAGAAUAUAUUUUGAACUCAUUAAAAGUUAUACACGAUUUUUUUAGACAAUACUAAAGCAAGAUGUAAUUAAGAACACUUGAGGUGUGCGCCAAUUGCCACAUUUAGAUAUAAUCAUUCAAAUUUUGGUCAUCAUAUGUGUGUGCAUUGAUCUAUGCAUUCUAGGAUUUCAAUUAGUCUCAAUCUUGUAGUAUUUGUUCCUUCAUUGUCAAAUCACUUCUCAUCUAACUACUAUGCUUGUUUAACCAUCAGAACAUAACUACAACAAUAUCCAUUUAUAAAGGUUUUGAUAGCAAACUUUACAUAUUCAUAUCAUGUUAAGGUUGUCACAUGUGUAAAGGUGAAGAGAUCAUGCAUGUCAUUCCACGUAGAUGAAAAGAAUUCCUAUAUAAAAUGACACCUUUUCUUGUAGGUAGUGGAAAGUAUCUUUCCAGCAAAGACCAUAUAAUCCGAUAAAGUUGAUAACUAAAUGUCAAAAUAGAGUAGAUGCCAUAUCAUCUAUACCUUAUCUGUUGUUUGGAAAAAGACUAAAUCCAAAAAAUAUAUAUGAGAUCUCACUUGUAUAAAUAGCUCCCAAAUCAGUAGUUAACCAUCACCCAUAAUAUUUUGAGCAUUCAGAAACACACCUAGCGAAGCGCACUAGCAACGACCUAACAACAAUGGCUACCAAGAUAUUAUCCCUCUUUGCGCUUCUUGCCCUUUUUGUGAGCGCAACAAAUGCGUUCAUUAUUCCACAAUGCUCACUUGCUCCUAGUGCCAUUAUUCCACAGUUCCUCCCUCCAGUUACUUCAAUGGGCUUCGAACACCCAGCUGUGCAAGCCUACAGGCUACAACAAGCGCUUGCGGCGAGCGUCUUACAACAACCAAUUGCCCAAUUACAACAACAAUCCUUGGCACAUCUAACCAUACAAACCAUCGCAACGCAACAGCAACAACAAUUUCUACCAGCACUGAGCCAACUAGCUGUGGUGAACCCUGUCGCCUACUUGCAACAGCAGUUGCUUGCAUCCAACCCACUUGCUCUGGCAAACAUAGUUGCAUACCAACAACAACAACAAUUGCAACAGUUUCUACCAGCGCUCAGUCAACUAGCCAUGGUGAACCCUGCCGCCUACCUACAACAGCAACAACUGAUUUCAUCUAGCCCUCUCGCUGUGGUUAAUGCACCUACAUACCUGCAACAACAGUUGCUGCAACAGAUUGUACCAGCUCUGACUCAGCUAGCUGUGGCAAACCCUGCUGCCUACUUGCAACAGCUGCUUCCAUUCAACCAACUGACUGUGUCGAACUCUGCUGCGUACCUACAACAGCGACAACAGUUACUUAAUCCACUAGCGGUGGCUAACCCAUUGGUCGUUGCCUUCCUACAGCAGCAACAAUUGCUGCCAUACAACCAGUUCUCUUUGAUGAACCCUGCCUUGUUGUGGCAGCAACCCAUCGUUGGAGGUGCCAUCUUUUAGAUUACAUAUGAGAUGUACUCGAUAAUGGUGCCCUCAUAGCGGCAUGUGUUUCCUAGAAAUAAUCAAUAUAUUGAUUGAGAUUUAUCUCGAUAUAUUUCUAAACUAUGUUCAUCAUAUAAAUAAUUGAUAAUUGAAAACAUCAAAUCGUAAUUAUAAACUUAUGCUUGGUCGAUACAUAAACAAUAAAAUAUUACUUCAUCAUCCCAAUGAUGUCCUAGCCCAACCUCUUGAAUGUUAUAGUUUGGGUGUGUGCGGGUGUAUUUAUAAGAUAGAUGUGACUAUUUGCGCUUUUUGUUGAGUACAUACAUAUAUGGUAUGUUGAUUUGAUAUAGUGAUGGACACAUGCUUUGACCAUGAAUAUUCAAAUCGGUUGUACUUGCACGAAGCAAAACAUAAUAUUAGUUUAGGAGUAAACUUAUAACUGCGUCCAAACAUGCUCACACAAAUUCAUACCACAUUAUAAUUUUUUGGUAAGUAUUCCACACAUAUUUUUUUACAAGAACCCAAAUUUUGCACACAAAUGUACCAUUCUAGACAUGUAUAAUUCUUUGAAGCCCGUGAACUUAACAGCACCAAGGUCAUUAAAUCAAUUGGACCCUAUGAGUAACAAUUUCGAUAUCGCAAACACCAAAUUAUGGAACUUAUUGGCUGAAAAAAUUAUGAUCAAUGUAAAGUUUAAAUUAUUAUACCAAAAAUAUAUCAAAGAACUUUUUUGAGGAACGUAAAAAUUGCAUGGAAUGGGCUGCCUAACGUGCUAGCUCACUUUUAUGCUAGGUAGCAUUACUAAAGAUGGGAAUGUUGUUGAUGAACGCCAAACCCACUCAAAUAAUAUUUAUAUUUGGGUUGUUUAGUUGUAAAAGUGAAGAUCCAAGAUUAAAAUACCAAUUGGCCAAUGCCAUUCGAUUGUUUUGUUUAGAGAGCACUUGGUGCGUCAUUUGGACUCGUAUCUUAGUCCAAUAGAUUGCUUUUUAUUUCAAUGUGUAGAAUCCGACAAAGUGCAUGUUCUAAAAUUGUAAAUCUAACUAAAUUAGAAAGCUUGUUACUAAUUCGAUGGUUUAUUACGUGUAGCUCAUAAAACUAGAACCAACAUAGGCUGCACUCACAUGUCAUAGAAAAUAGGAGUAUCCAAGCACAAUUUGUGUGAGCAUCCAUGACACAAAUCAUAUAUAGACUGAUACAAUUAAUUCCUUCAAGAAUAAAAAAGGAAAAAAUAAAGUGUUUUUGGAUACUGCUGGAUAUCUCCUUUAGCUAAUCAUGAGUACUAAAAAGAUGUUGCACUUUUGGGUGGCGAGAAUUCCUCAAUCAUAACUUUGACAUAAUUUUAAUCCAGAUCACAUAUAUAUAUCAUCAUAUCUUAAUUAUUAAAUUAAUAUGGUAUGCAUCAUUGGAUUAUUAACUCAAUCCGGUAUAACCAUCGGAUCUUAAUUAUUAGAUUAAUCUGAAGCGUACAUUAGAUUAUCAAACCAAAUCAACCCGAUAUAACCAUCGAAUGUUCCUCUAUGCACCUUAAGCGCAUGGUCUCAGGCUUAAUCAUCCGGAAUAACCAUCUAAUCUUCUGGUAAGCAUAGUAAGUGUAUGGUUCACGGUUUCGUCAUUCGGAAUAACCAUCAGAUUUUCCAAUAUGCACUGAAAGUGUAUGAUCCGGGGUUUUGGCAGGCGAAACGUUGUUACGUGAUUGUGAAUGCUAGCUGCAGUUGCACGUGUGAUCUACUGUGUGGAAGCUGCUGGGUCCUCGUCUGUUGCGUGUGGCUUGUGGCGGGCUUGGACUGCUCUCAUGGCUUCGGUGCUUGGUGCUGCUCGUUCGUCCGGUCCUACGUGCAUCUCUCUCUCCUGGUUGGAGGCGUGGUGGCCUGGCGGUUUCUCUAUGUUUUUCUUUUUGCUACGGCUUCUCGUGUUGGCUUGGCUUGGCGUCAGGGUCCCGGUCAGCUAUGCUCCCUCAGCUUUUAUAGGUACGCAGCACAACAGGCAGAGCAGAGAUAAAGAUUCCAACGGCAUCCAUCUACAAACAAGGCUCUCGGCAGAAGGGAUAAAAGCAUGCAGCGCAAUUGUCGCUGCCUUGCUGGAGCCUUGACUCUCGUCAAUUGGUUGAUCAAAAGUGGCCACUGUCUAAGCUAUUUUCUUUGUGCACCUGUUUGUUUGUAUCGAACACAAAAUUGUAGGUGCAUGUUUGUCACCAAUUAUCCUCUACUACAAAGAACUACAAUAGUGAUGGAGGAUCCGAUCCGGCACAAAUCCACUAUAAUGCAUAGUGGGUGAUGCAUGCCUAAUGGUGGUUGUUUAGUAUUAGUUUGGGCAUGUUAAAACUAAGCAAUUGUCGAUGUCAUACACUAGAAGUGAAGAAUGUUGUUAGCGUUAGUAGUAGAGGUGUCAAAUGGGACCGAUACCCGUUCAGCCAAGGAGAAUUUCUCUAUUAGAUUUAGGGUAUGGGAAGAUUUUAGUUUCCAUUUGCUGAUUUUAGGCAUACAUCUAUUUGAUUCAACAGUUACAAAUCAACAUAUACUCCUUCCGCUCUAGUUUGUUGCAUGUCCUACCUUUUUCCUAAAUCAGUUUUUCCUAAAAUGACAUACUCUCUAGAAAAUCUAUCCAAAUUUUGAAGAUCAAAUAUGUCCCAUUGAAUUAUUCAUAACAUAUAUCUUGGUAUUGCUUUUUGUCAUCAGAAUAUAUUUUGAACUCAGUAAAAGUUAUACACGAUUCUUUUUAGACAAUACUAAAGCAAGUUGUAAUCAAGAACACUUGAGGUGUGCGCCAAUUGCCACAUUUAGAUAUAAUCAUUCUAAUUUUGGUCAUCCUAUGUGUGUGCAUUCAUCUAUGCAUUCUAGGAUUUCAAUUAGUCUCAAUCUUGUAGUAUUUGUUCCUUCAUUGUCAAAUCACUUCUCAUCUAACUACUAUGCUUGUUUAACCAUCAGAACAUAAGUACAACAAUAUCCAUUUAUAAAGGCUUUUAUAGCAAACUUUACAUAUCAUAUUAUGUUAAGGUUGUCACAUGUGUAAAGGUGAAGAGAUCAUGCAUUUCAUUCCACGUAGAUAAAAAGAGUUCCUAUAUAAGAAUGGCACAUUUUCUUGUAGGUAGUGGAAAGUAUCUUUCCAGCAAAUACCAUAUAAUCCGAUAAAGAUGAUAACUAAAUGUCGAAAUCGAGUAGAUGCCAUAUCAUCUAUAUCUUAUCUGUUGUUUGGAAAAAAAGACAAAAUCCAACAAAAAUAUUCGAGACCUCACCUAUAUAAAUAGCUCCCAUAUCAGUAGUUAAUCCAUCACCCAUAAUAUUUUGAGCAUUCAGAAACACACCAAGCGAAGCUCACUAGCAACGACCUAACAACAAUGGCUACCAAGAUAUUAGCCCUCCUUGCGCUUCUUGCCCUUUUUGUGAGCGCAACAAAUGCGUUCAUUAUUCCACAAUGCUCACUUGCUCCUAGUGCCAUUAUUCCACAGUUCCUCCCACCAGUUACUUCAAUGGGCUUCGAACACCUAGCUGUGCAAGCCUACAUGCUACAACAAGCGCUUGCGGCGAGCGUCUUACAACAACCAAUUGACCAAUUGCAACAACAAUCCUUGGCACAUCUAACCAUACAAACCAUCGCAACGCAACAGCAACAACAGUUCCUACCAGCACUGAGCCAACUAGCUGUGGUGAACCCUAUCGCCUACUUGCAAUAGCAGAUGCUUGCAUCCAACCCACUUGCUCUGGCAAAUGUAGCUACAUACCAACAACAACAAUUGCAACAGUUUCUACCAGCGCUUAGUCAACUAGCCAUGGUGAACCCUGCCGCCUACCUACAACAGCAACAACUGCUUUCAUCUAGCCCUCUCGCUAUGGUUAAUGCACCUACAUACCUGCAACAACAGUUGUUGCAACAGAUUGUACCAGCUCUG